AAUUCAAUAGGGGCUAAUCAAAUUCCGUAAGGAUAUAGUUGAAUGCCGCACUGUUCCUUAUCCUCAAAUUCCCGUAGCUUUUGUCUCAGCUCUGGCUGAGGCCACCAGCAAUCGAACUUGUUUAAGCUCUUUAUGCACCAGAGCUGUUCAGGCAUCUUUUUCAAGUAAGCACAAGGGUUGAUAAUCAAGCAUUCUAGUUUUGGCAUGGCUGCAUUCCCCAUAGUCCACUCCUCUAGCCAUAGCAUUGAUUUCAGGUGCAACACCUUGAGGUUCGGAAAACCAUAAGAGCCACAAGUCAGCUUUCUACCUGAAUACGAGUUUUGCUUCAGUUUGAGCACUUGAAGAAGCGGCAGCUUUUCUAGUGUCGGCAUGGGAUCGUCCAUUAGGUCAGUAUUAGAAAAACUCAAGUGGGUUAGACUAUGAGGAAAUAGGUAUUCAGCAAGGAUGAUUUUGGAGAGCCGUGGCAUCUUGCUUUCGUUCACCAACUUCAAUGACCCGAGGCAGCUCAAUCUGCAAAUACUUUUGGACAACAAAGAUUGAUUAUAACUUAAAUCUCCCAAUAUGCAGAGAUUUCGAAGACUAGGCAGUCUGCCCAAUAUGUCUUCAGUACAGCAGCAAGGAUGCAAGGCCGAAAUGAAAUUUAGAUUUUCCAGAGAGCCACAAUAUUUUCCUGGAUGCGCAGGAAGUGUGAUUGACCCAAAAUUUAGAUGCCUGAGAUUGUUCAUCUUCCAAAAUUCAUCUGCCGUAUGAUCUAUGUAGCUAAAGGGCAUGUCUAGGGUGUAGAGGUUUAGAAGAUUGCUUAAUAAUGAUGAAGGCAGGCUUUUGAGGGAAGGGAUAUUCAACUUCAAAUAUCUCAAAAGAAAUAAAUUUUCAAUUCCGGAUGGAUAUUGGAUGAGAACAAGAGAUCCCAAAUCCAAUACUCUGAGAAGUUUGAACAUUCCACAAAAUUUCUCCCAAUCUAUGGGGUCAAAGUGGCGGGUUUCUGGAGAGAAGCACAAGAAAGAAUGCAGUUGCGAGUUGUAAUCAUCUAAGCAAGCAAAAUCACCCUCUCUUUCAACAGCGUUUAACCGUUUGGCUUUUUUUCCUGAUUCUCUAUGGAUAGAAGGGGAAAAGAUGAAUUCCACCUCAGGAGGAACUAAGAGCAACACGGGACGCCAACGGCCAGGAAUAGAGCAUGUGUUGAUAGUGCCUCCGGCUUUUCUCUUCUUUGCUUCAACAAAGCCUCCCUUGAUUAGUUGUUCUAAGUAACUCUCAGCAGUUGCCUCACUAUUGUCUGGAAUGAAACCUUCAGCUAUCCACAACUGAUAUAACUGCCUGGUGGAUAUCUCUAGGUGUGCGGCAAACACAGAUAAGUAGAGGAAACAAAGUUUCAAGCAAAAAGGUAAACUGCAACAUUUGAAGUACCGACGCGCAAAGGGUCGGCUGGUUGCUUCCGUUUUAUUUUCUUUUAAUGAGAUGCUUCCAUGAUAUAAGAUGGGGAAAGGCCAUCCUUUAUAUGUAGCUCUCAAUGGUCCUCCAGUGGGCACAAAAUCAAGCCCAAUGUUCUCUCCGUCUUCGAACUGAAAUGAGGUGACAAUCUCAAUUCGGCUGAGUGUGAUUAAUACUCUACUUCCAUUCUGAUUAUCCGGAAGUAUUUCUCGAAUAACAUCCCACAUAUCAAUUCUCCAUACAUCAUCAAUCACAAUCAAAUACCGCUUGGUCAUCAGAUAUUCAUGAAGAAUAACUUUUUUCAUUUCAUAAUUUUUAUCCAUUAUUUCACUCAACCUAGAUGAAGGCAUCAGACACUUAAUAACGAUAUCUAAUAUUUGGUCAGCAUCAUAUUCAUUUCUGUAAGGCUCUGAAAUCCAAGCGUGACAAUCAAAAUAAUGCUUCACAUAACUGCUGUUGUAAGCCUCUCCGGCGAAAGCCGUUUUGUCCAACCCAAUGCUAUCAAGUAUGGCCACCACUGAAUGCUGAGUUGGUCCCUCGAUCAAUAGAUCUAACAACUCCUCCAUUCUAUCAUCUAGGCCCACCGUGUUCCAAUUCUUAGAAGAUGAAGAUAUACCGGCUUCAGCUUCCAGAUUUUUGAAGGCAUCAAAGAUUUCGGAAUCGAUGUGCGGAACUUGUUGAGUCCGUUGUUUUAUAUCAAUGAUUCUGCUUUGGAGUCCUUGGAGAGCAUAAAAAAUGUCCUGGCUGCAGCUGCUUUGACUCUUCUGUUCACUAAUGCUGUUGAUGAAUGUGUCAAUGACCUUCUCAGAUUCAUACGUAAAGCAAUUGAUUUCGUCCAUAACGGUCGCCAGAUCUGGGUUUUCAAUUUCUCCGUGUCCUAUCUUUUCCCGCAGAAGGCAGGACGUUUCACAUUCAAAUUCACUUAGCCAAGAAGUAACGAUUUCAAUCUCGGCAUGAAGGUUCUGAACAGGUUGUUUUGCAGCAUCAGGCAACUUGACUUCUUCACCAGCUAACACCCUUCGCAGCCUCUCGGAAAAUAGUCUGAACUUGAUGUCCAUAUCUCCUCCUCUCUCUGAGUCACCCCGAAAUCAGUCCUGUAGCAUGCAAAGAAAUAAUUAAAAGAGAGAGGGGAAAAGGAAAAUAUGCUUUAAAGCUCUCAAUUCAAACAUUAGUGCUGGCUCCCGUACCUCCCUUCUCUUAGCUAGUUCUCCAGUCAAGAAGUUGAAUCAAGAUCGUUGACUCUCAAAUGAGAACAUAUCAAGGCAGAAUCUUUGUUUAAAAAAAAAAAAAAAAUCAUUGUUAAAACUUCUUAGCUCUUAAUUCAAAUAUUUAUGUGUCCGCUGAAACAUUUGUUGUUGAUGAAUGGAAUUGGUCUUAGGUUGACCGACGCAACUCUUUCUCUCAGCACUCAAGUAGUGUGAGCAUGUUAGUUUAGUCAAUAGUUUCUCCUAUACAUAAAUGAUGUUUUAUUAUAGAAUUUUGAUAAUAUGUACAAUGGGGAAGUAGCUGUAGAAAAGAGAUUGGGUUUUGGUUUAUGUGAUAUGGACUUGGAGCAUAAUAAAUUAUACAACUUGCAAUUAAAUCCAAAAUUGCAGUACUUCAUUACUUUUGUCUUCUGUGAAUAUAAAACACUGACUGUGUAAUCAUAGUACUUUUUUAAUAAGGACUAUGAUGAAAAUUAAAGACAAAUAAUGAUUUCAUGGAGUUAGUCACUGAGACACUGACUGCUAUAUCAUGAACAAGUUUUUCCGUGACUGUUUCUCGUGAAAAGGAAAUUUUUAAAAACUUUAUCAAUGCAGGUGAUGAAUAAAUAUGCUACCACUUGCAGCUAGGUUGGAGAAGAUGAGGGGAAGGUGACGCUAAUGAAUAAAUAUGCUACCACUUGCAAUUAAUAAAAUGCUAACCCUGUCUGGUAUGCUAGCUCUGUUCAUUGAAAGCAAAAGCAAUGGAAUCUUUGACCUUGCUGCCACAAGAUGAUUGUCAUGGAAGGCACCAAAGUUUCCAAGUAUGUAUGUAUAUCACACACACAUACUUGCAUGUAUGUAUAUCACAGAUAAAAUUUGUAUCCCAGGGUUAUAAAUGUGAAUUACUCACAUAAAUAUGCAUUAUUAAUCAUGUACGAUGCUCUCUUAUUUCUUCAACGAGAUUUAGAGAAAGUACUAAAUCCUUUGUAAAAUUUUAUAUUUAAUAUAUCUUCAUUUUAAAACUACAUCCAUAUCCCGCAUAAAUUUGGGGAUCAUUUUAGCAUUGUUUUUUAAGAAAUGCAAAUUGAUAAAGAGUUCUAACCGCGACAUAAGGGUGACAAAAAUAAUAGUAAAUUGUGCAAUGUUACAAUGUUAAUUCAAAAUAGUUAUAAUUUUUUAUUUAAUACGGUAAAUAAAAUUUACAGUUGUUUUGUAAUCAUUGUAUGAUUCUUUGAUUCAAAUAUCAUUAUUAUAUGAACCCUCACCUUUUUGAAAGGAUUACAUCUUAAGAAACUAUUUAUAAUUAUUUUCAUUUGAGUCAUUAGUGUUAAAAAUAUAACAAUGAAAUUAAUGAUAGUCGAAUUCCAAGUAGGAAUGACAGAAAAAUCCGGUCUAACUAGAGCAUGUUUUCUAAGUACUCUGGCUGGACUUGGACUUUGGUUUAAAAGCCCGAACCCAACCAGAAAGCCCAAAAAAUAUUGAAAAUUUUAAAAAUCUAUAUUACUUUAAUUAAAAUACAACUUUUUACAUAUAUGUAAUCCACUUAUAGCAUAUAUUUAAAGUUUUAAGUUAUUUGAACCCAACUAUUAAAGCCUAAUCUAACAAAGAAAAAACUAAAUUUUAUAAACUAUAAAAUUUGUAAAAUAUAAUGAAAAAAGUUUUUUUUUUUAAAAUACAUAAUGUAUACUUCAAGCUUUUUGGCUUGGCUUUGGAAAAAAAAAAAAAAAACCAACGUUUUGUCAUCCCAAAUUCCAAGCCUUAAAUACUUCUCCAAAUGUAUAGUACAACAUUGUAUAAUAGGACCAAUCACAUGGAGAUGAUUUGUAAAUUUUUGCACGCAAUUUUAAUAUGCACAUCAGAAGAGAGGCAGCAAUCUUAGUUGAUACUUUUAUUUGACAUAUGAUGUAAGAAAUGAAACAAAGAUUGUUGUUAACAUAAAUUAUUCUUUAUUGAUUUUGAUGAUAACAAACAUGAUUAAGAUUAAUUAAUCUUUUAAAAACUCAUCAUAAUUUUCAUCUAUUUUGACAAGUUUCAUAAAGUUUUUUUAUAAAGAUUUGGAGACAAAACAGUCAUCUUGCAAAAUAGUUCACUGCAGCAGUUUUUGUGGUAAACGGCGAUCCGACAUGUGUAAUAAACGGCUUGCCGAUUUCAAGCAGAAAUGGAGAUUAGCCUCUGGACGUAAACGGCGAUCCGACAUGAAUAAUAAACGGCUCGCCGAUUUCAAGCAGAAAUGGAGAUUAGCCUCUGGACGUAAACGGCGAUCCGACAUGUGUAAUAAACGGCUCACCGAUUUCAAGUAGAAAUGGAGAUUAGCCUCUGGACGUAAACGGCGAACCGACAUGUGUGAUAAACGGCUCGCCGAUAUCAACCAGUAGCCUCUGGACCUAAACGGCGAUCCGACAUAUAGGUAACGGCGAUCCGACAAUUUGAAAAAUCAGCCCAACGGUCAUAUUGACCAGUCAAACGGCGAUCCGACAUCUAGCUAACGGCGAUCCGACAGUGUACAGAAAGUCAAUAACGGCUAGUUUUCAGCUGCAGCUAUAAAUAAGCUCAUUCAAAUUCAAACAAAGCUUGAUCACAACACGACCAUUGAGCUAAUAUUCGAGAAUACAAUCUUCAUAGAGCUUAGAACACAUUCUUGCUUCAUCUAUUCACAAAUUAAGCAUCAUUGUGUAAUCCUAUAUAUUGUGAGAGGCAAAUCAAUUUGUAAUCUUUUACUUUGAGUGAUUGUAAGUGUUGGGAUACACUUGGGUUAAGAGAUUGGGGAUAAUCUCUUGUUGUAAAGGUUUAUUGACACCUUGGAAGUCAAGUGUAAGCAUUUGAAGCCUUGGAGGCUUGCUUAGUGAAAUCUUCAAGCCCAGUGAGCUUGGAGGAGUGGACGUAGGCGGGGAUUGCCGAACCACGUAAAAAUUAUUGUGUUUGCUCUCUCUUCCCUUACUCCUUUACUAUUGUGCUUUAUUGAAUUUAUUGUUUUUGAUUCCAUUAAGGCAUUAGAUUAAAUUGUUGUGUGAUUUGCUUAGCUUAAUUUUAAAAUCCCAAUUCACCCCCCCUCUUGGGUUGCACACUUGUAUUUCAUUUGGUAUCAGAGCCUUGUUCUCUUAUUAAGACUUAAUUGUCUAGAGUAAAAGAUCCAUGGCAACCCUAAAUGACUCAACCUUUAGAGAAGGGCAAUCUACAACUAGACCACCAUUCUUUGAUGGAAAUGACUAUGCUUAUUGGAAAACUAGAAUGAGAAUCUACUUGCAAGCCUUAGAUUAUGAAAUUUGGAAAGUUGUUUGUGACGGUUCAUUCAUGCCUAUGUUUAAAGAUGAAGUAGGAGAUGAUAUUCCUAAACCAUCAAGUCAAUGGAGUGAGUUAGAAAAGAGAAAAAUGUCUCUAAACUCCAAGGCUAUGAAUGCUUUGUUUUGUGCCCUUGAUAAGAAAGAAUUCCAUAGAGUAUCUAGUUAUGAAAGUGCAUAAGAGAUAUGGAACAAACUUGAAGUUGUCUAUGAAGGGACAAAUCAAGUAAAAGAGUCUAAAAUCAGUAGAUACACUCGUCAAUAUGAGUUGUUCCAAAUGGAACAAAAUGAAAAUGUGUAUUCUAUGUAUACUAGAUUCACGGACAUAGUGAACACCCUAGGUGCCUUAGGGAAAAUCUUCUCAAAUAGUGAGAAAGUUAAGAAAAUCAUUAGGUCACUUCCAAAAGAAUGGAGACCUAAAAGAACCGCCAUUGAAGAGGCCAAAGAUUUAAAUACUUUACCUCUUGAUGAUUUAAUUGGUUCUCUCAUUUCAUAUGAAGAGGAUUUAGCUGCAGAAAAAGGACAUGAUGAGAAGAAGAAAAGCAUUGCUCUCAAAGCUUCAAAAUAUGAGAGUGAUGGGGAGAGUGAACCAGAUGAUGAAGAGCUAGCCAUGCUAGCAAGGAGGUUCAGAAAAUUCUUCAAGAAAACCGGAGAGCGAAGAAAUUUCAGAAACUUCAAGAACCUUAGGGAGAAGAAGGAGGCAAUCACAUGCUAUGAAUGCAAGAAGCCUGGACAUAUAAGAUCAGAGUGCCCACUAAUCAACAAACUCAAGAAGAAAGCAAUGGUUGCAACUUGGGAUGAUAGUGAGGAAGAAUCAAGUGAUGAAGAAGGAUCGCAAGAAGUAUCAAACCUAGCACUCAUGGCAAUAUGAGGGAAUUAUGAUCUCAAUGAGGUAAGUGAUCCCACCUAUGAUGAAUUGUAUGAUGCUUUUAAAGAUUUACAUAAUGAGUUGAUGAAGAUUGGUAAAAAGAAUGUAUGUCUUAAAAAGGAAAUGGCAAAGCUUAAAAAUGAAAAUGAAUCUCUAAAUGCAAGAAUUGUUUGCCUAGAAGUAGGAAACAAAACAUUGCAUGAUGAAAUUGCAUUAUCAAAUGAAAAACCUAGCAUCUUACAUGAGCAUUUAGAAUCGCACAUAGAUGAGUUGAAAAAUGAGAACGAAAUGCUCAAGAAAAAGAGUAAUGAAUUGAAUGAAAUUGUUUUAAAAUUUACAAAUGGGCAAAAGAUGUUGGAUAAUAUGCUUAACUCACAAAAAUGUGUUUUUGAUAAAGGAGGACUUGGAUAUAAGCCUAACUUGAAGCAAAAGUAUUAUAAGAAUUAUUUUGUUAAAUCUACCUCCACAAAUGAUCAUAAGAUUGUAUGUCAUUAUUGUAAUCAAAAUGGUCACAUGAAAUAUAGAUGUCCCGUGAAAAGGAAUGCAUAUUAUGGUGUCAAAUGCAUUUGGGUUCCAAAAGGAACCGUUGCUAACUCUCAAGGACCCAAAAAGUUUUGGGUACCUAAAACUUGAGAUUUUUUCUUGUAGGGCUUGAAGAAGAAGAAAAAUAAAUGGUACUUGGACAGCGGUUGUUCAAGGCACAUGACCGGAAACUAUGCAUGGUUCUCAAGCUUCACCAAAAUUGAAAAUGGUGGAGACGUAUCUUUUGGAGACAACUCAAAAGGAAAAAUUCUUGGAAUUGGAAAUGUUGGUAAAGUCUCUUCAACUCUAAUUGAGAAUGUAUGUUUGGUUGAGAACUUGAAACACAACUUAAUUAGCAUUAGUCAAUUAUGUGACAAAUGUUAUAAAGUUAUCUUUGAUAAAUUUAGUUGUGUUAUUGAGAACUCAUGUGAUGGCAAAACCUUAUUUGUUGGGAAUAGAUGUGGUAAUGUUUAUAUCAUUGACAUAAAAUGUGCAUCUACUCUUGAUAAAUGUUUUUCGGCAUUGCAUGAUGAUUGUUGGUUAUGGCACAGAAGGUUAGGACAUGCAAGUAUGGAUUUGAUUUCAAAAAUUUUGAAAGAUGAUUUAGUUAAAGGUCUUCCGAAAAUUGGUUUUCAAAAGGAUAAGAUUUGUGAAGCUUGUCAAUUUGGAAAACAAAUUAAAACUUCUUUCAAGAAUAAAAACCAUAUUUCUACUUCAAAACCACUUGAACUUCUUCACAUAGAUCUUUUUGGGCCAUCUAGAUAUGCGAGUCUAAAUGGCAAAUAUUAUGCAUUUGUGAUAGUGGAUGAUUAUUCUAGAUAUACAUGGGUAUUAUUCUUAGCCAAUAAGGAUGAUGCUCUUGAUGCUUUUAAAGUGCUUUGUAAGAAAUUACAAAAUGAAAAAGUGCAUGGUAUUGUAUGCAUUAGGAGUGAUCAUGGAGGAGAAUUUGAAAAUCAUGCAUUUGAGAUUUUUUGCAAUAAUCUAGGCAUUGAGCAUCAAUUUUCAUCACCUAGAACUCCACAACAAAAUGGAGUUGUUGAGAGAAAGAAUAGGUCUAUUCAAGAAAUGGCUAGGACCAUGCUAAAUGAAAAUGCAUUACCAAAAUAUUUUUGGGCCGAAGCCGUCAACACCGCUUGUUAUGUUUUAAAUCGGGUGUUGAUUAGACCUAAUUUUAAUAAAACUCCCUAUGAGCUUUGGAAAGAUAGAAAACCCAACAUUGGAUAUUUCAAAGUUUUUGGAUGCAAAUGUUUUAUUUUAAACACAAAAGAUAAUCUUGGUAAAUUUGAUCCAAAAUCUGAUGUUGGCAUCUUUCUUGGGUAUUCAAACUCAAGUAAAGCUUAUAGAGUUUAUAAUAAAAGAACUUUAGUUGUGGAGGAGUCCAUGCAUGUUACGUUUGAUGAAUCUAACCCCUCCUCUGCGGAGAAAGGAGUUGCUAAUGAUGAUGCAGAUGGAGAGUUACAAGAAGAAUCAUCAAAAGAGAAUCAAGAGAAUGCACCACAAGAAAAUCAAGAGGAUAGACAAGAAGAACAAACAAAUAUGGAGCUGGAACAACAAGAUGGUAUUUCUCAAACACUCCCCAAGGAGUGGAGGUAUGUCUCUUCUCACCCUAAAGAUGUAAUUUUAGGAGAUCCCUCACGAGGUGUUACAACUAGAUCAUCACUUAAGAAUACUUGUGAGCAUAAUGCAUUCAUUUCUCAAAUUGAACCCAAAUCCUUUGAGGAUGCGGAAAAUGAUGAAUCUUGGAUUAUGGCAAUGCAAGAGGAAUUAAAUCAAUUUGAAAGAAACAAUGUGUGGGAAUUAGUUCCUAAACCGGAACAUCAAUCCGUCAUAGGUACUAAAUGGAUUUUUAGAAAUAAGAUGGAUGAAUCCGGUGUGGUUGUAAGGAAUAAAGCUAGAUUAGUGGCUCAAGGUUACAACCAAGAAGAAAGAAUUGAUUUUGAUGAAACUUUUGCACCCGUUGCUAGACUAGAAUCAAUUAGAAUGUUGUUGGCAUUUGCAUGUCAUAAAGAUUUCAUCUUAUUUCAAAUGGAUAUGAAAAGUGCUUUCCUAAAUGGGUAUAUUAUGGAAGAAGUGUAUGUAAAACAACUCCCUGGUUUUGAAAAUGAAAAGUUUCCAAAUCACGUUUAUAAGUUGCUUAAAACCUUGUAUGGAUUAAAACAAGCACCUAGAGCAUGGUAUGAUAGACUUAAGAAUUUCCUGUUGGUAAAUGAUUUUUCAAUGGGUAAAGCGGAUACUACUCUAUUUGUUAAGCAUAAGAACCAAGAUAUACUUAUUGUUCAAAUUUAUGUUGAUGAUAUUAUUUUUUGUUCUACUAAUGAAUUGUUGUGUAAAGAUUUUUCAUCGUGUAUGAGCAAAGAAUUUGAGAUGAGUAUGAUGGGUGAGUUGAAGUACUUUCUUGGACUUCAAAUCAAACAAAACGAGGAAGGAAUUUUCAUAAAUCAAGCCAAGUACGUAAAAGAUCUACUCAAACGAUUAAGCAUUGAUAACUCAAAGACCAAAAAUACACCAAUGAGCACAACAACCAAGCUGGACAAAAAUGAAAAAGGCAAAGAAGUGGAUAUCAAAAUGUAUCGAGGUAUGAUCGGAUCCCUACUUUAUUUGACUGCAAGUAGACCCGAUAUCAUGUUUAGUGUAUGUUUGUGUGCAAGAUUUCAGUCUUGUCCCAAGGAAUCUCAUUUGCUUGCUAUUAAAAGAAUUUUCCGUUAUUUGAGUGGAACCAUAGAUAUUUGCCUUUGGUAUCCUAGGGGAACUCAUAUAGAUUUAACAUGUUAUUCGGAUGCGGACUUUGCCGGUUAUAAAGUGGAUAGGAAGAGCACUAGUGGUACUUGCUAUAUUCUAGGACACUCUUUUGUUUCAUGGUUUAGCAAGAAACAAAAUUCUGUCGCACUUUCAACUACCGAGGCUGAAUAUAUAGCUGCCGGAAGUUGUUGUGCACAAGCACUUUGGAUGAAACAAACACUUAGAGAUUAUGGCAUUAAUCUUGAACAAAUUCCUAUUAAGUGUGAUAAUACUAGUGCUAUUAAUCUUUCAAAGAAUCCCAUUCAACACUCUCGAACCAAGCAUAUAGAAAUAAGACAUCAUUUCUUGAGAGAUCAUGUUCAAAAGAGAGACAUUGCAUUAGAGUUUAUUUCUACGGAAAAACAACUUGCCGAUAUUUUUACAAAACCACUUUGCGAAGAACAAUUUUCCAAAAUUCGGCAUGAACUUGGGAUGAUGAAAUUUUCACAUUAACAGCUUUAUUCAUGCUAUUGAGUCUAUUAACAUUGAUUGAUCUAUGCCUUGAUGCUUUAAUAUCUAUGGAAUGCUCAAUCGCAAUAUACAUGUGAUGUGUAUGGACAUUUGAAAAUGUAUGAAUUAAUUGUUGCAAUACAUAUUUAUAUUCAUGAAUUAUGCAUUGAACUGGCACUCAAAUCAUUUUGGAUCAAUAAAAUGAUCUUGAAAUGUAUUAAUAAGUAGCCAAAUAUCAAAAUAAAUGUGCGAAAUCAUAAGUUGUAGAAAACGGAUUGCCGUUAUUUCAAUAAACGGCUAACCGUUUUGGGCAGAAAUAAUGGAAAGUUUUCUGGGCGCUAUCGGUUCGCCGAUAACUAUCUAUCGACUCGCCGUCCUGAUACAAAAUUUUGAGGAGACUCCCUGGACCCUAUCGGCUCGCCGUUUUGAUGAAAUUUUUUUGGAGGACACUCUGGACUUUGUCGGCUCACCGUUUUCUCUAUAACGGCUCGCCGUUAUCACGCGUUAAUUGAACAGUCUUUCGUCUUCCUCCUCAUUUCGGUUUCUCUUUCUCUCUCUCUCUCACUUCAACCCGCGACUGCACCAGUUCUCUCCUCUCAAAUCCAUCACUUUUCUUGUCAUUUUUCACCAAAUUGCAGCAUUACAAACCAUUUCUAUCAUCUCUAGCACCUUUUAACAGAUUCAAAUCCUUCUUUUUCUUCAAAUUUUGAAAAAUCUCAUCUUGAAACCCUAGAACCAGCCGAAUCUCAUUUGUUCAUUUUGACCCAAAUUUCUUCAUUUUUCCAACUACAUUUCCACCUACAAUCACUAUCUCACACUUCGUUUCCACAUAUUUUUUUUAUCUCAUCUAUGGCGGAACGACCCCAAAGGCGUGCUCAAACCAAGCACACUGCUCCGCGACGUUCUAGUCCCCCCAGGUCUCCUCCUCAAGACUUCGAGAGUCUUCAUUUUUCUGAUGCCACCUCUGCUCAGCGAUUUCGUGAGAAAUUCAUGGGUAAACCCAUAAGUCAUUCCUCGCGCCUAUUUCUUUUUUAUGAUGAAGGGGGAGAUAAUUGGCAUUAGCAUUAUUUUUUUUCUUUUCUUUCUUCUAAUCAAUCUGUUUUAAACUUGUUUGAGAUUAAAAUUAAAUGAACUCUUUUUUAAGGGAAGUUAACAAGUCUUUCAAAAUCUCACAUAGGGGGAGCACAUAUUUAGGGGGAGCAAAAGUGCACAAGUAUUUUCUUGAAAAGUUUGUCAUCAUAAAAAAGGGAGAGAUUGUUAACAUAAAUUAUUCUUUAUUGAUUUUGAUGAUAACAAACAUGAUUAAGAUUAAUUAAUCUUUUAAAAGCUCAUCAUAAUUUUCAUCUAUUUUGACAAGUUUCAUAAAGUUUUUUUAUAAAGAUUUGGAGACAAAACAGUCAUCUUGCAAAAUAGUUCACUGCAGCAGUUUUUAUGGUAAACGGCGAUCCGACAUGUGUAAUAAACGGCUCGCCGAUUUCAAGCAGAAAUGGAGAUUAGCCUCUGGACGUAAACGGCGAUCCGACAUGUGUAAUAAACGGCUCGCCGAUUUCAAGCAGAAAUGGAGAUUAGCCUCUGGACGUAAACGACGAUCCGACAUGUGUAAUAAACGGCUCACCGAUUUCAAGCAGAAAUGGAGAUUAGUCUCUGGAUGUAAACAGCGAACCGACAUGUGUGAUAAACGGCUCGCCGAUAUCAACCAGUAGCCUCUGGACCUAAACGGCGAUCCGACAUAUAGGUAACGGCGAUCCGACAAUUUGAAAAAUCAGCCCAACGGUCAUAUUGACCAGUCAAACGGCGAUCCGACAUCUAGCUAACGGCGAUCCGACAGUGUGCAGAAAGUCAAUAACGGCUAGUUUUCAGCUGCAGCUAUAAAUAAGCUCAUUCAAAUUCAAACAAAGCUUGAUCACAACACGACCAUUGAGCUAAUAUUCGAGAAUACAAUCUUCAUAGAGCUUAGAACACAUUCUUGCUUCAUCUAUUCACAAAUUAAGCAUCAUUGUGUAAUCCUAUAUAUUGUGAGAGGCAAAUCAAUUUGUAAUCUUUUACUUUGAGUGAUUGUAAGUGUUGGGAUACACUUGGGUUAAGAGAUUGGGGAUAAUCUCUUGUUGUAAAGGUUUAUUGACACCUUGGAAGUCAAGUGUAAGCAUUUGAAGCCUUGGAGGCUUGCUUAGUGAAAUCCUCAAGCCCGGUGAGCUUGGAGGCGUGGACGUAGGCGGGGAUUGCCGAACCACGUAAAAAUUAUUGUGUUUGCUCUCUCUUCCCUUACUCCUUUACUAAUGUGCUUUAUUGAAUUUAUUGUUUUUGAUUCCAUUAAGGCAUUAGAUUAAAUUGUUGUGUGAUUUGCUUAGCUUAAUUUUAAAAUCCCAAUUCACCCCCCCUAUUGGGUUGCACACUUGUAUUUCAAUUGUAACAUUACAAAUUUUGCAAUUCAGCAUCCAAAAUAUCACUAGAACUUGCAAUACAAGCUUUAAUCUCUUCAACAACACGUAGAAUUGCGGCCAGGAACACAAACGAAAAUAUAGUUAAUUAUGCAUGCAUUAAAAAGAUGAGGAAGAGAAGAUUAAGGAACAACAUGAGGCCACCAAGAGAGUGAUGAAAAAUGUGGAUUUAAGUUUAAGUUCCACAAUGUUUACGUAAGCAAAAGUACAAAACUGAGAGUCUGAGGAUAAUGAUAUUAUUAAAUUUAAUAUGGGUUUGGUUCGUUUAGAUUCAUGAGUUUCUCUAGACAGUAUAUAUGGGGGGGCCAAAACUACUUUGCAUCGUAGGUUUUGUACACCACUCAUUUGUCAUUUACCAAAGUCACCAUUGGAUUUUAUGUGAUGGCUAGAAAAGAAACACAUAGAGAAAUAGGAGUAACUAGAGAAACAAAUAAUGAGCCAGUCACCUAGAUUGGUAAUUGAGCAUAGGGAAAUUAAAAAAAUUAACCUAAAUAUUUUUGAAUUAUUGGCUACUUCCAGAAAAAAUCUAAACCAGCAGUUUUUGAUCAAGCAAAUAAAUUAAUGGCAACAACAACGGCUAAUCGAUGCAGCGACGACAAUAGCUACUUCCGGCAAGAGUGGCCUCUUUAAUUUGAGUUAGUUCGCUGAGUUUAUGUCCAAAUUCUUAAAUGGAUAAUGGAUUUAUUGUUUUAGUACUAAUUGUUGAUGAUUAUAGGUUAGAUCUUGUUGAGCGAUUAGUUUUGUAACAUUAAGCUUGAAUUGGGAAUGAAAAUUGAUAAAAUGCUUAUGGAAAUAAGUUUGUUAAAUAUGGCAAUACAAAUGUUUGCUAAAUGCAUCAAAGAAUACAAUUUGUUGUUUAGGCUUAAUUUUGCUAUUAUUUUACUUGAAUGAAUAUUUAAGAAGGUUGCAACUAGUAUUGUCACUUGAAUAUAGGCAAUGGUAUGGUGUUAUAGGUGAUUAUGAGCAAAAGGUGUUUGUCACGAUAACCUUACAAGUGAAAACCUUCUUUUUCUCAAACAAAACCCAGAUUAAGAAGAUUCAAUACUUCAUCAUAACUAUCAGAAAACAAUAUCAAGACAAUAAUGCCAAGAACCAUUGUCUGUAAACUUUAUCCAUUGGAAAAAUCGUAAAUUAUGCUUACACGUACAAAUUUUUUUUUUUCGAUUUACAGGUGCUACGCCUUCAGCCGGUUACUCGUUUUCCAAAUGUUAAAUCUCAGUUGUUAGAUACAUUUCUUCACAAUCUAACGGCUCAUUCGCUAUAAGACAAAGGACUAGGGUACCAAACUCAUGACGCAAGAUAGCUGGAUCCUAUAUGGAGGAAAUUUAAUCCAUUUGACAACUAAAAAAUUCAGAAAUCAGACCUCGAUUUGACAACUUAGAAAUUAAACAAUUAAAUUUGUUCCAUAUGCAUGCAGAAAAUUAGAUGUAUGUAACUUGUCAUAUGCUAUAUAUAUUCUAUUAGGUGGAAGAUUUUCUACUUCAUUUGUAUGAAAUAUAUGGUAUCAAUCAAUAAAUUCUUAUUUUGUUAUAUAUACUAAUAGUAUCUUAUAGUAAACUAAGAAAUAUUAACGACCUUCUAGUGUGUUUUUGAGUUGUAAAAUAUUUUUUUAAAAAAAAUUGAGUUGUAAAGUCUAGUUAACUAUUUUGUGUUCCAUUACAGGUAUUAUGAAAGGUUUUUUAAGUUUUUAGAUGUUUUUUGACCCAUUUGUCAAUAAGUGAAACUAUUAGCACCACUUUAAACUCCUCAUAAAACCUUUCUUCUAAAAAUACACCAUUAAAAACAUAUGUAAAUCACAGUACUUUUAACAACACCUAUGUUAAUUCCACAAAUAACCUUAUAUAUUCUUUUUUCUUAAAAAAUCAUAUGAAAACAAAAAUCUUUUAUUACAAAACCUUUUCACCAAUUUAAUCUGAAGCCCUUGUUCGGUCCAUGAGAAUCAACUUUUCAAUUUAGAAUUGUUUGAGCUUCUUUUUCCAACUUUUUAUUCUUAUUCUUAUAUAUAAAUGAGAUUCUUAUAAUAUAUAAUUCAUUUUAUUACUUUAUUUUAUCAUUCCAUGGGAAAAGAUAUCAAAAUAUUACUAUGAAGUAAGUUAAACUAGUAGAAAGUAGAAUCUAAAAACUAGAUAAGAAAUAUUCUAGGCCAUCCUCUUGAGUGGAUCUAUUUUAAUUCCACGAACGUCCUUGUACACUUCUUUCUCACGAACUUUACUAUGAGAGAGAGAAAAAAGAAUUAAAUAAAUAUUUCUUUUAUACUAAAAAAGAUUGUUUGAAGCUAAUCCAAUAUUAUUUUAUACUCUGAAUGUGACAAUUCAUAUACUUUUAUAUGAACACGUAAAUCGAUAAAAUCAAGGGAACAAGUAGCCAUAAAAAAAAUAAGUCUUUCAUAAUUUGAAAAUAAUGAACUAAAAUUUCAGUCCAACAGAAACCGCUAAUUUAAGAAUAAAAAUAAAAAUAAAAAACAUUUUCACUAAAACAACAAAAUUAUCUUUUAUUUAAUAAAAAUAAAACCCAUGUGGGGUUAGAGGAAGAGAGAUGAAUUGUCAAACGUGAUUUGAUUAAAGUUAAAAAUAUAAAUUUAAGAUAUAAGAAUUCUUUUGGAGGUGCCAAUAGCUCCACUCUAUUCUCUUUUUGUAGUUCUGCAAGUUUUAAACACAUGGUUCUAUGAAGGUCUUAGAGGGUGCCGAUAGCUUUCAUUAAUGUGCAUAUAUGUUAAACAAUAUCGAAUUAUUAGAUGGACCUUACUACCUUACAGAUUCUGUGAGGUACACCUCUCUAAUAAGAAUGGAGCGUGGCUCACUUAAGACCACCUUUAUUUUACUUAUUUUGGAUGGACGUACCUUACAAAAUCUAGGUACCGUCUUCUUAUUUGAUCCAACGUAAUCAAACAAUCUAAUCUAAUUGACUUGCCGCUUUAUGUUAAUAUAUAAUUAUGUUUUCUUUCAAUUGUUCUAAUAGUUGAGAGUUUUAUCUGGAAGAUAGCUCGAAAAUCAGCACUAAUUCCUACUCAGAAGGGAGGGGAAAUAAAUUGUGAUAGAAAAUAAAUUAUUUGAGUGCUCUGUGAGUCGAAGACCCACUCUCAGAUAAACAACUAUCUUUGUAAAGCAGAGCAGAAUUCAGAAAUGUCAUUCUUCUCAUUGGGUCAUUUCUUCAAACGUCCUCUGUACAAACAGCUCACCCGCCAUCAUAAUCUAUUUCCAUUCAUAAAUCAAAAACCCAGAACCCAAUCAACAGCACCCUCUUCCGUUCUCAUAAAAGUUUCAGCCCGUUCUUCUUAUCUCUCAGUUCGCAUUUGCUGUCAAAAACAUGCGUUAGUGAGUUUCACUUUUUUUACUUGUCUGUGUUUUUAAGCAUUUUGAAUUAGUAAUUAUUUGGCAUUAAAAUUGAGGUGCCUUAACUUGUGUUGUCAGGAUAUGUUUUCUGAAGCUCUUCUAUGUUUCGGUGCAAGUUCUACAAGCGUGGAUGAACAUGAUAAUGAUGCUGAUGAGAAUUCUGAUGAGGUUGAAACUUUAUAUUUUAAUUUCUUCUUUUUUCUUUUCUUUGAUUAUUGAUUCAUGUCUUGUAAAGGAUCUUGAGAGCAACAAUAAACAAGAAAUGAAACUCAUAUCCCAUUUGCAAAUUGGCUUCUAUUUGUGUUAAAAAUGUGCUUCUAAUUUCCAAUGUAAUGUUACCAGUUGGCCUUAGAUUUUUGUUGACUUUGUUGGUUCACUUGCUAGAAAGGUAGCAAGAGGAAAAAAUUAAUAAUAAUACUAAAUAAGCACAAAAUUUUCAAUGUUUGUUAUGGAAUUGAAAAUUGUCUUCUUUCUGUGUUAAAAGAGUGCCUCGAAAACGCCAUUAUAAUGUUACUAGUUGGUCUUAGAUUUUGUUGAAUGUAGAGUGGCUUCUGAAUAAAACCUACAGUUGUUUUAAAUAUUACUUACAGAUUGCUUUUAUGCAGAUCUAUAUUGAUUCCAUAUUUCCUGAAUGCGAAGACGUGGAUGAGUGCAUAUUAAAUGCUGCUAAUUCCAUAGGCUUGAAAGAGACACCGCGCUAUGAAGUUAAAAUGGGCGAGCAAUGCAACUGGAUAAAGAAAACUCAGGUUUGUUUGCUCUCCUUUUUCUCUCUAUCACAACGGUAUACUUGGAAUUAUUGUUAUGUCAAUUUGAUUCUCUUUUCUUACAUGUUGCAGGAGUCAUUUCCUCCCGUUGAGGUGACAAAAUGACUAUGGAUUGUGCCCGAGUGGAGUACACCACCAGUAUGAUUAUCUCACUCCCUUGGGAGGUUUUGUUGCAGUAAUUUCUCAUAUUUUAUAGGGUACCCUCUUCUUCAUUGCUUCUGUAGAAGUCAUAUAAGCUAGUUGCUUCCGAAUCUUUAAAUUUAUUCAAUGAGGAACCUUCGUUUGGAAAAUUGAUUUUCAUCUGAUCCAAGAAGGUUGCUUUGAAGGAGAGAGCUUACGAAAUGCAGCAAGCAAAAUCAUAACUACAAAGCAGUAGACUAAUUGUUAGCUGACUCUAAGCAAAGGCAACAUUCAUAAAAGAUGACGAAGAGUUUCUAAUAUUUACCAAUAUAACUUAUACCAAGUGCACAGAAUAGAGCCAUCUGAACAUUCAGGAGCAUAAGAACAACCAAUGUAGCUGCAAAGAUGAGAUGUAAUUACUACUGUGAAGACGAGGAAAGAAUUCCAUUAUUUAUCAACAGCUAGACUGUAGUAUAAUGGAAAGACUUGCUAAGGAAAGUUUAAAGCAACACUCAUCCAGAGAAGGCAAGAACAAGUAUAGAAGCAAAAGUGCACACAUUCAUAUAUAGGGGUAACGAGUAAUGUAUCAUAAAUCACUUGCUCUAGCUCAGUAAAAAAAAAAACAACGCAAAAUUGCAAAUUCAUAGUGUUGUUAUUUAUCAAUUGGAACCCAGAAAAAAAAAAUCUGUAACUUAAUUAUUCAUUUAAGCAGAUUGAAACCCUUACAAACACAGGUAAGCAAAUCAAAAUUAUCAUUAAAAAUCCAAUCAAGGCCACAUAAAUCUAAUCACAUCCAAAAGCAUCCCAAAAUCUCGUUCAAAAUUCAUAUACCCACAUACAAAAACCAUUCAAAAAUUUAAUGCUAAAUUUAAACCCAAAUCUGUUGCGUAAUUGCAUUGUACACGUAAUUACUUUAUCUUGAUAACGCCCCCACAAGCAUUCUGCAAAAGGGGAAAUCAAAUACUUAAAACUAUUAUAGAAACUUGAAAGAGCAAGUCUUAGAUUGACUUGAAUUUGAACCAAGAGGCAACACAAACAAACGCGUUCAAGCAAAUGCAAAACCAACGAAACCCCAAUCAUCAAGUGGUCCAUUGAUAAAUAAAAUCCAAUUACAUCGACUGCGCUGCCAAAAUUUUAUUAAAGAAAACGGAUCCCGUGCUCAGCUGAGCUUGUGCUGAGCACCGGAUCAAUGGUCAAUAAUUAUUUAAGACCCACGUAAGAUAAUUGCUGAGCAUUGAUUCGGUACUCAACACAAGCUCAGUUGAGCACUGUUUAUAAAAAAAAAUAAAAGCGGCAUCAGCAUGUGCUUUGAUUGAAUGCCUUGAGAACACGUAAGCAUCACCCAAAUUAUUAUUUACACAUGCUUGCGUGAUCCAAUUGCAUGCCAGAAAAUACAAAGAAUGAAUCUUGGUGAAAAUUUCCUAUCCACUAAAGGGUGCGUUUGCAAAUCUCAAAAUCGGUGGGGGAAGUGCGGCGGUGUGGCGGGCUAUAGCCAGACAGAGCCAGAGAAUCUGAAGCAAAACACCAAAAAUCUUGCCCUGGAAAUGACUCAGCAAGAAUACUUCGGUAUUAUAUGCUAAAUUUUUUUAAAGAAUUUUCUUUUAGUAUUGUUUUGAGAAAAUAAAUAAAGGUAGUCAAUUUAAUAUGCUUAAGAAUUUUUAGUAUUUUAAAGACUGGACAAAGCAUAACUUACUUUUUAAAUUUAAUAGAUAAGUGUCUAGAAUAAUAGCGUAUUUAAAGUAAUUAUUAGAGUGCAAAUAGUCAUAUCCAAUACUUCAACUUAUAAUGGUUGGUUGUUGUUUUCACUGAAUUUUCAGAUUUGAAUUGAAUCAAUUACUAGUUGUGUGGUUGGAGCUCAAGAGAGAUGAAGAUAAAAAAAAAAAAGGAGUUCUUCUUUUAUCCCUUUUAAGUGAAUAUAUUUAGGUUGGGUUAAUGUGUACCAUAGUCCAUAGGGCACUUUCAUCUUUUCUGUCAUAUGACACCUCUUUACUCAAAUGUCAAAUGGGCUUGCUCAUCAAGCUUUGGUAUUCAUCAUUUGGAUCCUUGAUCACGUGACGCUUGUUGACUAGGCAGCCUUGUUGCCUUAAUUUCCUAUUGUUUUCUUGUUCUCAGGCUGGAAGACAUUAUUUUUUCUUGUUAUCUCUUAGCUUAUUCCAUAUUUGUCCUUCUAAGUGAGCUAAUUUUACCAAAACUAUCAUUUUCCUUGAUUGGCUCAUGUAGGACAGUUGAUGUGUUAUUUUUUCCACCAAUCAUCUUCUUAUUUAUUAUUCUUGUACCACAUGUCAGCUUUCAACUAGUCCAUAAAUAUCCUUCCAAAUUUACCUCCAAACAAAUCUAAUAACCUCUUGAAAACGAAAAAUUAAAAAUUUAUUCAAUCAUUCAAUGUUAAGGAAAUUGGCCAAGUAAUGGAAUGCUAACAAACCAAAUUAAAUUUCUACACUUGCUCUUUUUCUUUGGCCUAUACCAAAUUUCAUCACUUAAUUUUCCUUUAAUUAAAUAAAACAAAUACAUUAUAACUGCUUACUAUUUACAUCUGAAUAGAGCAAUAAAGACUGGUUAUUAAAGACCGGUUAUUAAACGGAUAUGGAUGAAAAUGGUGUUAAAACAUGGCAUAUGGUAGCAAUAAAAAAGGCGCUUGCAGGAUAUAUUCAAGCAAAUUGGUUUGAGUAACCACAAACAAAAAGGCCUCGCAAGUGAUAAGUUCCUCCUUUGCCCACUCAAAUGCAUUACAUAAUGUCGCAGUACAUUUUAUUUAUGCAAAUACGUAUAUAUAUGCAUAUCUUGAUAACUAUUUUAACAUGUGAUCUAAUAUAGAACAUAAUUUAAUAGAGUAUACUCCCUGAAUUUCGCUCUGAAUUUUUUUAUAAUUGAUUUGUUAUAAAUUUGAACGAGGGAUUGCAAUUAUACCUUCUUGAAGUUUAUAGAUGUUUUCAUGCAUGCUCCACGAAAAAUAUUUGAUGUCGUGCUAAUGCUCACUGCAAAGCAUAUACCGUAGGCUAUGCUAUAGCUAUAUAAAAACUUAUACUUGCUUUCUCGAAUGCACACACUUGCACACAAAAUUUUACCAGACGUGGUUUCAAUUUAUUGAACCAUUAGAGGGACACAUCAGUAGUCACCAAAAUGCCACUCUAAAUGGCAAUUCUCGUAAUCAUUUUGCUGUCGCUCUUCAUUCCAGUCCCAAGUACACAGCCCAAACUUCAAUUUUCUCUGGGAAGGUAAUGAAGCGUGGCUCAGUCUCAGUAAUAUGUCUUCCAUAUUCCAUGGAAUGAGCCAAAGGAGUAAUACUUCUAUAGUUAGAAGCAACUAGCAAUCAUAUUGAAGGAAUUUUCUGUAUCAGAUAAAGAAAGAGCAGCAGAGAACAAAGCUGUUAAUCAAUCAACACAUGUACAGCAGUAUUAGUAUUUCUGCCUUAUUGUAGUGCCUAAUUGGGUAUUAGGAUUUCUCCUCAAGAACGUUUACUAAGACAUUCAGCCAAGUAUGAAGUUCAUCAAUAAUCAAUCUUUUCGGUAAAUAAACGAAACAUAUUGAGUGCCAAACUUGCCCAGCCUUUGAAACAGAAUUUCAGAGCAAGCAACAGAACAAAGUCAGAAAAUACAUUCAACUGAACCCAACACCAGAAAGCAUAACAAAUAUUAUUUAUUUUUUGUACACAAUUAACGAACCGCCCCUGAAGCACAAAUCAAUGAACUCUCAACUGAAAAUCCGAAACGAAAGUUCUUAUUUAUGAGUACACAGCGGAAACAAAGACACCAAAAAAAAGUGCACCACCGUAGGAUCAGGAUUUGUAUGUGUAGACAGCAAAAGUGAAGACGGAAAGGAUUCUGGUUGAAAUUGAAGCUCGGGCUGCAGUCAUGAUGUUUUCUGCUCUGAUUUCACCUACACAAGUCAUUAAAGAAAUUAUGAAAAAUAAGAAUUUUAAAUUACAUUUUUUUUCCUUAACUAUUAAAACAAAUGAACGCUGAUGUCUGCUAGGCUCAUGGUUGAAUGUGGAAGAGUACUUAAGUCUCCACUGCUGCUAAAGAGGGCUUGAUGAUUGGGGUGAGUAUCGGAAACUCUAAAGGGUACUUAAUGUUUAGACAAAUUGGAAGAAAACACUUUGUAUAACCAUUUUUAUACUAAAGAGAAGGGGAACAAAAAGUAUAUGCAAUUGGAUAAGUAAUUAAAAUUUGAAGAAAUUGGGUAAAACGAGAAACAUACAUCAAACUCAAUAGGGGCUAAUCAAAUUCCGUAAGGAUAAAGCUGAACGCCAUACUGCUCCUUAUCCUUGAAUUCCCGUAGCUUUUGUCUUAGCUCUGGCUGAGGCCACCAGCAAUCGAACUUGUUUAAGCUCUUUAUGCCCCAGAGCUGUUCAGGCAUCUUUUUCAAGUAAGCACAAGGGUUGAUAAUCAAGCAUUCUAGUUUUGGCAUGGCUCCAAUCCCCAUAGUCCACUCCCCUAGCCAUAGCAUUGAUUUCAGGUGCAAUACCUUGAGAUUUGGAAAACCAUCAGAGCCACAAGUCAGCUUCCUACCUGAAUACGAAUUUUGCUUCAGUUUGAGCACUUGAAGAAGCGGCAGCUUUUCUAGUGUCGGCAUGGGAUCAUCCAUUAGGUCAGUAUUAGAAAAACUCAAGUGGGUUAGACUAUGAGGAAAUAGGUAUUCAGCAAGGACGAUUUUGGAGAGCCGUGGCAUCUUGCUUUCAUUCGCCAGCUUCAAUGACUUGAGAAAGCUCAAUCUGCAGAGACUUUUGGAAAACAAAGAUUGAUUAUAACUUAAAUCUCCCCGUAUUCGGAGAUUUUGAAGAUUAGGUAGCCUGCCCAAUAUAUCUUCAGUACAGCAGCAAGGAUGCAAGGCCGAAAUGAAAUUUAGAUUUUCCAGAGAGCCACAAUAUUUUCCUGGAUGCGCAGGAAGUGUGAUUGACCCAAAAUUUAGAUGCCUGAGUUUGUUCAUCUUCCAAAAUUCAUCUGCUGUAUGAUCUAUGUAGCUAAAGGGCAUGUCUAGGGUGUAGAGGUUUAGAAGAUUGCUUAAUAAUGAGGAAGGCAGGCUUUUGAGGGAAGGGAUAUUCAACUUCAAAUAUCUCAAAAGAAAUAAAUUUUCAAUUUCGGAUGGAUAUUGGUUGAGAACAAGAGAUCCCAAGUCCAAUAUUCUGAGAAGUUUGAACAUUCCACAAAUUUUCUCCCAAUCUAUGGGGUCAAAGUGGCAGCUUUCUGGAGAGCAGCACAAUAAAGAAUGCAGUUGCGAGUCAUAAUCAUCUAAGCAAUCAAAAUCACCCUCUCUUUCAACAGCGUUUAACCGUUUGGCUCUUUUUCCUGAUUCACUAUCGAUGGAAGGGGAAAAGAUGAAUUCCACCUCAGAAGAAACUGUGAACAACACGGGACGCCAACGACCAGGAAUAGAGCAUGUGUUGAUAGUGCCUCCGGCUUUUCUCUUCUUUGCUUCAACAAAGCCUUCCUUGAUAAGUUGUUCCAAGUAACUCUCAGCAGUUGCCUCACUAUUGUCUGGAAUGAAACCUUCAGCUAUCCACAACUGAUAUAACUGCCUGGUGGAUAUCUCUAGGUGUACGGGAAACACAGAUAAGUAGAUAAAACAAGGUUUCAAGCAAAACGGUAACAUGCAACAUUUGAAGUACCGAAGCACAAGGGGUAUCUCCACUGCUUCCCCUAUAUUUUCUUCUAAUGAGAUGCUUCCAUGAUAUAAGAUGAGGAAAGGCCAUCCUUGGUAUGUAGCUCUCAAUGGUCCUCCAGUGGGCACUAAAUCAAGCCGAAUGUUCUCUCCGUCUUCGAGCUGAAAUGAGGUGACCAUCUUAAUUUCAGUGAGUGUUAUUAAUACUCUACUUCUAUUCUGAUUAUCCGGGAGUAUUUCUCGAAUAAUAGCCCAUACUUCAAUGUUCCACACAUCAUCAAUCACAAUCAAAUACUGCUUGGUCAUUAGAUAUUCAUGAAGAAUAAUUUUUUUCAUUUCAUAAUUUUUAUCCUUCAUUUCACUCAACCUAGAUGAAGGCAUCAGAAACUUAAUAAUGAUAUCUAAUAUUUGGUCAGCAUCAUAUUCAUUGCUGUAAGGUUCUGUAAUCCAAGCGUGACAAUCAAAAUAAUGCUUCACAUAACUGCUGUUGUAAGCCUCUCCGGCGAAAGCCGUCUUGUCCAACCCAAUGCUAUCAAGUAUGGCCACCACUGAAAGCUGAGGUGGUCCCUCAAUCAAUAGAUCUAACAACUCCUCCAUUCUAUCAUCUAGACCCACCGUGUCCCUACUUUUAGAAGAUGAAGAUAUACCUGCUUCAGCUUUAAAAGUUUUGAUGCGAUCAAUGAUUUCGGAAUCCAUGUGCUUAAGUUGUUGCAUUCGUUGCUUAAUAUCAGUGAUUCUGCUUUGGAGUCCUUGCAGAGCAUCAAAAAUGUCCUUGCUGCCGCUGCUUUGACUCUUCUGUUGAGUGAUGCUGUUGAUGAAUGUGUCAAUGACCCUCUCAGAUUCAUACGUAAAGCAAUUGAUUUCAUCCAUAACGGUCGCCAGAUCUGGGUUUUCAAUUUCAUCUUCUCCGAUCUUUUCCAACAUAAGCAAGGAAGUUUCAUCUUCAAAUUCACUCAGCCAAGAAGUAACGAUUUCAACCUCCGCAUGAAGGUUGUGAAUAGGUAGUUUUGCAGCAUCAGGCAACGUGACUUCUUCACCAGCUAACACCCUUCUCAGCCUCUCUGAAAAUAGUCUGAAGUUGAUGUCCAUAUCUCCUCCUCUCUCAGAUUCACCCCGAAAUCAGUCCUAUAAAAGGACAUCGUCAAGAAGUUGAAUAUGCUUUAAAGCUCGCAAUUCAAACAUUAGUGCUGGCUCCCAUACCUCCCUUCUCUUAGCUAGUUCUCCAGUCAAGAAGUUGAAUCAAGAUCGUUGACUCUCAAAUUAGAACAGAUCAAGGCAGAAUCUUACAAUAAUCUCGUCUCCCAUAUGAUGAAAAAAGAAUAAAGCAGAGAAAAAUAAACAGGACAUCGUCAAGUAUCGAUCAAGACCAAUUUGUUUUAUACAUCCACUUUUAAGAAAGGAAGGGUAAAAACAAUUCCACUGGGACUAUAAAAGCUUGUCUGAAAAGAAAAGAACGGAGCAAGCACAAGAGCGUUAUCAAUUAUUUAAUAAUUAAGCUGUGGAAAAAUGCCAAAUCAUGUCUGGUGUUAAAUGUUAAAUUUAUUGCGAGACUUGCAUGUAUCUUGCAUGUAUCUAUAUCACAAAUAAAAUUUGUAUCCCAGGGUUAUAAAUGUAAAAUUACUCAAAUAAAUAUGCAUUCUUAAUCAUGUGUGAUGCUGUCUUAUUUCUUCAACCAGAUUUAGAGAAAGUACUAAAUCGUUUGUAAAAUUUUAUAGUUAAUAUAUGUUCAAUUUUCUUUUUAGCAUUCUUUUUUAAGAGAUGAAAAAUGAUAAAGAGUUCUAACAACGGGUGACAAAAAUAAUAGUAAAUUGUGUACUGUUACAAUGUUAAUUGAAAAAUAGUUAUAAUUUUUUAUUUAACAUUAUAAAUAAAAUCUAUAGUUGUUUUCUCACUACUGUAUCAUUUUUUGAUUCAAAUAUCAGUAUUAUAUGAACUCUUUGAAAGGAUUACAUCAUAUGACACUAUUUAUAAUUAUUUUCAUUUGAGCCCUUAGUGUUAAAAAUAUAACAAUCCAUCAAUGAAAUCAAUGAUAAUGGAAUUCUAAGUAGGAAUGGCAGAAAAAUCAAGUCUAGCUAGAGCUAGUUUUCUAAGUAUUCUGGCUGGUCUUGGGCUCCGGCUAAAAAGUCCGAACCCAGCUCGAAAGCCAAAAAAAUACUGAAAAUUUUAAAAAUUGUAUAAUUCCAAGCCUUAAAGACUUCUCCAAAUGUAUGGUACAACAUUGCAUAAUAGGACCAAUCACAUGGAGAUGAUUUGUACAUUAUUGUACACAAUUUUAGUAUGCAUAUCAGAAGAGAGGCAGCAAUCUUAGUUGAUACUUUUAUUUGACAUAUGAUGUAAGAAACGGAACAAAGAUUGUAACGUUACAAAUUUUGCUAUUCAGCAUCCAAAAUAUCACUAGAACUUGCAAUACAAGCUUUAAUCUCUUCAACAACCCGUCGAAUUGCGGCCAGGAACACAAACGCAGAGAUGGGUAUCAAGAUCGCAUUCGAAAUCGACUGACAGGGAUUGUCACAGUUGGCAUUGCUUUUACAAGUGACUGCUUUUGAUUCCGGUUGAGCAUCAACUGCCGGCAUGGAAAUAUCAAACAACACACCUGCAUAUAUAAAUGGCAAUCAAUUAAUUAGCCUAAUGCUAAUAACACGCCUGCAUAUAUAAAUGCCAGCCAAUUAGUUGUCAUAUUAUAGUUAAUUAUGCAUGCAUUAAAAAGAUGAGGAAAAUAAGAUUAAGGAACAAACAUGAGGCUACCAAGAGAGUGAUGAAAAAUGCGGAUUUAAGUUUAAGUUACAUAAUGUUUAUGUAAGCAAAAGUGCAAAACUGAGAGUCUGAGGAUAAUGAUAUUAUUAAAUUUAAUAUGGGUUUGGUUUGUAUAGAUUCAUGAGUUUCUCUAGACAUUAUAUAGGGGGGGGGGGGGGGGGGGGGGGGGAAUUUAAUCCACUUGACAACUAAAAAAUUCAGAAAUCAAACCUCGAUUUGACAAAUUAGAAAUUUAAAAAUUAAAUUUUUUUCCAUAUGCAGGCUCUCGUUUUUCUCUCUAUCACAACGGUAUAAUUGGAAUUAUUGUUAUGACAAUUUGAUUCUCUUUUCUUACAUGUUGCAGGAGUCAUGUCCUCCCGUUGAGGUGACAAAAUGACUAUGGAUUGUGCCCGAGUGGAGUACACCACCAGUAUGAUUAUCUCACUCCCUUUCGAGGUUUUGUUGCAGUAAUUUCUCAUCUUUUAUAGGGUACCCUGCUCUUCAUUGCUUCUGUAAAAGUCUUAUGAGCUAAUUGCUUCCGAAUCUUUAAAUUUCUUCAAUGAGGAACCUUUGUUUGGAAAAUCGAUUUUCAUCUGAUCCGAGAAGGUUGCUUUGAAGCAGAGAGCUUAUGAAAUGCAGCAUGCAAAAUCAUGACUACAAUGCAGUAGACUAAUUGUUAGCUCACUCUAAGCAAAGGCAACGUUCAUAAAAGAUGAAGAAGAGUUUCUAAUAUUUACCAACAUAACUGAUAGCAAGUGCACAGAAUAGAGCUAUCUGAACAUUCAGAAGCAUAAGAACAACCAAUGUAGCUGCAAAGAUGAGAUGUAAUUACUACUGUGAAGUCGACGAAAGAAUUCCACUAUUUAUCAACAGCUAGACUGUAGUAUAAUGGAAAGACCUGCCAAGGAAAGUUUAAAGCAAAACUUAUCCAGAGAAGGCAAGAACAUAAGUAUAGAAGCAGAAGUGCACACAUUCAUAUUUAGGGGUAACGAGAAAUGUAUCAUAAAUCACUUGCUCUAGCACAGUACUAUUUCAUGCUAAUUUUCUUGCUCGUUCUAUGGUUAGGACCCUUUGAGCGGAAAGAAAUCAAAUCACAAUGCUUAUUCUAGCUAGAAACUCCUGAAGUCCAUGCUUGAACCCUGUGUCGAUUGGUCAUAGACUCCAUAUUCUCCUCUCCCAAAAGUAUGACAUUUUUUUCUUCCACUGAUUAAUGGAACUUAAAACUGUUUUGCCACAAUCUUAGUCAUACAAACCCUUUCUCUUUACAUUUCUUAAGGUCAUCAGACCCAAGCCAGAACAUGUUUACUUCCUAGGAGAAAUCUUAAAUAUCUUAAUCAAUACGGAACUGUGUAGUUCAGACAGCAUUCCCUUGGCCAACUAGACGUAAAGAUUUGCAAUGUCCUAGUAAGUCUAUGAGUGGAACUAACAGUGCCCUUCCAAUACGGAAAAACAAUCAUCAAAAACAAUUUUUUUACCCCAUCAACCACAUACAGUAUAAGACUGUAGCAGGUUAUCUCAAUAUCGGCUGCCAUUUUGAUUCAAAGAAGAAAUAUUUGAGAACUCACCACAUUGUGCAAUGCGAACCAGAACCUGCCUAAUCACAGGAUGCCAAUCCCAGUUCCAUUUGUCACUACAGAACUUGAAAAAAUCCCAAAGUGCCAAACUUGAUAUCAACCCAACAAGAGCAAGUGGCAUCUGGUAUCUAUAAGAUGGAGACAGAGACAAUGUCACUAGACAGAUGAUACACAGAAAAAAAAAAAAAUGUAAUACAACUAACACACACAAUACUAUGAUUAAAAAAAUAUCUCCAUCAGUUAAAAACUAAACAAUGGAAAGGCGAGACUCUAUGAACUAAUGCCCUGAACCAGCACAAAUACCAAUUCUCCUGGAGUAUUUUAAGUAUUCAUAUAGUUGUUUCAAAGCACAGGAAAAAAAACAAACAACGCAAAAUUGCAAACUCAUAGUGUUGUUAUUUAUCAAUUGGAACCCAGAAAAAAAUAGCUGUAAUUUAAUUAUUCAUUUAAGCAGAUUGAAACCCUUACAAACACAGGUAAGCAAAUCAAAAUUAUCAUUAAAAAUCCAAUCAAGGCCACAUAAAUCUAAUCACAUCCAAAAGCAUCCCAAAAUCUCGUUCAAUAUUCAUACAACCACAUACAAAAACCAUUCAAAAAUUUAAUUUUUUUUAACUCAAAAUAAUAACUCAGAAAAGGAAACAAAAUUCUUACAGAGAGCAAGCAAAGAAGAGGAUGAACAAAGAAGCAUAAUUCCUGGCAUAACGUUUAACAUUCUCAUGAACUCUCAACUUAAGGGUGUGUGGGGAAGAUGGAAACGAGAAAGACCCAAGAGCCCCAAUAAACUCACGGGUCCAAGACGGGGUGUUGGCUGAGAAAUCAUCAGUGGUGAGUUUAGCAAAAGGGUUGGCGGUAAGAAGAGAGAUAAAGGUGUAUAAAUAAUGUAAAAGGCUGUGAGUUAAGGUCGUGGCUGUGGCUGUUUCUUUGGUGGAGGCUGUUGUGACGGCGGUGGCCGACGUGGUGGUGGCGGUGUCGAGGAUUUCGAGGUAGCCGGACUCGCGUAGCCAUGACUCGAAUGCUGGGUCGGGUACGUUUAGAGAUAACGGGUUGGAUGCGAAUACCUUCCCCAUUACAAAAAGCUAUCCAAUUUCGGUUGAAUGAGGGUCACUAAAUUAUCAAAAUAUUAAUAACUAAUUUUUAACAAAAUUCAUAUGAUAUGAUAUGAUGAUAUAGGCCUUGGUUAGUGGUUUUCUAAACAAUUUAUUAUUAUUAUUAUUCUCUUAAUCACUCCAAGUUUAAAUUUGGAAGAUGUAGGGGAUAGAAAUAAAUUAUAUUAGGAUUUGUCGAUUUGUCAAUAAAAACUUCAGUAUUAUAUGCUUAAUUUUUUUAAAGAAUUUUCUUUGAGUAUUGUUUUGAGUAAAUAAUUGUAAUUAAUUUAACAUGCUUAAGGACUUUUAGUAUUUUAAAGACCAUACAAAGUAUAACUUAAUUUUUUAAGUUUAAUAGAUGAGUGUGUAGAACAAUAAAGUAUUUAAAGUAAUUAUUAGAGGAUAAAUAGGCAUAUCCAAUACUCUUUUUUUUUUUUGAAAACAAAGUAAACCUUUCAUAAAUCACAACACCUCAAAUACAACUUGAAUCUUGGCUGGAAUAGUUCCUAGCCACAUAGAAGAAGAAUUUCUUCCCAAAGCUAACUUAGCUAGGGAGUUGGCAUAAGCAUUACAUUGUCUUAGAAUGUGAUGAACAAUAACUUUUUGAAAACCUUUCAACUGAUUUCGGAUCUCCAGAAUUGUCCAAAAAAAUUCUGUUUUGCUGCCCUUGGUAUUGUUUACAAGUUGAACCACCUCUAAGCAAUCUGACUUAAUGAUCAAGGAGGUUAAAUCUGCUUCUUUUGCCAACUGAAGCCCCCAUUGCACAGUCUCUGCCUCAACCAAACUGACUGGUCCCUUAAGAUGAAUCUGAUUAAUACCGGCUGCAAUUAUCUUUCCAUUAGAAUCUCUAAUCACUGCUCCCACGCCUGCAAUCUGAUUCUUAGUAUUAAUGGCAACAUCCACAUUAAUUUUGAAAAUAUUUUCAGGGGGAGGGAACCACUUUUGUUGUUUCUCUCCUCUGGGGUGGGCAAUAUGAGAAGGCUUUUUCUUUCUUACUCUUUGAAAAGCUGAGCCUUUACAACAUGAGCAGGGAGGGGACUCCACUUUUGAUGCAUCAUAGAUAGUUUCUUCUCUGCAAAAACUUUGCCCAAAUUUCUUAAGUUUCUUAAAGGCAUCCAUCAGAUCUGCCUUUGCAACACUUUCCACAAAGUAGAAACUUUUCUUCUCAAAAUUCUGCAUCAUAAAAUACAAAACCAAGCAAAAUCAAAUGAACCCCAGAUUUGUAAAUCUGGGUAGACAAACAAUAAUAAACCACCACAAAUCUCUAGAUCUGAGUGGAAGAACAUACCACCACAAAUUUGAAAAUAUGAGUGGAAGAACAAAACCACCACAGAUAUGAGGAUCUGAGUGGAGAAAAUAAGUAAAGAAAAUAAAAAAGGAAUGAAAAAAGAAGGUUUCGCCGGAAAACGAACUCAUAGAGCUGAUUUUCCGACGAAAGAAGAAGGUGAAAUGUUAUUGGAUGUUCAGAGCCUUUUUUUUCUGGAAAGGCAUAUCCAAUACUUUAACUUAUGGUUGGUUGUUUUUUUCACAUAAUUUUCUGAUUUGAAUUGAAUCAAUUACAAGUUGUGACUCGAGCUCAAGAGAGUUGAAGAGAAAGAAAAAGAAAAAUGGAGUCCUUCUCUUGUCCCUUUUAAGUGAAUAUAUUUAGGUUGGGUACCGCAGGGUAGUUGAUGAGCAUAAUUUAUAUACAUAUUUUACCCUUAAUUAUAUAAUUACUAGCUAUUUUCAUUGGUCAUUUUUAAUUAAUUGAAUUAUUUUAUUGAAUAGGGAAUUAAUUGGGGAUUAUGGAUGAAAAGUGGAUAAAGAAUAACAAUUGGACAACAUUAAAAAUCAAGUCAAUUUGUGGAAGCAGUUAAGCAAAUGUGUAUGAAAUUCAAUCCGAAGAAGCCGAAGCCAAUAAAUUGAAUUCUCCAUGCUAGUGCAAACAAAGAAUAAAUUUAAAGCUAAAGUGGCCUGCACGUGAGAAGCAAUUGCAUGGCAUUAAAAAAAGAAUGAAAAAUCCAAGUGGGCUUCACGUGCAUGGGCUCAAAGUCAGUUGUGCUUUGCUUGUUUUAAAACCUUUUGAUUUGAGCAAAGUAAACACUGAUGCAGCCAUUUGCUUUGAAAAGAACAUUGUAGGGCUGGGGGCAGUAAUCAAAAAUGUUUUGGGGCAUGUUACAGCAGCUGCUAUCAAGGUUGCUAAGUUUCGUGGAGAUGUUUCUUAUGCAGAAGCAGAAGCCAUGGAAUGGGGUAUGUUAGUGGCGCGAGAGGCCAACAUGAAAGCUGUCAUUAUGGAAUCAGAUUCUCAAGGUGUGGUCAAUUUAGUUAACAACAAGCAGGGCAGCAGAUCAGAGAUCUAUUGGGUUGUGUCAGAAAUUCAGAAACUAGCGGAAAGCUUCGAACGUGUUAGCUUUAAAUACACGACUAGAUCUUGAAAUGUUAUUGCCCACUCUUUAGCUAAACUAGCUUUAGAGAAGUGCGAGAAUGUUGUGUGGAAAGGGUCAUACCCUUCACAAGUGAUGUAUCUCUUUUCCACUUUAGUUUAAUGGAAAUCUCUUUUCAAAAAAAAAAAAAAAAAAAAAAAAAACCUUUUAAUUUGAGGAUUUUGGAGGGUGUUACAAUAUAAAAGUCGUGUUAACAUAAAUAUGUUAAUAAUAUUGAUUUUGAUGCUAACAAAUUUUAAAUGAUUUUUUGAUAAAAGUAUUGGAGCUAUUUCUUAAUAAACGAGAGCCUUAGUAAUCAUUCCAUUCAUGCUUCAUAAAAGAUGGACUUUAAAAUUAGAAAAAGAUUCUCUGCAAAAACUAGUUUAAAAUGCAAUUCUGGUUAUAAACGGUUCACCGUUUAUUUAAACGGUUAACCGAUAACAGCCAGAGAGCAACGUAUUUCCUAAACCUCUAACCGUUUAUGAAAAACGGAAAACACAAAAGAUGGGAAGGUUACUGGAACUUAACGGUGAACCGUUUAUUUUAAACGGUUAACCGAUUAGAACCAGAGAGCAACAUAUUACCUAAGCUCUAACCGUUUAUGCUUAACAGAAAACACCCAAGAUGGGAAGGCUACUGGAACCUAACGGUGAACCGUUUAUUUUAAACGGUUAACCGAUAACGUCCAAAAUUGAAGGUUGUCCUCCUCUGGCACUGAUUAACGAAAACUGAUAAGGCUAAAUUUGUUUUGCAGGUUACUGGAGACAAACGGCGAACCGUUUAUAUCAAACGGUUAACCAAUAAUUUCCAGAGAAGCCACUUCACGCAAGUCCUUAACCGUUUAGCGUAAACGGAUAACAAAUACUCAUUUUGCAGGUCUCUGGAAGUUAACGGCGAAAGGGCAACCCUAAACGGCAAACCGUUUAUUUGAAAUCUGGCCCAACGGUAACUUUGACCAGCCUAAACGGUUAACCGUUUAUGGUUAACGGCGAACCGUUUUCUGUCCGACAGUUUGUAACGGCUAGAUUUUCGGCUCCAAAUAUAAAUAAGCUCAUUCAAAUUCAAAGAUGAUUGAUCACAACACGACCAUUUGAGCUAAUAUUCGAGAAUACAAUCUUCAUAGAGCUUAGAACAUAUUCUUGCUUCAUCUAUUCACAUAUUAAGCAUCAUUGUGUAAUCUUAUAUAUUGUGAGAGGCAAAACAAUUUAUAAUCUUUUAUUUUGAGUGAUUGUAAGUGUUGGGAUACACUUGGGUUAAGAGAUUGGGGAUAAUCUCUUGUUGUAAAGGUUCAUUGACACCUUGGAAGUCAAGUGUAAGCAUUUGAAGCCUUGGAGGCUUGCUUAGUGGAAUCCUCAAGCCCGGAAAGCUUGGAGGCGUGGACGUAGGCGAGGUUGGCCGAACCACGUAAAAAUCUCGGUGUUUGAAUCCCUCUUCCCUUAUCUUUUUAUAUUGUGAUUCUCUUAAUUGUUAUUGCUUUGAAUUUGAUUUAUAAUUGCAUUAAGAUUUUCUUUAAUAAAUUGAAUAAUUUUUUAGAAUCCCAAUUCACCCCCCCUCUUGGGUUGCAUACUUGUAUUUCAAUUGGUAUCAGAGCCUCGUUCUCUUGUUAAGACUUAAUCGUCUAGAGUAAAAGAUCCAUGGCAACCCUAAAUGACUCAACCUUUAGAGAAGGGCAAUCCACAACUAGACCACCAUUUUUCGAUGGUAAUGACUAUGCUUAUUGGAAAACUAGAAUGAGAAUUUAUUUGCAAGCCUUAGAUUAUGAAAUUUGGGAAGUUGUUUGUGAUGGUCCAUUCAUGCCUACGUUCAAAGAUGAAGUAGGAGAUGAUAUUCCUAAACCAUCGAGUCAAUGGAGUGAGUUAGAAAAGAGAAAGAUGUCUCUAAACUCCAAGGCUAUGAAUGCUUUGUUUUGUGCCCUUGAUAAGAAAGAAUUCCAUAGAGUAUCUAGUUGUGAAAGUGCACAAGAGAUAUGGAACAAACUUGAAGUUGUCUAUGAAGGGACAAAUCAAGUGAAAGAGUCUAAAAUCAGUAGAUACACUCGUCAAUAUGAGUUGUUCCAAAUGGAACAAAAUAAAAAUGUGUAUUCUAUGUAUACUAGAUUCACGGACAUAGUGAACACCCUAGGUGCCUUAGGGAAAACCUUCUCAAAUAGUGAGAAAGUUAAGAAAAUCAUUAGGUCUCUUCCAAAAGAAUGGAGACCCAAAAGAACCGCUAUUGAAGAGGCCAAAGAUUUAAAUACUUUACCUCUUGAUGAUUUAAUUGGUUCUCUUAUUUCGUAUGAAGAGGAUUUAGCUGCAGAAAGAGGACAUGAGGAGAAGAAGAAAAGCAUUGCUCUCAAAGCUUCAAAAUAUGAGAGUGAUGAGGAGAGUGAACCGGAUGAUGAAGAACUAGCCAUGCUAGCAAGGAGGUUCAGAAAAUUCUUCAAGAAAACCGGAGAGCGAAGAAAUUUCAGAAACUUCAAGAACUAUAGGGAGAAGAAGGAGGCAAUCACUUGCUAUGAAUGCAAGAAGCCUGGACAUAUAAGAUCGGAGUGCCCACUUAUCAACAAACUCAAGAAGAAAGCAAUGGUUGCAACUUAGGAUGAUAGUGAGGAAGAAUCAAAUGAUGAAGAAGGAUCGCAAGAAGUAUCAAACCUAGCACUCAUGGCAAUAGGAGGAGAUGAUGAUCUCAAUGAGGUAAGUGAUCCUACCUAUGAUGAAUUAUAUGAUGCUUGUCAAGAUUUGCAUAAUGAGUUAAUGAAAAUUGGUAAAAAGAAUGUAUGUCUUAAAAAGAAAAUGGCAAAACUUAAAAAUGAAAAUGAAUCUCUAAAUGCAAGAAUUGUAUGCCUAGAAGUAGGAAACAAAACAUUGCAUGAUGAAAUUGCAUUAUCAAAUGAGAAACCUAGCAUCUUACAUGAGCAUUUGAAAUCACACAUAGAUGAGUUGAAAAAUGAGAACGAAUUGCUCAAGAAAAAGAAUAAUGAAUUAAAUGAAAUUGUUUUGAAAUUUACAAAUGGGCAAAAGAUGUUGGAUAAUAUGCUUAACUCACAAAAAUGUGUUUUUGAUAAAGGAGGACUUGGAUAUAAGCCAAAUUUGAAGCAAAAGUAUUAUAAGAAUUAUUUUGUUAAAGCUACCUCCCCAAAUGAUCAUAAGAUUGUAUGUCAUUAUUGUAAUCAAAAUGGUCACAUGAAAUUUAAAUGUCCCGUGAAAAGGAAUGCAUAUUAUGGUGUCAAGUGCAUUUGGGUUCCAAAAGGAACCGUUGCUAACUCUCAAGGACCCAAAAAGCUUUGGGUACCUAAAACUUGAGACUUUUUCUUGUAGGGCUUGAAGAAGAAGAAGAAUAAAUGGUACUUGGACAACGGUUGUUCAAGGCACAUGACCGGAAACUAUGCAUGGUUCUCAAACUUUUCCAAAAUUGAAAAUGGUGGAGACGUAUCCUUUGGAGACAACUCAAAAGGAAAAAUUCUUGGAAUUGGAAAUGUUGGUAAAGUUUCUUCAACUCUAAUUGAGAAUGUAUGUUUGGUUGAAAACUUGAAACACAACUUAAUUAGCAUUAGUCAAUUAUGUGACAAAGGUUAUAAAGUUAUCUUUGAUAAAUUUAGUUGUGUUAUUGAGAACUCAUGUGAUGGCAAAACCUUAUUUGUUGGAAAUAGAUGUGGUAAUGUUUAUAUCAUUGACAUAAAAUGUGCAUCUACUCUUGAUAAAUGUUUUUCGGCAUUGCAUGAUGAUUGUUGGUUGUGGCAUAGAAGGUUAGGAGAUGCAAGUAUGGAUUUGAUUUCAAAAAUUUCGAAAGAUGAUUUAGUUAAAGGUCUUCCGAAAAUUGGUUUUCAAAAGGAUAAGAUUUGUGAAGCUUGUCAAUUUGGAAAACAAAUUAAAACUUCUUUCAAGAAUAAAAACCAUAUUUCUACUUCAAAACCACUUGAACUUCUUCACAUAGAUCUUUUUGGGUCAUCUAGAUAUGCAAGUCUAAAUGGCAAAUAUUAUGCUUUUGUGAUAGUGGAUGAUUAUUCUAGAUAUACAUGGGUAUUAUUCUUAGCCAAUAAGGAUGAUGCUCUUGAUGCAUUUAAAGUGCUUUGUAAGAAAUUACAAAAUGAAAAAGGGCAUGGUAUUGUAUGCAUUAGGAGUGAUCAUGGAGGAGAAUUUGAAAAUCAUGCAUUUGAGAGUUUUUGCAAUAAUCUAGGCAUUGAGCAUCAAUUUUCUUCACCUAGAACUCCACAACAAAAUGGAGUUGUUGAGAGAAAGAAUAGGUCUAUUCAAGAAAUGGCUAGGACCAUGUUAAAUGAAAAUGCAUUACCAAAAUAUUUUUGGGCCGAAGCCGUCAACACCGCUUGUUAUGUUUUAAAUCGGGUGUUGAUUAGACCUAAUCUUAAUAAAACUCCAUAUGAGCUUUGGAAAGAUAGAAAACCCAACAUUGGCUAUUUUAAAGUUUUUGGAUGCAAAUGUUUUGUUCUGAACACAAAAGACAAUCUUGGUAAAUUUGAUUCAAAAUUCGAUGUUGGUAUUUUUCUUGGUUAUUCAAAUUCAAGCAAAGCUUAUAGAGUUUAUAACACAAGAACUUUAGUUGUGGAAGAAUCUAUGCAUGUCACAUUUGAUGAGUCUAACCCCUCCUCUACGAAGAAAGUCGUUGUUGAUGAUGAUGUAGGAGAAGAAGAACAAGAAGAAGAAGCAUCAAAUGACAAUCAAGAGGAUGCACUACAUGGAAUUCAAGAGGAACAUCAUGAAGAAUCAAUGUGGAGCAAAAUGAAGGUACUUCUCAUACACUCCCCAAGGAGUGGAGGUAUGUCUCUUCUCACCCUAAAGAUGUAAUUUUAGGAGAUCCCUCAUGAGGUAUAACAACUAGAUCAUCACUUAGAAAUACUUGUGAGCAUAAUGCAUUCAUCUCUCAAAUUGAACCAAAAUCCUUUGAGGAUGCAGAAAAUGAUGAAUUUUGGAUUAUGGCAAUGCAAGAGGAGUUAAAUCAAUUUGAAAGAAACAAUGUGUGGGAACUAGUUCCUAAACCUGAACAUCAAUCUAUAAUAGGUACUAAAUGGGUGUUUAGAAAUAAGAUGGAUGAAUCCGGUGUGGUUGUAAGAAACAAAGCUAGAUUAGUGGCUCAAGGUUACAACCAAGAGGAAGGAAUUGAUUUUGAUGAAACCUUUGCACCUGUAGCAAGGUUAGAAUCCAUUAGGAUGUUGUUAGCAUAUGCAUGUCAUAAGGAUUUUAUUUUAUAUCAAAUGGAUGUCAAGAGUGCUUUCUUGAAUGGAUAUAUUUUGGAGGAAGUUUAUGUGAAACAACCUCCUGGUUUUGAAAAUGAAAAAUUUCCAAAUCAUGUGUAUAAGUUGCUCAAAGCCUUGUAUGGAUUAAAACAAGCACCUAGAGCAUGGUAUGAUAGACUUAAAAAUUUCUUGCUAGAAAAUGACUUCUCUAUGGGUAAAGCGGAUACUACUCUUUUUGUUAAGCAUAAGAACCAAGACAUACUUAUUGUUCAAAUUUAUGUUGAUGAUAUCAUUUUUGGUUCUACUAAUGAGUUGUUGUGUAAAGAAUUUUCAUUGUGUAUGAGCAAAGAAUUUGAGAUGAGUAUGAUGGGAGAGUUGAAAUACUUCCUUGGACUUCAAAUCAAACAAAGCGGGGAAGGAAUUUUCAUAAAUCAAGCCAAGUACGUAAAGGAUCUACUCAAACGAUUCGGCAUUGAUGAUUCAAAGACCAAGAAUACACCAAUGAGCACAACAACCAAGCUGGACAAAGAUGAAAAAGGUAAAGAAGUGGAUAUCAAAAUGUAUCGAGGUAUGAUCGGAUCCCUACUCUAUUUGACUGCAAGUAGACCCGAUAUCAUGUUUAGUGUAUGUUUGUGUGCAAGAUUUCAGUCUUGUCCCAAGGAAUCUCAUUUGCUCGCUGUUAAAAGAAUUUUCCGUUAUUUGAGUGGAACCAUAGAUAUUGGCCUUUGGUAUCCUAGGGGAACUCAUAUAGAUUUAACAUGUUUUUCGGAUGCGGAUUUUGCUAGUUAUAAAGUGGAUAGGAAGAGCACUAGUGGAACUUGCUAUAUUCUAAGACACUCUCUUGUUUCAUGGUUUAGCAAGAAACAAAAUUCUGUUGCACUUUCAACUACUGAGGCUGAAUAUAUAGCUGCCGGAAGUUGUUGUGCACAAGCACUUUGGAUGAAACAAACACUUAGAGAUUAUGGCAUUAAUCUUGAACAAAUUCCUAUUAAGUGUGAUAAUACUAGUGCUAUAAACCUUUCAAAGAAUCCCAUUCAACAUUCUCGAACCAAGCAUAUAGAAAUAAGACAUCAUUUCUUGAGAGAUCAUGUUCAAAAGGGAGAUAUUGCAUUAGAGUUUAUUUCCACGGAAAAACAACUUGCCGAUAUUUUCACAAAACCGCUUUGCGAAGAACAAUUUUCAAAAAUUCGGCAUGAACUUGGGAUGAUGAAAUUUUUGCAUUAACAUCUCUAUUCAUGCUAUUGAGUGUACUGAAUUGAUUGAUUACUAUUUAUGAAAUGCUUGAGCUUGGUAGACAAAUGAUGAAUUUGCAUUAAUAACUCUUGAUUAUAUGAAUUGAUUGGUUGAAAACAUGUCCAUGAAUCAUGCAUUAAACUGGCUCAUAAAAUAUUUUCAGAUCAAUUAAAUGAUCUUGGAAUAUAUUAUUUGCUGGCCAAAAAUUAAAUCAAAUGUGCGAAAUUACAGAUUGAAUAAACGGUUAGCCGUUUCCUAUAAACGGAUCACCGUUUAAUUCCAGAAACGAGAUUAUGUGUCUGCCCGUUUACCCUUUCACCGUUUUCCACAAUCGGUGAACCGUUUUUCAACAGAGAGUCCUCUAACAGUUACUCCUUAGUCGUUAAGCGCUUAGGCUUUCACCGUUUCCCUUUCUUCAGCCUCUGGACGUUACCCUUUCACCGUUUCAAUAAACGGUUAACCGUUUUCGCGAAGUAUAUAAACUGUUUAAAGGUUUUCUUCUCCUUCUCCAGUUACCCUCUCACCGUUUCCUCCAUUGUUGCGCAGCCGAAGGUCUCUUUGUCCUCAAAUCCUCAUUUUUCUUGAUUUCCGUGCCAAAUCAAAUCCUCAAAAUCAUUUCUUAUCACCUUUAGAACAUUUCUACCGAUUCAAAACUUCAAAUCGAACCCAAAAUUCAAAAAUCCCAAAUCUAAACCCUAACUGUCGCGAGUCGGGUUUCUCUGUCCUUAAUCUGAUUUCCACCUUUCUUCAACCAAAUUAAACAUCCUACUCACAUCUUCUACUCCUCAUUACGUGUUUCCAUGGCUGAACCUCCUCGGAGAAAUCUCAGACGUAAAUCUGUGCCUCCAAGGAAUCCCAUACCACCUCGGGACGUCUCGGAAUUUGCAAGGAUUCACUUCCCCACUCCUUCCUUGGCCAAGCGAUUCGAAGAACGCUUCAAUGGUCGAAAGGUACUUGACUCCUUCUUUGUUGACAUUGAUGAUUUCCAUAAUUUGGUUGUAUGUGGUAGAAGCAUUUGGGAUAUGCUUCGGCCUUGGGAGUCUGGCAUUGAUUUUGAUGACCGAGUUUAUCCAAACUUAGUGCGAGUCUUUUAUUCGAACAUGGAAAUCUCCAAUACUCGUCCAAAUAGGAUAGUCACUCAAGUCGGCCGUGUACCCAUAGAAUUUGAUGAUGCGGACUUAGCUGACUUUCUAGGUAUCUCUUGUGAGGGGAUUGACAUCUACACUUCUAGGAAAACCCUCUCCUUUGAUACUUUUUCUCAUACUCACGGCGUCCGUAAUAUAUGUCGUCGUCGAGACUUAUCGGAUGAUAUCUGUCAGCUUCCAUUUCGGUCUCAACUUUUACCGCUCCAAGUUCGUAUUCUUCACUCUAUUCUACAGCACAUAGUGACUCAUAGGAAGGGUCACUCGGAUGAGGUUACGAGGUUAGACGUCGCCUUAUUGGAUAGCCUUAUUACAGACCGUCCCAUUAACCUCGGGUAUAUUAUUGUGCGACAUAUGCUGAGUACUCCAGUGGUCAACCACCGCUUGUUUCCCUACGGCAGUAUCAUCACUAAAAUACUGCGACGCUUUGAGGUGCCACUUCUUGAUACUGGACAUAUGGAGACUCGACGGAUUGGUUCCGAGGCAGUAACCAGUAUCGGAUUCUCUAGAAAGAAUGGAGUGUGGAUAAAGACAAGCAACUCCAAAAACCGGGAUACCUUGAUUGCUCCAGAGGACGAUCGGAUGCUCAAUGAUGUCUAUCGUCCCGACCAGCUUCCUGACUUUAGACUAGGCGCUCAUCCUCAUCCUCCGCGUCGCCGUUUUGUUCCUCAGCCUCCAGCUGACUCAGACUCUGAGGAGCGUGCGAUGGAUGCUGAUAUUCCCUCCUCUUCCGAGCCGCCUACUGCUCCUGAGCCUUCUGCUGUUCCCGAGCAGCCAUCUGCCUCUAUGCCGCCUCCAGCUCCAGUUCAGCCCCCUGCUUCAGACGCAGUGCAGCAGCUGAUCUCUGAUGUUCAGCGGAUUUCGGAGCGCCAGCAGCUAAUUCUUGAUCGGUUGGACACUCUUUCCCGUGACCACCAGCAGCUGCGUUCUGACUUUCAGAUAUUCCAGCGGCAGAGCCUUGAUUAGCAGAUGGAGCUUAUCGCUGGACAGCGCACUAUUCUCGGCUAUUUCGGCUAUGAUCCAAGGAGCACAUCUUCUCCGCCUCCGUAGUUUCUGAGCUUUGUCUUCGCAUAUACAUUUUACAUUCUGGUUGCUAGCAUUUUUAUUAUUAUUUUGAUUUUGAUGCAUAUGUGUGUGAUGUUCUUGAUGAUUAGCUUAUUGAUGCUUUGUGAUUGCCUAAUUGGUUGGAUAUUGUAGAAAUGGUUUAUUUGUGGAUAUUGGAGUGUUGGUAUAUUUGUGGAUAUUGAAGUGUUAUUUUAUCUUGUUCAUGGAGUUGUUGGCUUGUUGAACGCAGAAGUUAAUGUUGAUCUAAUUUUGGAAGUGUUUUAUCUCAUUUUGUAUUUAUGGUUUUACUCAUUUUUAAGGGGAAACUCUGCCAAAAUUUUUUUUUUUUUGCUUGCCAAAACCGGGCACUUUCUUUCAUGAAUUUGCGUAUUUCUUAUUUCCUCUUUCCUUUUGAUGAUGAAGGGGGAGAUAAUUAAAGUUUUUAAGAUGGUUUUUAAGUUUUUAAGAUUUUUUUUUAAAUUUUAAAUGGGGAGAUAUUUGUUUUUAAGAUGGAUUUAAAAUGGGGCAAUUUAUUCACAUUUCUCAAUUUGGCCAUACAUUUAGGGGGAGCACAUAUUAAGGGGGAGCUAAACAUUGAUUAGAAUUUGUCAUCAUCAAAAAGGGGGAGAUUGUUAACAUAAAUAUGUUAAUAAUAUUGAUUUUGAUGCUAACAAAUUUUAAAUGAUUUUUUGAUAAAAGUAUUGGAGCUAUUUCUUAAUAAACGAGAGCCUUAGUAAUCAUUCCAUUCAUGCUUCAUAAAAGAUGGACUUUAAAAUUAGAAAAAGAUUCUCUGCAAAAACUAGUUUAAAAUGCAAUUCUGGUUAUAAACGGUUCACCGUUUAUUUAAACGGUUAACCGAUAACAGCCAGAGAGCAACGUAUUUCCUAAACCUCUAACCGUUUAUGAAAAACGGAAAACACAAAAGAUGGGAAGGUUACUGGAACUUAACGGUGAACCGUUUAUUUUAAACGGUUAACCGAUUAGAACCAGAGAGCAACAUAUUACCUAAGCUCUAACCGUUUAUGCUUAACAGAAAACACCCAAGAUGGGAAGGCUACUGGAACCUAACGGUGAACCGUUUAUUUUAAACGGUUAACCGAUAACGUCCAAAAUUGAAGGUUGUCCUCCUCUGGCACUGAUUAACGAAAACUGAUAAGGCUAAAUUUGUUUUGCAGGUUACUGGAGACAAACGGCGAACCGUUUAUAUCAAACGGUUAACCAAUAAUUUCCAGAGAAGCCACUUCACGCAAGUCCUUAACCGUUUAGCGUAAACGGAUAACAAAUACUCAUUUUGCAGGUCUCUGGAAGUUAACGGCGAAAGGGCAACCCUAAACGGCAAACCGUUUAUUUGAAAUCUGGCCCAACGGUAACUUUGACCAGCCUAAACGGUUAACCGUUUAUGGUUAACGGCGAACCGUUUUCUGUCCGACAGUUUGUAACGGCUAGAUUUUCGGCUCCAAAUAUAAAUAAGCUCAUUCAAAUUCAAAGAUGAUUGAUCACAACACGACCAUUUGAGCUAAUAUUCGAGAAUACAAUCUUCAUAGAGCUUAGAACAUAUUCUUGCUUCAUCUAUUCACAUAUUAAGCAUCAUUGUGUAAUCUUAUAUAUUGUGAGAGGCAAAACAAUUUAUAAUCUUUUAUUUUGAGUGAUUGUAAGUGUUGGGAUACACUUGGGUUAAGAGAUUGGGGAUAAUCUCUUGUUGUAAAGGUUCAUUGACAUCUUGGAAGUCAAGUGUAAGCAUUUGAAGCCUUGGAGGCUUGCUUAGUGGAAUCCUCAGGCCUGGAAAGCUUGGAGGCGUGGACGUAGGCGAGGUUGGCCGAACCACGUAAAAAUCUCGGUGUUUGAAUCCCUCUUCCCUUAUCUUUUUAUAUUGUGAUUCUCUUAAUUGUUAUUGCUUUGAAUUUGAUUUAUAAUUGCAUUAAGAUUUUCUUUAAUAAAUUGAAUAAUUUUUUAGAAUCCCAAUUCACCCCCCCUCUUGGGUUGCAUACUUGUAUUUCAAGUCGAACUUUGGCUUUUGCAAGAAGGAGGAGCCGCCAGAGGAGGGAAACGCGAGACAAAGAGAAGAAAAUCUGAAGUGGUUCGACUUCCAUGGCUGGUUUUAUCUCUUUUGUUACUCUUAAUUCAAGUAUGUCUAGCUAAUUUUCUUAUACUGAGGUUAAGGAUGAAACUCUAUUCAAUGAAAUAAUUAUCUUUUUAUUUAUUUAAUUCCCUAUAUAUGUUCUUUAAUGAUUAUGAUUUUUAUUUUACAUAAUUAAUUGGAUGUUAUUAAAAUCUUUUCAUCAAUUUUGUCAUGCAUUAUUGAUUGUUGGGAUUAAUAUUCGAUUAAAUCUAUGCUUGGAUUUAUAAAGUUUAUACAUGAUUAUCUUUGAUUAUAUGUCUUUCAUUAAAUUGUUUACAUGGAGUGCUUAGGAAACUUUGACUAUUUGUUAUUCAAUAUGUUCACAUGGGAUACUUAGAUGUCAUACUAUUAAGCGGAAAAAGAACCUAUAUUAGAUUUAAUUAUUUGGGCUUAAUUGUUAUAUCCAUGAGAUGACAUAUAUUGAUUUCGAGUUAUCACUCUAAAAUUGGGGAUUAAUGAAUAUUUAGAUAAUUACUAGUUGAAUAGUGGUGGAUUCUGAAACCUUGGUAAUUUCUAUCCUAUUGAAUUCUCCUUUUCUUUAAUUGUUUUCUUAGUUUAAUUAGUUUAAUUUCUCUUAAAACUCAAUUUGCUCAACUAGGCUAGAAUUAAUAUUAAUUUUAUAUUUAAAUUAGACUUUUCAAUUUAUAACAAUCCAUGUGGGAUCGACCUCGUUAUCACUAUUUUAUUUCUAGAUUCGUGCGCUUGCGAGUUUAUUAAAAUUUUCACAACAUUAGUUUAAUCUUUUCUACUGCAUGGCACCUCUUUACUCAAAUAUCAAAUGAGCUUGCUCUUCACGUGACGCUAAAUUUACCAAACUUUAUUUUUUUCCUUAAUUGGCUCGUGUAGGACAGUCGAGGUGUCAUUUUUUUUUUUUUCACCGUUCAACUUCUUAUUUAUUAUUCUUAUACCGCAUGUCAGCUUUCAAUUAGUCCAAAAAUAUCCUUCAAAUUUUACCUCCAAACAAAUCUAAUAACCUCUUGAAAACAAAAAAUUAAAAAUUUAUUCAAUCAUUCAAUGUUAAGGAAAUUGGCCAAGUAAUGGAAUGCUAACAAACCGAAUUAAAUUUCCACAUUUAUUUUUUUUUCUCAUGCAUGCUCUACUAAAAAUAUUUGAUGUCGUGCUAAUGCUCACUGCAAAGUAUAUAUUAGAUGCUCGCGCAUAUACCGUAGGCUAUAGCUAUACAAAAACUUAUACUUGCGUUCUCGAAUGCACACACUUGCACGCAAAAUUCUAUUAUUGAGAGUCGCUGCUUUCUAUAACACGGCCUUUUUCUAGCCUUUCAUUAGACGUGGUUUCAAUUUAUUGAACCAUUAGAGGGACACAUCAGUAGUCACAAAAAUGCCCCUCUGUAGAACCUGAAGGGAACUUCAGUAGCUCAAACACCUUCAGCCUCUGCCCAAGAUUCAAGAUCAGAUUCCUAGAUGCUUGACUAUAGAUGACUUGAAAAAUGUUUAACCAAGAACUUCAAGUGAACAGAACAAUCAAUGGUUUAAGAAUCAAAGAAUCGAAAAAAAACUAAAGAAUAAAGAACAGAGGAGAUUUAACGUGGUUCAGCUAAAACACUUAGCUUACAUCCACGGAGGAACAAGACUUCAGGCUUUUAUUGAAUGAACUCAAGAUUACAGAGAAUUACAGAUUGUAUCUCAUGGAAAUUACUACCUAUUAAACCCAGGAGUAACCCCCUUUUUAUACUCAUAAAUUGUAGCCAGCUAUCUGCACCAGAAUCAGCUCCUUUUCAGUUGCUGAUAACUUCCUGGAAACUAAUCCAGAUGCUCACGUGCAAGCCAUGCUUCAUUAACGACUUUAACGGCUUCUUUCAUUCGAAUCCAUUCACGUGAGUCUCAGGUGUUUCACUUAAGUCAAACGACAUUCCAAGACAUCGUUUCACUUAGCUUUGGUUUACACACCGAAACGCACUCUGUCAAGUCGUUUUGAAUGCCACUGAAUUGCUUUCAAUGGUUACUUUACACCCUCUAAAUGGCAAUUCUUUUAAUCAUUUUGCUGCCGCUCUUCCUUCCAGUCCCAAGUACACAGCCCAAACUUCAAUUUUCUCUGGGAAUAAUGAAUCAUGGCUCAGUCUCAAUAUGUCUUCCAUAUUCCAUGGAACGAGCCAAAGGAGGAGUACUUCUAUAGUUAGUAGCAACUAGCAAUCAUAUUGAUUCUUGAAGGAAUUUUCUGCAUCAGAUAAAGAAAGAGCAGCAGAGAACAAAGCUGUUAAUCAAUCAACACAUGUAAAGCAGUAUUAGUAUUUCUGCCUUAUUGUAGUGCCUAAGUGGGUAUUAGGAUUUCUCCACAAGAACGUUUACUAAGAUAUUCAGCCAAGUGUGAAGUUCAUCAAUAAUCAAUCUUUUCUGGAAAUAAACGAAACAUAUUGAGUGCCAGACUUGUCCAGCCUCUGAAACAGGAUUUCAGAGCAAGCAACAGAACAAAGACAGAAAAUACAUUCAACUGAACCCAACACCAGAAAGCAUCACAAAUAUUAUUUAUUUUUUGUACACAAUUAACGAACCGCCGUUGAAGCACAAAUCAAUGAACUCUCAACUGAAAAUCCGAAACGAAAUUUCUUAUUUAUGAAUAGACAGCGGAAACAAAGAAACCAAAAAAAAUGUCCACCGCCGUAGGAUCAGGAUUUAUUUGUGUAGACAGUAGAAGUGAAGACGGAAAGGAUUCUGGUAGAAAUUGAAGUUCGGGCUGCAGUUAUGAUGUUUUCUUCUCUGAUUUCACCUACACAAGUCAUUGAAGAAAUUGUGAAAAAUAAGAAUUUUAAAUUACAUUUUUUUCCUUAACUAUUAAAACAAAUGAACGCCGAUGUCUGCUAGGCUCAUGGUUGAAUGUGGUCUCCAUUGCUGCUAAAGAGGGCUUGAUGAUUGGGGUGAGUAUCGGAAACACUUUGUAUAACCAUUUUUGUAUUGAAGACAAGGGGAAAAAAAGUAUAUGAAAUUGGAUAAAUAAUUAAAAUUUGAAGAAAUUGGGUAAAACGAGAAACAUACAUCAAAUUCAAUAGGGGCUAAUCAAAUUCCGUAAGGAUAUAGUUGAAUGCCGCACUGUUCCUUGUCCUCAAAUUCCCGUAGCUUUUGUCUCAGCUCUGGCUGAGGCCACCAGCAAUCGAACUUGUUUAAGCUCUUUAUGCACCAGAGCUGUUCAGGCAUCUUUUUCAAGUAAGCACAAGGGUUGAUAAUCAAGCAUUCUAGUUUUGGCAUGGCUCCAAUCCCCAUAGUCCACUCCCCUAGCCAUAGCAUUGAUUUCAGGUGCAAUACCUUGAGAUUUGGAAAACCAUAAGAGCCACAAGUCAGCUUUCUACCUUGUGAAGAAAGCUCAUUGUGCUGAACUGAGAAAAGAGAGGAAGUCAGAAGCUAAGGUUCAUCAGCAAUGCCACGUCAACAAUGCUGAGUCAGCUGAUUCUGUUAAGCAACAAUGAGAGCUCACGUGUGUUGCAGUUAGUUAGUAUUAGCUAACCUCUUACUGAUUAGUUAGUUAAAUUUCAGAGUAAUAUAGAUUAGUUGAUAUAGCUUUUACUAACAAAAUAUGUAACUAUAUAAAGUCUGGAGUUUUACUCAUUUGUUAUUAAUAAUAAACAAUCCAGUAUAUUCAUCAUAUUUCUCUCUGUUUUCUUAGUAACCAAACAACAUUUUCGAUUCAAUUUUUCAUGGUAUCAGAGCUAGAAAUAUGGCAAGCUCAAGCAAUUUAAACACAAAUCCAAACGCAACAAACAUGAAUCAAUCAAUACAAACUACCUUUUCAUUUAUUACGCCAAUCAAAUUGGAUAGAUCCAAUUAUAUGCUCUGGCGAAAUCAAGUAUUAGCUUCCAUAAGAGGAAACAGACUCGAAGGCUAUAUCAAUGGAGAAAAAGCAGCACCUACUCAGUUUCUUACUUCUGGAAGCUAUGCUGAAACAAUGGGAAGAGUUUCACAACAAGUUGAAAAUCCAGAAUACACGAUCUGGAGAUCACAGGAUCAAACAUUACUAAGCUGGCUAUUAAGCUCAAUUACUGAAGGUAUUCUCAGUCAUGUUCAUUCUUGUAAUACUGCAUAUGAUGUGUGGAAAACUUUGGAGAAAAAGUUUGGUGCAAAAUCAGAAGCUAGAGUUCUUCAACUCAAAUAUGAGAUGAGUGUUUUGAGAAAAGAUUCGCUAAAUAUAGAGGAUUAUUGUUUGAAAAUGAAACAAAUAGCUGACAAAUUAACCUGUGCUGGUAGUCCAGUUUCUGAUAAAGAUCUGUUACAACAGAUUCUUAAUGGUCUUGGACCAGGCUAUCUAGAUUUAGCAACUUUCAUUACUGCAAGUAAGCUGGAUUUUGAUGAUUCAUAUGCAUUGCUAUUGACACAUGAAACAAGAUUAGAACAGAGUCUAAAUGAAAAACAGAUGCUCAAUGCAAAUCUUGCUAAUGUUUCUCAUAAUAACAAUAGCUAUGGUAUGAUGAAUGCUUAUUAUGCUCAAACAAGAGGUAAUGCUCGAAGAGGUGGAUAUAAUGGAGGAUUUCAUGGUGGAAAUCAAUUUGGAAGGAAUAAUUUUCAUACUGGAAAGGGAAUGUUUAUCAAUUCUCAUCCAAGAGGAUUUCCUUCUGGAUCUGGAAAUUUUGGUAAUAAUCUUGGUAGAGGUCAAAUGAUUGGAAACAACAAUAAGCAGACACAAUUCAUGAGAGGACAAUAUAGUAUUAACUCUGGUUUGUCAAAUCCUGAUGGUAGUGAUGAACAAUCUGUUGUUUGUCAAAUCUGCUUUAAAACUAGACACACAGCAGCUGAAUGUUGGCAUAGGUUUGAAGAAAACUAUAUGCCUCAACACAUGAAAAGAGGAAGAAAUCAGAGAUCAGCCUAUAUGACAUACCUUACUGCACCUUCUGAAGACUCAUGGCCUGCUACAGCUGCUUAUUCAGGGAUACCUCACAUGUAUAAUCCACCAUGUUCUUCAUACAUAUCUGAUUCAAUGAGCUUGCCUGUGGCUGGAGCUGGAGCUGCUUAUGCUGCUAACUUUGAAGGACCAGCAGAUGAAGGAUGGUAUCUUGACAGUGGAGCUACACACCAUCUGACAAAUGAUAUGGCAAAUAUGCAUGUCAGCAGUGAGUUCAGAGGUAAUGACAAGCUUAUCAUUGCUGAUGGUAAAGGUCUGUCAAUCACACAUGUUGGUAAUGCCAAUUUUAAAGUUCAAAGCUCUAAAACACAAUCUGCUAGUACAUGCAUUGCACUUAAAGAUAUACUGCUUGUUCCAUCUAUUACAAAGAACCUAAUAAGUGUUUCUAAACUCACCACUGAUAAUGACUUAUCUGUUGAAUUUCUUGGUUCUGUUUGCUUUGUGAAGGAUAUACUGAAAGGGAAAAUUCUGCUACUGGGUAUUGCUGAGAAAGGUUUAUACAAAUUGCAGCUGAGUUCAUCACCACAACCUACAUAUACAUCUUUUCUAUCCCAGAGUUCAAUAAAUAAGCCUGUAUCUAUGCUAUCUCAGUGUCAUUUCAGCACUUCAGUCAAUAGUCAUUGUUCUGGAAAAUAUUCUCAGUCCAAUAAGAACACUUGUAGCACUGAUUCAUUCAAUAAAAUGUCUUUGUUUCACAAAAGAUUUGGUCAUCCUAAUACUCAAAGUCUAAUUCAUUUACUUAAGCUUGUGCAUCCUAAUUUGUGCUCUACAAAUAUUGUUAAUCAAGCAACAAAGCAUUUCUGUGAAGCAUGUCAGCUGGGAAAAUUUCACAGACUCCACUUUCCAAUUACAGAUAUAAAAUCCAAAUCAGCACUAGAACUUGUUCAUAUUGAUUUAUGGGGUCCCUCACCAGUAUGUUCUAGAGAUGGUUUUAGAUAUUACAUUAGCUUUGUGGAUGAUUAUACAAGAUACACCUGGAUUUAUCCUUUGAAACUGAAAUCAGAAGCUCUAGAAGUGUUCAAACUGUUUAAACUUCAAGUUGAAAAUCAAUUUCAAACAACUAUCAAAAUUCUCCAAUCUGACUGGGGGGGAGAAUACAGGCCAUUCACUGCCUUCCUAAAUGAAUGUGGCAUUCUCUUUAGACAUUCUUGCCCUUACACUCACCAUCAAAAUGGCCUUGUUGAGAGGAAACACAGACAGAUUGUAGAAUUAGGAUUGACACUUCUAGCUCAAGCCAAACUCCCUUUUCAAUUCUGGUGGGAUGCUUUUCAUGCCUCAGUUUAUCACAUUAAUAGACUCCCUACUUCUGCACUUAAGAUGACCACUCCAUAUGAAAAACUUUACAAACACAAAGCUGAUUAUACCAUGCUGAAAUGCUUUGGAUGUGCUUGUUAUCCAUAUCUGAGAGAUUACAAUAAGCAUAAGUUUGACUAUCACACAACCAAGUGCAUCUUUCUUGGUUACAGCCCAUUUCAUAAAGGUUAUAAGUGUUUUCAUCCCUCUGGUCAUAUAUAUAUAGCUAGGCAUGUUGUUUUUGAUGAAUACUCAUAUCCAUUUGCUUCAGAUCCUAGCUUUCAUCCUUCAGAUAAAUCUAAGUCUGAUACAUAUUGCACAAUUACUCCUAUUCAAGUUUUUCAGUUGUCAACAUUACCUGUCAUAUCAGAUCUUUCAGUCACCAGCAAUGAAUCUUUUUCUCAAGCAUACUCCAGUGGCAACAUUUUCCCUCCAGCAGUAGUCUCAACACAGGUAACAGAUCAGCAACCCUCAAACACAGAUAGAAAUAAUUCAUCUGCACCUACAGUGUUGCCUUCUGUACCUGAUACAAUAUUAGAUCAGCCCUCAGAUGAAAUUUCCCAAAACCAACACAAUAAUAAUACCUCUCAUCUCAAUCAGACAGUGAUAACCCCACCACCAUUAAACCAACAUCCUAUGAUCACUAGAGGGAAAGCAGGUAUCUUUAAACCAAAGGUAUAUACUGCAGUAUUGUUGCAUAAAGAACCAGAUACUGCUCAGGAGGCUAUAAAUGAUGAGAGAUGGUUUCAAGCAAUGAAGACUGAAUAUGAUGCACUGAUGUCAAAUGGUACCUGGACACUUGUGCCAAGAACAGAACAUCACAAACUUGUUGGUAACAAAUGGGUGUUUCGAGUAAAAUCAAACACUGAUGGAAGUGUUGCAAAAUAUAAGGCAAGGUUGGUUGCUAAAGGAUUUCAGCAGAUAGAAGGAGUUAACUACUUUGAGACUUUCAGUCCAGUGGUGAAAGCAGCAACAGUUAGAGUGGUCCUAAGCUUAGCAGUAAUGAAUCAAUGGCAAAUAAGACAGGUUGAUGUAAAUAAUGCAUUCCUAAAUGGAGAUCUAAUUGAGGAGGUAUAUAUGAGUCAACCAGAAGGGUUUAUUGAUUCCAAAAGGCCUGAUUUUGUGUGCAAACUUCACAAGGCACUCUAUGGUUUGAAACAAGCUCCACGAGCAUGGUUUGACAAGCUGAGAAACAGUCUUAUGCAAUGGGGAUUUGAGAACUCAAAGUCUGAUUCAUCUUUGUUCUUGAAGAAGAAUAAAAGAUCAAUUAUUUUAAUCCUGAUAUAUGUAGAUGAUAUAUUGAUUACAGGAUCAAAUGGUGAUGAGCUGGAAGAUUUUAUCAAGCUAUUUAGUUCUGCAUUUGCAUUAAAGGAUCUGGGAAAGCUAUCUUACUUCCUUGGAAUAGAAGUCUUGUAUGAUACUGAUAGUGUAUAUCUAUCACAAAGGAAGUAUAUUAGAGAUCUGCUGGCUAAAGUUGAUAUGCUCGAGUGUAAAGGAAUAGACACACCAAUGAGCAGCAGCAAAGAUUACAGAUUGCAGAAGAGUGUUGAAGGAGAAAUGGGUUACUACAUAGAAGAUCCAUCUCAUUACAGAAGCAUAGUAGGAGGCCUCCAGUAUUUAGUUUUGACAAGACCUGAGAUUGCCUACUCUGUUCAUAAGCUAAGUCAGUAUGUAGCUUCACCAACACUUCAACAUCUUAUGGCUUGUAAACGUGUGCUUAGAUAUCUUAAGGAAACACAAGACUAUGGGCUGAAAUUUGUUAAAGAAGGUGAGUUGAAGGUUACAGCAUUUACAGAUGCAGAUUGGGGAAGUGAUCUUGAUGACAGAAGAUCCACUGGUGCCUAUUGUGUGUAUCUAGGGAACAAUUUAAUCUCAUGGUCCUCAAAGAAGCAAUCUGUAGUUACAAAAUCUUCUGCAGAGAGUGAAUACAGAGCACUUGCAGCAGCUGUUUCAGAGAUAACAUGGUUAAAAUCCUUAUUUCUUGAGAUUGGUUUAUGUUGUGUGGAGAAACCAGUUAUAUGGUGUGACAAUGUGAGUGCCAAAGAACUUGCUUAUAAUCCAGUGUUUCACUCAAGAACAAAACACAUAGAAAUUGAUCUGCAUUUUAUCCGAGAUAAGGUUCUAGCUGGAGAUCUUAAGAUUCUCUAUGUUCCCAGUGCAGAGCAGAUAGCAGACAUAAUGACUAAGCCUUUAAACUCUACUCAGUUCACCUAUCUGAGAGACAAACUUAAUGUGCAUUUAUGCCCCUUGAGUUUGAGAGGGGCUGUGAAGAAAGCUCAUUGUGCUGAACUGAGAAAAGAGAGGAAGUUAGAAGCUAAGGUUCAUCAGCAAUGCCACGUCAACAAUGCUGAGUCAGCUGAUUCUGUUAAGCAACAAUGAGAGCUCACGUGUGUUGCAGUUAGUUAGUAUUAGCUAACCUCUUACUGAUUAGUUAGUUAAAUUUCAGAGUAAUAUAGAUUAGUUGAUAUAGCUUUUACUAACAAAAUAUGUAACUAUAUAAAGUCUGGAGUUUUACUCAUUUGUUAUUAAUAAUAAACAAUCCAGUAUAUUCAUCAUAUUUCUCUCUGUUUUCUUAGUAACCAAACAGCAUUUUCGAUUCAAUUUUUCAUACCUGAAUACGAGUUUUGCUUCAGUUUGAGCACUUGAAGAAGCGGCAGCUUUUCUAGUGUUGGCAUGGGAUCAUCCAUUAGGUCAGUAUUAGAAAAACUCAAGUGGGUUAGACUAUGAGGAAAUAGGUAUUCAGCAAGGACGAUUUUGGAGAGCCGUGGCAUCUUGCUUUCAUUCACCAGCUUCAACGACUCGAGACAGCUCAAUCUGCAGAGACUUUUGGAAAACAAAGAUUGAUUAUAACUUAAAUCUCCCCGUAUUCGGAGAUUUCGAAGAUUAGGUAGUCUGCCCAAUAUAUCUUCAGUACAGCAGCAAGGAUGCAAGGCAGAAAUGAAAUUGAGAUUUUCCAGAGAGCCGCAAUAUUUUCCUGGAUGCGCAGGAAGUGUGAUUGACCCAAAAUUUAGAUGCCUGAGUUUUUUCAUCUUCCAAAAUUCAUCUGCUGUAUGAUCUAUAUAGCUAAUGGGCAUGUCUAGGGUGUAGAGGUUCAGAAGAUUGCUUAACAAUGAGGAAGGCAGGCUUUUGAGGGAAGGGAUAUUCAACUUCAAAUAUCUCAAAAGAAAUAAAUUUUCAAUUCCGGAUGGAUACUGGAUGAGAACAAGAGAUUCCAAGUCCAAUACUCUGAGAAGUUUGAACAUUCCACAAAUGUUCUCCCAAUCCAUGGGGUCAAAGUGGCGGGUUUCUGGAGAGCAGAACAACAAAGACUGCAGUUGCGAGUCAUAAUCAUCUAAGCAAGCAAAAUCACCCUCUCUUUCAACAGCGUUUAACCGUUUGGCAUUUUUUUGUGAUUUACCUUCUGGAUCCAUGAAAGGGGAAAAGAUAAAUUCCACCCUAUAAGGAACUGUCAUCAACACAGGAUGGCAACGACCUGGAAUAGAGCAUGUGUUGAUAGUGCCUGCAGCUUUUCUCUUCUUUGCUUCAACAAAGCCUCCCUUGAUUAGUUGUUCUAAGUAAUUCUCAGCAGUUGCCUCACUAUUGUCUGGGAUGAAACCUUCAGCUAUCCACAACUGAUAUAACUGCCUGGUGGAUAUCUCUAGGUGUGCGGGAAACACAGAUAAGUAGAGAAAACAAAGUUUCAAGCAAAAAAGUAACCUGCAAUAUUUGAAGUACCGAAGGACAAAGGGUGUCUCGAAUACUUCCUCUAUAUUUUCUUCAAAUGAGAUGCUUCCAUGAUAUAAGAUGAGGAAAGGCCAUCCUUUAUAUGUAGCUCUCAAUGGUCCUCCAGUUGGCACUGAAUCAAGCCGAAUGUUCUCUCCGUCUUCGAGCUGAAAUGAGGUGACCAUCUUAAUUUGAGUGAGUGUUAUUAAUACUCUACUUCUAUUCUGAUUAUCCGGGAGUAUUUCUCGAAUAAUAUCCCUUACUUCAAUGUUCCACACAUCAUCAAUCACAAUCAAAUACCGCUUGGUCAUUAGAUAUUCAUGAAGAAUAAUUUUUUUCAUUUCAUAAUUUUUAUCCUUUAUUUCACUCAACCUAGAUCAAGGCAUCAGAAACUUAAUAAUGAUAUCUAAUAUUUGGUCCGCUUCAUACGGACAAGGCUCCUGAAUCCCAGUGUGACAAUCAAAAUAAUGCUUCACAUAACUGCUGUUGUAAGCCUCUCCGGCAAAAGCCGUCUUGUCCAACCCAAUGCUAUCAAGUAUGGCCACCACUGAAAGCUGAGGUGGUCCCUCGAUCAAUAGAUCUAACAACUCCUCCAUUCUAUCAUCUAGACCCACCAUGUCCCUACUUUUAGAAGAUGAAGAUAUACCGGCUUCAGCUUCCAGAUUUUUGAAGGCAUGAAAGAUUUCGGAAUCGAUGUGCGGAACUUGUUGAGUCCGUUGUUUUAUAUCAAUGAUUCUGCUUUGGAGUCCUAGCAGAGCAUCACAGAUGUCCUUGCUGCAGCUGCUUUGACUCUUCUGUUGAGUGAUGCUGUUGAUGAAUGUGUCAAUCACCUUCUCAGAUUCACAGGUAAAGCAAAUGAUUUCGUCCAUGACGGUCGCCAGAUCUGGGUUGUCAAUUUCAACUUCUCCUAUUUGUUGCAUCAGAAGCCAGGACGUUUCAUAUUCAAAGUCCCUCAGCCAAGAAGUAACGAUUUCAACCUCGGCAAGAAGGUUCUGAAUAGGUAGUUUUGCAGCAUCAGGCAACGUGACUUCUUCAUCAGCUAACACCCUUCUCAGCCUCUCUGAAAAUAGUCUGAAGUUGAUGUCCAUAUCUUCUCCUCUCUCAGUACCACCCUGUAAUCAGUCCUGUAGCAUGCAAAGAAAUAGUUAAAAACAGAGAGUUGGAAAGAAACUAUGCUUUAAAGCUCCCCUACCUCCGUUCUCUUAGCUAGUACUCCAUUCAAGAAAUUGAAUCGAGAUUGUUGACUCUCAAAUUAGAACAGAUCAAGGCAGAGCAGUGCCGUAAAUGAAUCUUACAAUACACUGUUCUCCAUAUGUUGUAAAAAGAAUAAAGCAGAAGAGAAUAAAUAGGUCUUGAUCAAGGAUCAAUCAAGACCAAUAUGUAUUAUACAUCCACUUUCAAGAAAGAAAAGGUCAAACCAAUUCCACCGGGACCAUAAAGCCUAUUUGAAAAGAAAAGAACAGAGCAAGAUCGUUAAUAAUUUAAGCUGUGGAAAAAUGCAAAAUCACGUCAACCACUUUCACUGGCGUGCAAAAGUUUUUAUGUAUCCACUGAAACAUUUAUUGUUGCUGAAUGAAAUGAUCUUAGGUUGACCUACACAACUCUUUCUUUCAGUACUCCAGUAGUGCAAGCAUGUCAGUUUAGUCAAUAGUUUCUCCUACACAUAAAUGAUGUUUAUUAUAGAAUUUUGAUAAUGGGUACAAUAAGAAAGUAGUUGCAGAGAAAAUAUUGGGGGUUGAUGUGAUAUCUAUUGACUUGGAGCAUAAUAAAUAAUUACAAAAUCAUUGUUUGUCUUUUAAUUUUCAUCAUACUCAUUAAAAAAGUAUUAUGAUUACAUAGUCAGUGAUUUAUAUUCACAGAAGACAAAAGUAAUGAAUAAAUAAGCUACCACUUGCAAUUAAUAAAAUGCUAACCCUAUCUGGUAAGGUAGCCCUGUUCAUUGAAAGCAAAAGCAACAGAAUCGUUCACUGUGCUGCCACAAAAUGAUUGUCAUGGAAGGCACCAAAGUUUCCAAGUAACAGACAAAGUCGAAGUAGUUAGCACUAUGAGGCGAGGCUGAAAAACUUGUUCCUCACGGUAAAUAAUUUUUAAUAACGACCUACUGCUAAUCAUUGUGUUUGUUAAUCUCUGCCUUAUGCCUUAGCUUUAACAGCACCUCCAUGUAAUCCUCUCAACCCAGUACACGGGAUCAGAGUCAGGCAAGCAUGAAGUUCAUCAGUAAUCAAAUCUCUUCGGUAAAUAAACAAAGCAUAUUGAUUGAGUGCCUCAGUGUAGCAACUGGAGUGCUUAAAACCAGAGAUACCUCAGUUGCUGCCCAAUAUCACAAUCCAAUCAAUCAAGAUGCUACCAAGAAUGAACUGAUUUGAAGUUCAAUUGAAAAUGGAAUUGAAACAAGAUGAUGAUGAAAGAACAGAAAGCAAUUAAGAUCAAAUUGAAUCAAAGAAUUGAAAGAACCAACAGAGGACAAAUCGAUUCAACGUGGUUCAGCUAAUUUGCAUUAGUUUGCAUCCAUGGGAGGAAAUUUCUGAUCAGUUUUUAUUGAUUCUUCAAGAUGCAUUACAGAGUACAAAGCAAGGAACAAGAUGUAUUACAUAACGCGAGUUAGCUAACUCUAACGAACGUAAGCAGCUUUCUACAAGCACGUGAGAUGUCCGUGCUUCAUUAAGCAGCUUUCUAGCCUUUUACUAGACGUGGUUUCAUUUUAUUGAACCAUUAGAGGGACACAUCAGUAGUCACAAAAAUGCCCCUGUAAUGGCAAUCCUUGUAAUCAUUUGGCUGCCGCUCUUCAUUCCACUCCCAAGUACGCAGCCCAAACUUCAACUUUCUCUGAGAAGGUAAUGAAGCGUGGCUCUGUCUCAGUAAUCUGUCUUUCAUAUUCCAUGAAAUGAGCCAAAGGAGGAAUGCUUCUAUAAUUAGUAGCAACCACCAAUCAUAUUGAAGGAAUUUUCUGCAACAGAUAAAGAAAGAGCAGCAGAGAACAAAGCUGUUAAUCAAUCAACACAUGUAAAGCAGUAUUAGUAUUUCUGCCUUAUUGUAGUGCCUAAGCGGGUAUUAGGAUUUCUUCACAAGAACGUUUACUAAGAUAUUCAGCCAAGUAUGAAGUUCAUCAAUAAUCAAUCUUUUCUGGAAAUAAACGAAGCAUAUCGAGUGCCAAACUUGCCCAGCCUUUGAAACAGGAUUUCAGAGAAAGCAACAGAACAAAGACAGAAAAUACAUUCAACUGAGCCCAACACCAGAAAGCAUCAUAAAUAUUAUUUAUUUUUUGUACACAAUUAACGAAACCAUGGCCGAAGCACAAAACAAUGAACUCUCAACUGAAAAUCCUAAGCGAAAUUUCUUAUUUAUGGAUAGACAGCUGAAACAAAGAAACCAAAAAAAAGUCCACCACCGUAGGAUCAGGAUUUAUUUGUGUAGACAGCAGAAGUGAAGACAGAAAGGAUUCUGGUUGGAAUUGAAGCUCGGGCUGCAGUUAUGAUGUUUUCUGCUCUGAUUUCACCUACACAAGUCAUUGAAGAAAUUGUGAAAAAUAAGAUUUUUUAAUUACAUUUUUUUGUCUUAACUAUUAAAACAAAUGAACGCGAUAUCUGCUAGGCUCAUGGUUGAAUAUACAAGGGUACUUAAGUCUCCACUUCUGCUAAAGAGGGCUUGAUGAUUGGGGUGAGUAUCGGAAACUCUAAAAGGUACUCAAUGUUGAGACAAAUUAGAAGAAAACACUUUGUAUAACCAUCUUUAUAUUGAAGAGAAGGGAAAAAAAAAGUAUAUGAAAUUGGAUAAAUAAUUAAAAGUUGAAUAAAUUGGUUAAAACGAGAAACAUACAUCAAAUUCAAUGGGGGCUAAUCAAAUUCCAUAAGGAUAUAGUUGAAUGCCGCACUGUUCCUUAUCCUCAAAUUCCCGUAGCUUUUGUCUCAGCUCUGGCUGAGGCCACCAGCAAUCGAACUUGUUUAAGCUCUUUAUGCACCAGAGCUGUUCAGGCAUCCUUUUCAAGUAAGCACAAGGGUUGAUAAUCAAGCAUUCUAGUUUUGGCAUGGCCCCCGUCCCCAUAGUCCACUCCUCUAGCCAUAGCAUUGAUUUCAGGUGCAAUACCUUGAGAUUUGGAAAACCAUCAGAGCCACAAGUCAGCUUCCUACCUGAAUACGAGUUUUGCUUCAGUUUGAGCACUUGAAGAAGUGGCAGCUUUUCUAGUGCGGGCAUGGGAUCCUCCAUAAGUUCCGUAUUAGAGAAACUCAAGUGGGUUAGUCUUGGAGGAAAUUGGUACUCAACAAGGACAAUUUUGGAGAAAGCUGGCAUCUUGAUUUCGUUCACCAACUUCAAUGACUCGAGGCAGCUCAAUCUGCAAAGACUUUGGGACAACAAAAAUUGAUAAUAACUUAAAUCUCCCCAUAUCCGGAGAUUUCGAAGAUUAGGUAGUCUGCCCAAAAUGUCUUCAGUACAGCAGCAAGGAUGCAAGGCUGAAAUGAAAUUGAGAUUUUCCAGAGAGCCGCAGUAUUUCCCUGGAUGCGCAGGAAGUGUGAUUGACCCAAAAUUUAGAUGCCUGAGUUUGUUCAUCUUCCAAAAUUCAUCUGCUGUAUGAUCUAUAUAGCUAAAGGGCAUGUCUAGGGUGUAGAGGUUCGGAAGAUUACUCAAUAAUGAUGGAGGCAGGCUUUUGAGGGAAGGGAUAUUCAACUUCAAAUAUCGCAAAAGAAAUAAAUUUUCAAUUCCAGACGGAUAUUGGAUGAGAACAAGAGAUCCCAAGUCCAAUACUCUGAGAAGUUUGAACAUUUCACAAAUUUUCUGCCAAUCUAUGGGGUCAAGGUGGUCGCUUUCUGAAGUGAAGUACAACAAAGAAUGCAGGUGCGAGUCAUAAUCAUCUAAGUAAGCAAAAUCACUCUGUUGUUCUAAAGCGUAGAAACGUUUGACAUUUUUUUGUGAUUUACCUUCUGUAUCCAUGAAAGGGGAAAAGAUAAAUUCCACCUCGGAAGCCACUCCUAACAAUACAGGACGGCAACGACCGGGAAUAGAGCAUGUGUUGAUUGUGCCUCCAGCUCUUCUCUUAUUUGCUUCGACAAAGCCUCUGUUGAUUAGUUGCUCUAAGUACUUCUCAGCAGUUGCCUCAUUAUUGUCUGAAAUGAAACCUUCAGCUAUCCACAGCUGAUAUAACUGCCUGGUGGAUAUCUCUAGGUGUGCGGGAAACACAGAGAAGUAGAGAAAACAAGGUUUCAAGACAAAAGGUAACAUACAAUAUAUGACGCAUUGAAGCCCAAGCGACAUGGUCAAUACUUCGUCUAUAUUUUCUUCCAAUGAGAUGCUUCCAUGAUACAAGAUGUGGAAAGGCCAUCCUUGGUAUGUAGCUCUCAAUGGUCCUCCAGUGGGCACAAAAUCAAGUCCAAUGUUCUCUCCGUUUUCGAACUGAAAUGAGGUGACAAUCUCAAUUUGAGCGAGUGUUAUUAAUACUCUACUUCCAUUCUGAUUAUCGGGAAGUAUUUUUCGAAUAACAUCCCAUGCUGAUAUUCUCCACACAUUAUCAAAAACAAUCAAAUACCGCUUGGUCAUUAGAUAUUCACGAAGAAUAUUUUUUUUCAUUUCAUAAUUUUUAUCCUUCAUUUCACUCAGUCUAGAUGAAGGCAUUAGAAACUUAAUAAUGAUAUCUAAUAUUCGGUGAGCAUCAUAGCUGUGAGGCUCUGGAACCCAAGCGUGACAAUCAAAAUAAUGCUUCACAUAGUUGCUGCUGUAAGCCUCUGCGGCGAAUGCCGUCUUGUCCAAUCCAAUGCUAUCAAGUAUGGCCACUGCUGAAAGUUGAGGUGGUCCUUCUAUCAAUAGAUCUAACAACUCCUCCAUUCUAUCAUCUAGACCCACCGUGUCCCUAUUCUUAGACGAUGAAGAUGCAGGAAAAUUGCCGGCUUCAGCUUCAAUUGAUUUGAGCUCAUCAAUGAUUCCGGAAUCGAACUGCUGAACUUGUUGCAUCCGUUGUUUUAUAUCAAUGAUUUUGCUUUGGAGUCCUAGCAGAGCAUCACAAAUGUCCAUGCUGCGCCCGCUUUGACUCUUCUGUUGAGUGAUGCUGUUGACGAAUGUGUCAAUGACCUUCUCAGAUUCAUACGUAAAGCAAUUGAUUUCAUCCAUAACGGUCCCAAGAUCUGGGUUGUCAAUUUCAACUUCUCCUAUUUUUUGCAUCAGAAGGCAGGAGAUAUCAUCUUCAAAUUCACUCAGCCAAGAAGUAACGAUUUCAACCUCCGCAUGAAGGUUCUGAAUAGGUUGUUUUGCAGCAUCAGGCAACGUGACUUCUUCACCAGCUAACACCCGUCCCAGCCUCUCGGAAAAUAGUCUGAAGUUGAUGUCCAUAUCUCCUCCUCUCUCUGUGCCUAGUGGUCCUAACAUUCAAAUUGAGACAUAAUUGAGAGAGACAAUGAUUAAAAGAUUUUAAAAAAUAAUAAUAAGAAAUCUUUAUGUCUCUCAAUUCAAACAUUAACCAGCAUUAAUUGUUGAUGAAACUCUACUCAGAACCAUAUGCCUGAUACCUCCUUCUCUAAUUAAUCCUGCCGAGUGUUGCCAUUCAAAAAGUUAAAUCAUGAUUGCUGACAGUCAAAUUACAAGAGAUGAAAGGCAGAGUGCUGGAAAUGAAUCUUAUAUCCUCAUGUUGAGUAUGCAUUCUCAACCAAGAUUGGUGACCAAUCAUUACGUAAAACGAAUAGAAAGAAAAAUUUUAUAAAAUGCAAAUUAGCUUGGAAAGAUUCUACCUAGAAACCAUCAUGUGACAAAUUAAUCUCUUUGUCAACGCAUUUCUAAAUGUAAUAUAAUAAGUUUCGUCCUGGAAAUGAGCAAGAUGAUGCUUGUACUCAAAAUAAGCUAAGCUAGCCUUCAAUUUUUUUUUUUUUUAAUUUCCCCCUUUUUAUCUGAUUUGUCAUCAUAUGAAACGUGUGAGGAAAAACAUAACUUGUAAACGAGAAUCAAAUGCAAAUAAAUCGUGAACCUAACAUUCAUGAUAUAAAAAUAAUAAAAUGGAGUUAUUUUGUGGAUAAUUCAAAUAUUAAACUACCUGUUUUUUCUUGAAGUGAUCACAAACUUCAAUAUCCCGACGAUAUAUAUCUUAUUUUGAUUAAAAAACAACACAAUCAAAUUAUUACAUAGAAAGAAUAGGAAAAACAAAGCUGAAUUUUAUUUAAAUUGGGUAUUGAUAGAUGAAUGAUUUUGUUAGAAUUGAAAAUGAUCGUGCAUGUGAAAGAAAAAUAAGUUCAGAGAAAAAUAAAAGAUCAAGAUCAUUUAAACUUUACUUGUAAGUAAAGGAAAAUAUCUUGGUUCAAGAAAAGAAAGAGAUACCAAACUCACAAAAUGGAAAAGGAGAAAGGUUAAACAAAGACUUAGUUCAAAGAAAAGAACAUGAUGCUGGUGUCCUGUCAUCUUUUUUUUUUUAUAAUUAAUUUUCAUUUUUCUUUUUCCAAUUUUUGUUUUUCCAAUCCAAAAAAUGAACGCAAUAUACAUUUGCUAACUGGGAAAAAAGUCAUUUUGUCUCAAAAUAAAAUGACAAUAUAUCAUGAUUACAAGAUGUCUUGUGUUGGGUUCAGUUAUUCCAUGUGAGCCAACCACCCAUGUUGAGAAGAUGAGCGACUUUUAAGGGGAAUAAAACUGUCUGCCUCCCGAGGGGUAUUUAAGAAAACAGUGUACACCAGAAGUGGGGGAUCAAAAGAAGGAAUGAAAAAAGAAAAUUAAUCUUCCAUCGUAGAGAAUGAGAGAAAAUUUAUAUUAUUUCAUCUUUUUUUUUAGGGAUAUUAUCAUUUUUCUACCAAAAGUAUUCUGACACAUUAUGUCAGUACCACGGUUUGGUAAAACUAUCAAUUUACCACCAAACGUUUAAACUGUUAGCAUUUAAUAAAUAAAUUUGCCCUUUAAAAAUUAAAUAAAUUAAAUCAAUUUAUGAAGUACCUAGCACCACACAGUCAAUUUUACAAAAUUCAUGAAGGGUAAUUUUUGCCCUUUAAGAAGGAAAAACACCAAAUGAUGAUUUAAUUACAAAAUUCAUAAAAGGUUAUUUACACGGUCUUUUACACUCCAGGGGUAAAAUUGACCUUUUAUGAAUUUUCCGUUACAUAUUAAUUGAGUUUUAACGGAAUGGUGGGAAAAUGCUAACAGUUUAAAUAUUUGGUGGUAAAUUGAUGGUUUUACCAAACCGUGGUACUGACAUGAUGUGUCAGACUACCUUUGGUGGGAAAAUAAUAAUAUCCUUUUUAUUUUUAUUUUGCUUGAGUUAUUUCCUUAUAGUCAACUAUUUAAUUUGCUUCAAAUCUAACUUAAGCAUAAGAGAGUUCUCGCCGGAUCCCCCACCGGUGAGUCGUGACCGGUUUUUGUAGUUUUCAGGCUGCAGAUUUAAGUUCAUAUCAACAUUCAAAUUUUGUUCGUACUAGUUUUCGACUCGAAACAAAUUCAGUUGUUGAGCUCAUUUUUCGACAUCAACAACUUGGACAUUCUUAAGAUAGCAAAAUCAAUAAACUCAACAUUAUGUUACUGGCUAAAGAGUGAAGAAACCAUAAGAAUCCAAUGACAACCAAAGCAGAAGGAUCAAUUUUAAUACAAAAGGGAAUUCCUCUGCUGCAAACAAGGGCUUUGAUGUGAUUGUAAGGAAUUGAGAGUGAGCAGCAGCACAUCCUCUCGCCAUCAACUUCAUUGCACUGCAUUACAAGGCAAAUGUGAAAACGAUUACAGCUGCCCUUUAUUCUCUUAGUGCAAUUGGGCUGCUAAUCAACCAAUAGAGAAAGAAUUCAGUCAUCAAUUCUAACAAAGCUUCCAAAACCUGCAACGCUACAACUAAAUUUUAAAUCUUCCACUUUCAGAACUUUACUCGUUAAAUCUCCUUUUCAAUUCUACCUAGUCCUUACUGGAUCCUUAAAGUCACCAAGGAUUAGUGAUGGUUUUUUAUUUUACAAGGGCUGCUGGACAACCCAGAUUGACGAGGGCUAAAAUCUCCAUAUAUUUGGAGGCUAUGAAGAUUAGACAAUAUGCCCCAGUUUUUUUUUGUUGUUGUGUUUAAUCCUCUGUUAGUACCAAGAUCACACACCUAAGACCCUCUUUGACGUAUCAAGAAUCAUUCCCAGAAACCCAAACUCAAAAUUGAAUCAAAGUGCCUACAUCCACUGAAGAACAAGGACCAUUUCAUAAUCAUUCCAAGAAUAUACAACUUUUUCUCUUUAACUCUCUCUUUCUAUGGCUUUGAUGAGACAUGUGAAGAUGACCCAACAACCAGCCAUAUAAACUACAAUAAAGGCUAUUUCCAACAAACCCGAAAUUUCCCUGCACUUUUUUAACGAACCCCAACUGACUUUGGACCAGCAUUGUCGCCCUUACAAUGAACGACACGUCGGCGAAAUUCCAAAAAAUCGAACGACAAUAUCGUUCUGUCAGUUUUAAGAUGAUGAGAUGUGAUCACAGCACAAACAUUUUUCGUCUCACUAAAGUAAUGAGAUUGAACUGUACCACUACUCAAAAACUAGAAAAAUAAAAUAAAAUAAAAAACAAUAACAUAUAUGCAACUACAAUGUUGACAAAUUGAAUACACACCAGUGAACGUGAAAAUAUAAAGUAAAACAAGAAAAUGACAUAAUCCCUGAAAACAAAGAAACCAAACAAUUCUUAUAAGAAAAAAAAAAACCACACAAUUUCAGUGAAGGCUGGAUUCUUAUUGAAAUUGAAACUUUGGCUGCAGUACAGUUAAGAUAUUUUCCGCUCUGCUUUGACCUACACAUACAAGUAAUUGAAUAUCUUAUUUUACAGUUUUUCUUGAUUAUUUCAACAACCAAUACAUAAGGGUUCUGCCUCUUCUAUUAAUAAGGGAUUAAUGAUUAGUGUCAGUAUCGGGGAAUGUGAUGGACACUGAUACGAAUUUAUAUAUCAAAUUGGAGCCAUCAGAGGAGGCGCAAGUGGAAGAGCUCAACCAAGAACCCACAGUCAGUCAACCCAAGGAGGACAUUCACCAUGAGCUAGUGCAAGAGAAUCAACGGCCCAAACGAAACAAGAAACUUCCAGACUGGCUACGAGACUACGUCGUUUAGGAUGAUAUGUAAAAGCAUUGUGAUUGGCUGCGUUUGUUUUGGAUUCUUUUUUGUCAUUUUCUGUUGCGUUGUCAAAUUGGUUAUUUUCGAUUGUCUGUUAUAUAUUGCGGGAUUUUGUCAUUUUGGGAAGGCAUGAAAUGAAUGGACCACUUUUCUUCCUCUCUAUGACUCUUCUUCUUUUCUUCUUUCUCAUUUCUCAACUUCCAGUUCUUUCCUCUGGAGCAAACACUCGCUCGAAGUAGUGAUAAUUUUGAUAUUGCUCAGUUUCACGAAUUAAGAGCAUAUCACUGGUGCUUUCAUUGAUCAUGGCAAAUUCUGAAAUUCUUUUUGCUUUACAGACCUUUCAAGCAACUUUUGACGCCAAACUUGAUGGGCAACAACUGUCCAUCCAUCAAACAAUCUAACAAUUCAUGACAUCAGUUGACUCUCGUUUUGAGGAGUUACGUAUAGAAAUUCAUGGGUCUUCCAACAAACCAGUUGGUUCCUCCAACCCUUCACACCCUUCAUCUUCUAAAUAUGAUGGCGUUCUUCAUGGUUCUGAAGUUUCUCCAGUACUUCGUUCCAUGAAAAUGGAUGUGCCCAAAUUCGAUGGGUCUGACCCUACUGGAUGGAUUUUUCGAAUAGAAGAAUUUUUGACUUUCAUGACACACCUGAGAUCCUCUGACUACGGAUUGUCUCUUUUCAUAUGGAGGGUCGCGCUGCCGCGUGGUAUCAAUGGAUGAAGAACAAUCACUUGGUCACUACUUGGCAAGAAUUUUUAGCUAACUUGCGCUAUCGUUUUGGUGCUUCUUUGUAUGAAGAUCCCCAAGGUGAUUUGUCCAAAUUGAGCCAAACUACCACGGUUGCCGAUUUCCAGUCAGCUUUUGAAGAUUUAAUGAACAAGGUCACUGUAAUUUCUGAACCUCUUUUGAUUAUUUUUUUCAUCACUGGUUUGAAACCCAACAUUCGACGGGAAUUGUUUUUCUCUAGACCGUCUUCAUUAAUGGAAACUUUUGCCUUAGCUCGUGCUUUUGAGGCCAAAUAUGACGAAGUGAAACAGAGCUCACGCUCAUGGCCUAAAUGGCAGCAACCGUAUCCCCUUUCACCUGGUUUCCAAACACAACCCAAACCCAUUUAUCCAUCCUCUUCACCUGCAACUGUUACCACAGCCAUCACCCCCGUAUCAUCUUCAACUCUUCCCUCACAAACCCACAAUACCAAUAACUCCAACACUUUACCUGCAUUAUUACCGACACCAACAUUACCUAUUCACCAUUUGUCUCCAGCCGAACUUCGCGACAAACGCGAGAAAGGUUUAUGUUACGAUUGUGACAAAAAAUACAGCAGCAAUCAUCGCUGUCGCAGUAAAUUUCUACUUCUCAUGGGCAUGGAUGAUGAGGAAUUGGAACCCAAACAUAACGAGGAACCAUCAGAAUUGGUAGAUGCUGGUAUUACUGGUGACAUCUCUAGCUUAAAUGCUCUAGCAGGGCAGGCCAAUCCUCGCUCUCUUCGUUUAAUUGGAGAAAUUGCUUCGCACACCUUUCAAGUGCUGAUUGAUAGUGGCAGCACUCACAAUUUCAUAAAACCGGCGUUAGCGGAACGAUUGGGGUUAGCCAUUCAUCCCACUACCAAUUUCCGAGUGUAUAUUGGCAACGGUGACUUCCUGGUGUGUAAACAGUUCUGUCCUCAAGUGAACUUAACAAUGCAAGGCACGACUUUUAUGGUAGACCUCUUCAUUUUGCCAAUUGAGGGCACAGAUGUAGUCCUUGGCAUUCAAUGGCUACAGAAAUUGGGCAAAGUGUCCUAUGACUACUCUGCCCUUACCAUGGAGUUUUCUUUAAAUGAGCAACCAGUGAUGCUUCGUGGUGAUUUGUCUUCUAAUACUUUGAUCACUUAUAAUCAAUUGCAGGCAUUGGUUCAAAGUGAUACCGUGACCAGCCUUUGUGCUUUACAACCAGUGCCCGCCAUCGAUGCUUUGCCUUCAUUCUCCAUCACAGACACUUCCUCACUUGAAUUUCCUUCUUCCCUUCCUGCUCAAUUUCUCAACCUUUUACAGCAAUACAAACACCUAUUUCUCCAACCUUCUAGCCUACCACCACACAGAACUAUUGACCACAAAAUCCAUUUAUUACCCAACACAUCCCCCAUCAAUGUUCGUCCAUACCGCUACCCACACUUCCAAAAAUCUGAAAUGGAAAAACUGAUAAGGGAAAUGUCAGAGCAGGGCAUAAUUCGACCUAGCCAAAGCCCUUUUUCCUCCCCGGUUCUCUUGGUCAAGAAAAAAGAUGGCACCUAUCGGUUUUGUGUUGACUAUCGUGCAUUAAAUGCCGUAACCAUCAAAGACAAGUUUCCUAUACCGACAAUCGAUGAGUUGUUUGAUGAACUUGGGGGCGCCACCAUUUUUAGCAAAUUGGAUUUGCGCGUGGGAUACCAUCAAAUUCGUGUCCACAACCGCAACAUAUACAAAACGGCAUUUCGAACACAUGAGGGCCAUUAUGAGUUUCUCGUCAUGCCGUUUGGGUUGACAAAUGCCCCAUCCACUUUUCAAGCCACAAUGAAUCAGAUUUUUGCAGCUCAUCUCCGGAAAUUUGUGAUUGUUUUUUUUUAUGAUAUCUUGGUUUAUAGCUCCUCCAUGGCCGAGCAUUUGCUUCAUCUUGAGCAAGUAUUAGCUUGUUUACAUCUUCAUCAAUUUUUUAUUAAAUUAUCCAAAUGUUUGUUUUGCCAGGCCACUAUUGAGUAUCUAGGCCAUAUUGUUUCAGCCUCGGGAGUACAAGCCGACCCCCAAAAGAUUGAUGCCAUGCUUAACUGGCCAAGUCCACGUUCUAUCAAACAGUUGAGGGGUUUUCUUGGUCUCACUGGAUAUUAUAGGCGCUUCAUCCGUGGUUAUGCUUCCUUGGCAGCCCCCCUCACUGAUUUGCUGCGAAAGGAUGCCUUUCAAUGGAAUUUGACAGCCAUGGAGGCCUUUGAAGCUCUUAAACAAGCAAUGGUGCAAGCUCCAGUCCUUAAGUUGCCGAAUUUUGCUUCCGAAUUCGUCAUUGAGACCGAUGCUUCUAAUGUAGGCAUAUGAGCCGUACUUACACAACAUGGGCAUCCGAUUGCUUAUUUCAGCAAGAAGUUGGGUCCCAAAUUGCGGGCUUCUUCCACUUACAUCAAGGAGUUGCAUGCAGUUGUAGAACCUGUGUAUAAGUGGCGGCAGUAUUUGUUGGGCCGAUUCUUUGUUAUCCGCACGGAUCAUAAGAGUAUUAAAGAACUCCUUCAACAAGUGAUACAAACACCAGAUCAGCAAGUUUAUCUCCGUAAAUUAUUGGGUUUCCAAUUCCGAAUUGAGUACAGACCAGGCCGUACCAAUAGCGCUGCUGAUGCUCUAUCCCGUGUCCAUGAAUCAGCUCCUGAGGAUAACAUCAACAUCUCCCCCACUUGCCUUUCUUUUAACAGCCAUCCUUUAUUUGAAUUGCUGCAGUCAUUACUUAAUGAGAAUACCACAUUACCUGAUUUAAUAUCACUUCACCAGCAACUUUUACAAGGCAAACUGUCAGCUGACUUCUCCGUUCAAAACGGAUUUCUUCUCCACCGUCAGCGUUAUUACAUCAGUCCUACCUCCUCUUUAAAAGUCGUACUGUUGCAAGAAUUUCACUCUACGCCACUGGCAGGUCAUGUGGGUGUCACUAGAACCUUAAUCAGAUUAUCUUUAACAUUCUAUUGGCCCAAAAUGCGUCAUGAUGUGGAAACGUUUAUCCGAGAGUGUUUAAUAUGCCAGCAAACUAAGUAUUCCACUUAAGCCCCUGCUGGUCUUCUUCAACCAUUGCCGAUACCUAAUAUGGUUUGGGAUGAGGUCACAAUGGAUUUCGUUACAGGUCUUCCGUUAGCACAAGGUUUCUCGGUCAUAUUGGUUGUUGUCGAUCGUCUUACAAAGUUUGCCCAUUUUGGUCCGUUACCCUGUCAAUUUACUGCCCUCAAGAUAGCUGAACUCUUUGUGGACAUGGUCAUUAAAAUACAUGGUUUUCCAAUUUCAAUUAUCUCCGAUCGAGACCCAGUGUUCUUGAGCAAUUUUUGGAAACAAUUAUUCCUCUUAAGUGGCACAACUCUUCGUCAUAGCACGGCAUACCACCCUCAAACGGAUGGUCAAACGGAAGUGGUGAAUCGAGGAUUGGAGCAAUAUUUAUGAGCUUUCACUCAAGCCAAACCACAGAAGCGGGUUUCCUUACGGAGUUGGGCAGAAUUUAGUUAUAAUUCUCAUUUCCACAGUGGCUUGAAGAUGUCGCCCUAUCAAGCUUUAUUUGGCCGAUUGCCUCCAACUAUUCCUCAUUAUGCUAAGGGCUCUACUUCAAUCCAAGCUUUGGAGGACAUUCUCCUUGAACGUAAUACUCUUCUCCAGUCUUUAAAAGCUAAUUUGAGGCAGGCACAACAUCGAAUGGCUCAGAAAGCUAAUGCCCAUCGCCGUGAAGCUCACUUUGAAGUAGGGGAUAAAGUGCUGGUUAAAUUACAGCCAUAUAGACAGACCACUAUAGCUUCUCGCGCCUGUCAGAAGUUGGCCAAGCGAUGCUACAGGCCAUUUACGGUACUUGCUAGAGUGGGGUCUGUAGCUUACAAAUUGGAGUUACCCAGUACUUCCAAAAUCCACUCGGUUUUUCACAUCUCUGUCCAUAAGCCUUAUCAUGGCAACGACCCUGCUAUUUCACAUCCUUUACCAGAGUUGAGUGUGGAUAACCAUCCUCUUUUGCUACCGGCUGCCAUUUGUGCAACCCGAAUAGUGUUGCAACAGGGGAAGCCAACGCCUCAAGUGUUAGUUCAAUGGACCGACAGUUCACCGGAGAAUUCGUCUUGGGAAAACUUUGACGCCUUUUGUAAGCUCUAUCUAGCAUUUCACCUUGAGGACAAGGUGUGUUUUCCAGAGGGAGGGAAUGAUACGGAUUUAUAUAUCAAAUUGGAGCCAUCAGAGGAGGCGUAAGUGGAAGAGCUCAACCAAGAACCCACAGUCAGUCAACCCAAAGAGGACAUUCACCAUGAGCCAGUGCAAGAGAAUCAACGGCCCAAACGAAACAAGAAACUUCCAGACUGGCUACGAGACUACGUCGUUUAGGAUGAUUUGUAAAAGCAUUGUGAUUGGCUGCGUUUGUUUUGGAUUCUUUUUUGUCAUUUUCUGUUGCGUUGUCAAAUUGGUUAUUUUCGAUUGUCUGUUAUAUAUUGCGGGAUUUUGUCAUUUUGGGAAGGCAUGAAAUGAAUGGACCACUUUUCUUCCUCUCUGUGACUCUUCUUCUUUUCUUCUUUCUCAUUUCUCAACUUCCAGUUCUUUCCUCUGGAGCAAACACUCGCUCGAAGUAGUGAUAAUUUUGAUAUUGCUCAGUUUCACGAAUUAAGAGCGUAUCAGACACUUCGAAGUCUUUGUUGAGACAAAAAUUAGAUAGAAAACACUUUAUGGUGUCAUUAUUAUUUAGGCUGCUGCGUACUAUCGAAUCAAUCAUAGAGAAUAGAUGUUUACAUGAAAUUAGAUAAAUAAUUAGAGGUUGAAGUUAUUGGAUAAAAAGGAAAAAAAACUUACAUCAAAUUCGAUCCACGCUAAUCAAAUUCCAUAUGGAUAUAGUUGAAUGCCAUACUGCUCCUUAUCCUCGAAUUCCCGUAGCUGUUGUCUCAGCUCCGGCUCAGGCCACCACAACUCCAAUUUGUUUAAGCUCUUUAGGCACCAAAGCUGUUCAGGAAUCCUUUUCAAGUGAGCACAAGGGUUGAUGAUCAAGCAUUCUAGUUUCGGCAUGGCUCUAAUCCCCAUAGUCCAUUCCUCUAGCCAUAGCAUUGAUUUAAGGUGCAGCACCUUGAGUUUUGGAAAGCCAUCAGAGCUACAAGCCAGCUUUCUACCUGAAUACGAGUUUUGCUUCAGUUUGAGCACCUGAAGAACCGGCAGCUUUUCUUGUGCCGACAUGGGAUAAUCCAUUAGCUCAAUAUUUGAAAAACUCAAGUGGGUUAGACUCGGAGGAAAUUGGUAUUCAGCAAGGAUGAUAUUUGAUCGCCGUGGAAUCUUGCUUUCAUUCGCCAACUUCAAUGACUCGAGGCAGCUCAAUCUAUAGAGACUUUUGGACAUCAAAGAUUGAUAAUAACUUAAAUCUCCCCAUAUCCGGAGAUUUCGAAGAUUAGGUAGUCUGCCUAAUAUAUCUUCAGUACAGCAUUAAUGAUGCAAUGCUGAAAUGAAAUCGAAAUUUUCCAGAGAGCCGCAAUAUUUUCCUGGAUGUGCAAGAAGUGUGAUUGAGCCAAAAUUUAGAUACCUCAGUUUGCUCAUCUUCCAAAAUUCAUCUGCUGUAUGAUCUAUGUAGCUAAAGGGCAUGUCUAGGGUGUAUAGGUUCAAAAGACUGUUUAAUAACGAUGAAGGCAGGCUUUUCAGGGAAGGGAUAUUCAAGUUCAGAUAUCUCAAAAGAAAUAAAUUUUUUAUUUCGGAAGGAUAUCAGAUGCGAACAAGAGAUCCCAAGUUCAAUACUCUGAGAAAUUUGAACAUUUUACAGAUUUUCUCGCAAUAAGUGGGGUCAAGGUAGUGGCUUCCUGAAGUGAGGUGCAACAAAGAAUAGAGGAACGAGUCAAAAUGAUCUAAAAAUGCAAAAUCAUUCAAAUUUCCAUGAGCGGUGAAGCGUUUCACAUUUUCCCGUAAUUUAACUUCCUGAUCCAUAAUUGGGGAAAUGACAAAUUCCCCCUCGAAAGCCACAGUCAACAACGCAGGACUGCAACGCCCAGGAAUAGAGCAUGUGUUGAUUCUGCCUCUGUCACUUCUCUUCCCUGCAUCAACAAAGCCUCCAUUGAUUAGCUGUUCUAAGUAUCUCUCAGCAGUUGCCUCGUUGUUGACUGGAAUGAAAUCUUCAGCUAUCCACAACUAACAUAAUUGCUUGGUGGAUAUCUCAAAAGUGUGCGGGAAACACAGAUAAGUAGAGACAACAAAGUUUCAAGUAAAAAGGUAACAUACAAUAUGCAACGACUUGAAUCCCUCGGGGUUCAUCAAGUGCUUUCUCUAUAUUUUCUUUCAGUGAGAUGCUUCCAUGAUAUAAGAUGUGGAAAGGCCAUCCUUGGUAUGUAACUCUCAAUGGUCCUCCAGUGGGCACAAAUCAAGCCCAAUGUUCUCUCCAUUUUCGAACUGAAAUGAGGCGACGAUUUCAAUGUCAGAAAAAAUAAUCACAGUGAGUUAAACAAAUAAACCAGUAGGUAAUUUGACUGCAGCAAAACAGCAACUGAAGAAAAUAAACUCGAGGCCUAUAAUACAGUGUCCUUAAAACAGAUUUAUCACCUAUUGAAGUGCUUUAGGUUUCUUGAUAACUGUUUCCCAGGAUACAACGGGCACGAAUUUUCUUUCAAGCACAGACAGAUAAUUCCCGCGAACCACAACAACGGUAAACUCGAUCAGAAAACAAGACAAAAGAAGGAGGAAAGAAAAAUUGUAAGUGUUCUGUGUGCUGGUUUCAGUGUGUGUAAAAACAGAAGAGGAAGGUGCCUUUUUAUACUCAUGUGGGUACGUAACAAUAGCAUAAAAAUUGAAUUUCGGAAUUCAAUAUAUGCAAUUUAAUUGCUGUAACAGCCAUUGAAUUUUAAACAAUUCAAUUCAAAAAUUGAAUUGCAUAACAGCCCAAAAUAAUUGCGAAGCUGUUACAAAUCUUUUGAAUUCAAAAGGUGUGAAACUGUUACAACAAAUUUAAAAGGAAAUAAAAAACGUGCCAUGCGAGCUUGGGCUGACAUUCGCGGGCACACACGAGUUCAACCAAAUCAGUCAUGAAUUCGCCCCCCCCCCCCCCCGGUGCACGCGUGUGGGGAGAGAGCCUCUAUCCUUAAAAUUCUUGUUCAUGCAUGGUUAAGUAUUUAUAUAUAAAUACUAAUCCCUUGGCUUCUUCAAUGAGGAUAACAAAGCCUCCAUUAAUUAGCUGUUCUAAGUAUUUCUCAGUAGUUGCCUCAUUUUUUUCUGGAAUGAAACCUUCGGCUAUCCACAAUUGAUAUAAUUGCUUGGUGGAUAUCUCAAAGUGUACGGGAAACAUAGAUAAGUAGAGACAACAAAGUUUCAAGUAAAAAGGUCACGUACAAUAUGCAACGACUUGAAGCCCCCGGGGUUCAUCAAGUGCUUCCUCUAUAUUUUCUUUUAGUGAUAUGCUUUCAUGAUAUAAGAUGUGGAAAGGCCAUCCUUGGUAUGUAACUCUCAAUGGUCCUCCAGUGGGCACAAAAUCAAGCCCAAUGUUCUCUCCAUUUUCGAACUGAAAUGAGGCGACGAUCUCAAUUCGACUGAGUGUUAUGAAUACUCUACUUCCAUUCUGAUUAUCGGGAAGUAUUUCUCGAAUAACAUCCCAUACUGAUAUUCUCCACACAUUAUCAAGCACAAUCAAAUAAUGCUUGGUCAUUAGAUAUUCAUGAAGAAUAAUUUUUUUCAUUUCCGAACUUUCUUCCAUAAUUUCACUCAACCUACAUGAAGGCAUCACAAACUUAAUAAUGCCGUAUAAUAUUUGGUCAGCAUCAUAUGGUAAAGAAUCUUCAACUCAAGCGUGACAAUCAAAAUAAUGCUUCACAUAGUUGCUGCUGUAAGCCUCUGCAGCGAAAAUUGUCUUGUCCAAUCCAAUGCUAUCAAGUACGGCCACUACCGAAAGUUGAGGCGGUCCUUCUAUCAGUAGAUCUAAUAACUCCUCCAUUCUAUUAUCUAGACUCACCGUGUCUCUAUUCUUAAAAGAUGAGGAUGCAGGAAAAUUACGGGCUUUUGCUUCAAACGAUUUGAGCUCAUCAACGAUUCCGGAGUGGAUGUCCUGAACUUGCUCCAUCUGUUGUUUUAUAUCAAUGAUUUUGCUUUGGAGUCCUAGCAGGGCAUCACAAAUGUCCUUGCUGCAUCCGCUUUGACUCGUCUGUUGAGUGAUGUUGAUAGCAAAUGUGUCAAUCACAUUCUCAGAUACGUAUGAAAAGCAAUGAAUUUUGUCAACGAUAGCCUUAUAAUCUUCUAAUUCUGCAAGAGUUUGACCCUCUUCUGCAUUGACUUGCUACAUAAACCAAGCAGUGUUGUAUCCAGAGUCCCUCAGCUAAGAACCAACGAUUUUAAUCUCAGUGUAAAGGUUCUGAAUAGGUUGUUCAGCAGCAUCAGGCGCCGUGAAUUCUUCACUAGCUAGCACCCUUCUCAGUCUCUCUGAAAAUAGUCCAAGGUUGAUGUCUAUAUCUCCUUCACUCUCAGUAGUCAGUAGCCAACAGCCCUAGCAUGGAAAGAAAAUAAUUAUAAAAAAAAUGGCUAAAAGCUCUCCUUUUACUUCAACAUUAGUCAACAUAAUCAACUGAGGAUGGCACCAAUACCUUAUUCUCUCAAGAAGUUGAAUCAAGUUCAGGUGGCUGUCAAAGUAGAACAGAUUAAGGCAGAGCAGUACUGGAAAAUGAAUCUUAAAACUAAAUGCUGCAGGUGCCGUGGGGAUACUGAUUGAUAAGAGGAAUUAUAUUGAGAAAUUAUUGAUGUACAAUAAUGAUUUUCUGCGAAAACCUGAGGUAUAAUGUACAUGUAUAUAAAAUAUUCUUUAUGCUAGAAGAUAAAAGGGUGUCUUAUAAUUUGUGUUUUAUAUAUAUGUGUAUGAAGAAAGUAAAAUAGGCUAUCAAGACUAGUUUCUUUUUUGCCCUCUCAAAAGACUGAAAGAUUAAAAAUAAUUCCGCUGGGACCAUAAAGCUUGCCUAGAGAGAAAAAGCAUCACCUUAGAAUCUGAUUCAUUGAUGCAUCAAAUGCAUAAUAGUCGCCAUUGUUUAGAGAUUUUCUUUUCAAGCGCUUUACAGACUACAACAGAAUACGUAGGGAUGGCAAAACAUCGGGUCGGGCUCGGGCUUGGCCAAACCCAACCCGACCCGAUCAAUAAAGAACUAAAGCCCGACCCUAAAAAAAGCCCUAUCUAUUUAUAGUUAGGGUCGGGUCGGGUCCGACCCGAAUCGGGCCAACAUCGGGUCGGGCUAAGCCCGACCCUACCAAAACCAUUUUCCAAAUGCUGAAAUGUAGCUGCAAGCCUGCAACUUGCAUUUCCAGAUUGCUUAAGCUGCUCGUGUGCUGUCCAAGGCUCCAAGCUGCUCAUGUGAUGUCCACAUGCCUCAAUUAAUUAACCACCAAAGCACUAAAAUGCUAUGCCGUUUUGAUGCUUAUGGAAAUUCCACAAUGGAAUCAAUUUGAAGGUCACACGAGAAGCACAUGACUAACUUAAACAUGAAUAACAAUAAGGCUGAUAUGCAACCACAAUUCAAUUCUCAAUUCCACAAUCAUUUCCAAAACCAUUUUACACACAAAUCAAUUCCAAAAUCCAACAUGAAAAAUACAUAAUACAAUUAAAUUAAAAACACACAAUGUAAUUUUUCAACAAUUCUAACCAAAUCAAUUCCAUAACCCAACAUAAAAAAAAAAGUCUUAUACAAUAAUACAAAUAAAAACUCAUAAUUCAAUUCCACAACCAAACUUUUUUUUUUUAAAAAGAACUACUCCAACACUUGCGGGCCACUUUCAUCUUCAUCCACAAAUUCCUCUCCAUUAAAAGUUUCACUUUCGAGAAUUUUACCUACAAAAAAAAAAAGAAAAUGAGAAAAUAAUUCAAGUGUAUAAAAUUAUUACUAAACCAAUUAUUUUGUACAUUAUUUAUAUUCAUACCUUUGGAGUUUGCCCAUAGCCAAUGUUGAGUGCACAUAAGCGCUUCCAAUGUCAUAGGAUGAAGUCUACUUCGAUGUGGAGUCAAGACUCUACCUCCAGUGCUAAAUGUCGAUUCAGAGGCAACGGUUUUCACGGGAAUGGCUAAGAUAUCCUUGGCCAUUUGAGCCAAAAUAGGGUAUUUGCCUUGGUUCACAUUCCACCAAUUCAGAAUAUCAAAGUCCGAAGUGGAUUUGAUUAAAGGCUCUUCUAAAUACCUCUCAAGGUCGGACUUCGAUACAAUGGUCUCACUAUUUUGGGUUGCAAAUGCCUCAAACUUCUUUAUAUCAAAAAAUUUACGGCCAGUUCCUAAAUUAAAAUUAAAACGAACAUCGGCCGAAGAAGAUUCACCAACAACCGCAUCACUCACAUUCCCACUUUUAAUUUCAUAAAACUUGACCAAAUCGUUACUUAAAUUGCGCACCCUUUGAAUCUCAUUUGCAGCACCCUCACCAUAAAGUUGUGGAAAAUAAUAAUUAACCAAUUGCAUCUUAAACCUCGGAUCAAGAAUAACUGCCAUCACCAAAAUCCCAUGAAUUUGGGCCCAAUAUUUAUCAAAUUUCAUAAUCAUUUGACCAGCCAUUUCUCUAACCACAGGCACACUAUAAAGAUCCCAUUCAUCCAAAUUAAUCCUCAUUUCACAUAUCAUUGGAAAAAAAAGAUUAGAUGUAGGAUAUUGUGUACCUGAAAAUAACUCUGUCAUAGAGUAAAACGGCAGUAAAUAUUCCAACAUCUUUUCAGCCAUCUCCCAUUCCUCAUCUGUUGGCAAAGAGGUGUAGUGUUUAUCGCGCUGCUGCAGUCUAGAAAAGACUAUUUUAUAUUUCACAGCAACAUCAAGCAUAACAUAUGUAGAAUUCCAUCUAGUUACACAAUCAAGUACCAACUUUUUCUCACACUUAACUUGUAAUUGCCGCGCAGCCAUUUCAAAAGUUUCUACCCUCUUUGGUGUGCCUGUCCAAUAAGCCACACUAUCCUAAUCUUUUUAAUCCACUCCUCAAUCACUUUCAUCCCAUCCUUCACAAUUAGGUUUAAAAUAUGAGCCACACACCUCAUAUGAAAAAAAUUCCCACCCAUUAACAUAGAAUCAGCUGGAAUCAAUCCCAUCAAUCUAUCAACCAUAGCAUCAUUGGUGGAACAAUUAUCUAAAGUUACAACUGAUAUCCUUCUAUCCACAUUCCAAUCCAACAUAAAUUUGAAAAAUGCUUCAGAAAGAAAUUCAACGGUAUGUGGAGCCGGCAAAUAUAUAAACCUAUUCAUUACCAAAAAAUUAAAUUUUAGAAUUAAUUAAAUUGAAUUAAAAAUAAGUAAACAUAAUAUCGAUUUUGCAAAUAUAUGAACCUAUUCAUCACCAAAAAAUUAAAUUUUAGAAUUAAUUAAAUUGAAUUAGAAAUAAGUAAACAUAAUAUCGAUUUUGCAAAUAUAUGAAUCUAUUCAUCACCAAAAAUUUAAAUUUUAGAAUUAAUUAAAUUGAAUUUAAAUAAAUAUCAAGUAACAAGAAAAGUACCUUAAAAUUCGACUUUGUAACCGCCAAGACUUGUCCACAAAAUGUCCCGUAACAACCAUGUAACCCUUCUUUUGAUUACUCGCAGUCCACAUGUCUGUAGUAAUUGCCACCCUACUAUCAUUAUUCUCCAACAAAGCCAUUGCUUUUGCCUUUUCAGCUUGAUACAAUUUAAAAAUCUCACUCUUUAAAGUGUUUCUACUCAAAUUCUUCACCAAAGGGUUGGCAUAAGACAUCAAAUCCCUAAAUGCCUCAUAUUCCACAAAAUUAAGUGGCAGCUCAUGCUUUACAACCAAGGUUGCUAUCUUUUGCCGAGCAACAAUUGGAUCAAAUUCUCUCGUCUCAAUACAACUUGUUCCAUCAUCUUUCCUCAUCACGCUAAGAGUUUUUUGUAAGCAAUCAAGAACUAAGGGAACACCCUUUGCCUUACAUGAUUUUUUCAAAUGUCUAUCCAAAUGUGAGGUUCCAUUAUGACCGGAUGCUACCAACUUAGCUUGACAAUGAUUACAUUUCGCCUUCAAUUCACCAUUAAUGGUUACCUUGGUGAAGUGUCCCCAAACAUAAGAAGGUUCCCGCAUACCUCGCUUUUUUUUAUUACUACUUUGUUCUACCCCAUCAUCAUCACGGGAUGUCUCUUCAACUCCUUCAACUUCUUGGACCCCUUCAAGAGGAAUGUCAUCAUUUGUAUCCUCUUCGCCAACAUGAGAAUUCUCAAGUGAAUUUGACAUAAUGACCUAAAUUAAAUGUGUAACAAGUUGCAAUUAAAAUAUAAUAUUUAUGGUAACUACAUAAUCAUUAUGAAUAUAACAAGUUUUAUUGGCCAUUGUGUGUGUGUGUGUGUGUUUGAAUGUCUAGAUAAAUAAAUUAAAUUGAGCUGUAUGUGAAAUUUAUUAUAUUUAUAACAAUUGACUAGUUCACAUGAUGCAGUAAGAAAAUUUUUGUAAACUAGUUAAAAUUUUAGCUGAAGACGUCUUUGAAUCUUCAAGAAACAAAGGGGUAAGAGCAUGUAAAAGUACCAUGACUUUGAAGUAAAAAUGCAGCAACAAGCCCCAAGUAAAAGAAAAGAAAAUUCAUGAGUACAAAGAAAUCAAUUUACAACAUACAGCGGGACAAAAUUAUUAAAUUCGUGAGUACAAAGAAAUCAAUCCCUAAGCUGGUAUAGCAUCCACUGGACUACUCUUUUUAAUCGUUAAUUAAUAUAUAGUUACUGAUCUAUAACAAAUUCUUUCCAUCACCACAAAAAUAAAAUAAAAAUUCAAUCUAGCGGAAUGCAUCUAAUGACAAAAAUUCAUGUAAUUACAACUUAAAAAGCAGUGAAUUGGAUUAUAAUUACAAUUUAUAAUUACAACUUAAAAAGUUCAACAUGACCGAUCGAGGCUGCAGGCUGCUGGUUUUAUGGGUAAUUACAUAACAAAUUGGUCGGAAAUAAUUACAGAACAAAUUGCCAAUUCAUGAGUUCAAUUCACUCACCUAGCGGCGUCGCGGAUGGUCACAAUGGCGGGUCACGAUGGAGAGAAACGCAACAGUGAGAUGCGACAGCGAGACACGACGGUGAGACAACACAACAGUGAGACGCGGCUGAUUGGCUGGCGUGCGUCGACAGUCACGAUGCUGCUGGCUGAUUCGGUGGCGGGCUGGGUGGCUGGCUUAGUGGCUUAGGGUUUUUGAGAAUUUGAGAGCUGUGCCGUGCCGUACUGUGUUGUGUGAUUGUGUCUUGUGUGAUGCAGCUGUUUGUGAUGUGAGCGUGCAGCGUGUGUGAUUUUUUUUUUUUUUUUGCAAAUAGGGUCGGGUCGGGUCGGGUUGGCUUUAAGCCUGACCCUGACCCUAAAUUUGUUCGGGCCUAAAAAUUGUGGCCCGAACCCGACCCGAAACCCGAAAAUUCAGGCCAAAGCCCUAAUAAUUAGGGUCGGGUCAAUCGGGUUAAAAUUAGGGCCGAGCUAAAUUGCCAAGCCUAAGAAUACGUUAUAGUUUGAAUGGUUAGAUGAUCAUUCCUGUUGAUACUGAAAUCUGCUCGCCCUUUGCCCAACCAGAUCUUUUCACCAACGUUUAUAUGAUCAACAGACAAAAUGUCACAUUCUUUCUAUUUCAACGGUUUCUUGAGUUCCUGGGAUUGGAAUCACCAUUUUUUCUUCUCCUAAGCAUGCGUUCACAAGAAUGGAUCAGAGACGCCGGUGGUUUUAUCGGCGUAAACCCUCCGAUGCUUAAGUUAGCACAAGGUGUUUACGGGAAAACUAUGUAAUUUAGAUUGUGUGAUUUCUUGUAAUGCUCUCAAAAAUUUGUAUAGAAUGUAACUUGGUUUCAAUUUGGUAGAGUUUUUCCUUUUUCUCUCAAUUUUUUCUCCCCAUUUUUCAUCAGUUUCCUGACUUCUUAUAGCUGUUGUCCCACGUUUCUGCGUACUCUUUAUGCCCCCAUUUUUCGGGUGAUGGUAGACCUUCAUGGGUCUUCCACCAUUGGAUUGUGGGUAAACGUGGGAUGCCAUGUCUCUCCCAACGGUUUGGGGCAUAACGGAACUGUCGUGAUUUCCUGAGAUCGUGUGCCCUUUCUUUGGGAGAUGGGUAUCUAGUCGGUAUACGUCUCUGGUCGAUAUAUUUCUCUGGUUGAUGCUCAUCUCUAGUUGGCACAUAUUUAUAUAAGACGUUUUACCAGGACUCUUCUCGUGCCAUUCAGCUGAGGAGAUUCGCUUCGGGGUGAGAGAUGAGGGCACGUUUUAUCAGGACUCUUCUCGUGCCAUUCAGCUGAGGAGAUUCGCCUCGGGGUGGGAGAUGAGGGCAUGGCCGAGCUAGUACGUUUUAUUACUUAACACCAAUCCCAGUUUCUGGUCUUGUGAGUGAAACGAGUUGAGAUUAGAAACUGAUAAUCGGAUCUUACCGACCCCAGGAAAUACCUAUCUGGUCUUCGUGUUAUUAUGAUGGAUUUGAGGUUCCGCCUUUUGUUUAAGGAGAUUUCAGUCUGCGUAUGGGCCUUCGUGAUCGUGUCCAAUAUAUAGCUGGGCUAACAUCUCGUCAGGCCUUUUCUAACGGUCAGUGACGUGUCGCUUCUUGCCUUUUCGUAUUUGAAAUUUAAAACGACGACUUAUCUGUCCUCGAUUUACGGCAAGUGAGCUGGCAUCCGUGUAACUUAAACGCCUCCAUUUCCCCUUUCAUUUUAAAUCCCUAAAUUAAAACUGUCAUUGCGUUUCAUUAUUUGCCAUUCUACCGUAAGCCAACUCCCUCCUUGGACUUUAAUCAUACUUUCAGCGUCAGAAACCUUUGUUUGCUGGGUCCUUUCUCCGUCACAGCAAUGCUACUAGUGCCAGUCUAUUCCAAGUAUCGCCUUUAACUUCUUCUCUGGUUGUUGUUGCUUGGGUUCUGUAUUAUCCCUUUUUGUACCCCUAUACUUGGAUUUACUGUGCUUUCCCUUUUAAGAUUUCGAUAUGUCAAACCGAAAGGGAAAAAUAAUUAUAGAUGAGAGUGACGAAGAGAUAGAGGAUUCAUACCCCAACCUAUUUGGACCCAAUGAUCCCCUACGCUCUUCUCGCAGUGUAGGUCCCUCAUAUCAUAAGGAUACCCUUGAAUACCCUCGCCCCAUGACCAUUUUGCCUUCCCCUAAUUUAGAACCCGUGGGAAAUCGUGGUGGACCAGCGUCGGGCUCUGGUGAGAAUCACAGUUCUGGGGGGCUGGGGUCCUUGAGGAAGUGGGUGAAGGUGAGGAGAGUAGUUCCGAGCCGAGCAGACCCUCUAAGAAGAGGAACCUUGGUCAUAGAAUGGAGGCAGAUGCUUACCCCAUUAAUUAUAUCACCUGUGCUACUACCCACACUGACCUACUCAAGCUUAGAAACCUUUAAAAUAUCCCUGAGGAGGUUCUCCUUGUAAUCCCUGGGAAAAGUGACGUCCCCAGUCGGCCUCCCAAGGGGUAUGUGACGAUGCAUCUAGAAAGUUUCAAGCUAGGGGCUCGGUUGCCCCUUCAGCUUUAUUUUGCCAGGAUAUUGGGUGGCAUGCAUCUGGCUCCAGGUCAGCUUCACCCGAACGUGUGGAGGGUUCUUUCAGCCUUGUAUGUGCUAUGGGAAAGGUGUGGACUCGGGGAGCCUUCCCUUGUGGAAGUAAAGCACUUGUAUCAACUGAGGAGCAGCCCAAAAGAGGCUGGCUGGUACUACUUCAUGUCGAGCUCUGCAAAGAGGAAGCCUAUAAGCUAAAAUGUCGACCUCAACCGUAGGCCUUACAAAUCUAAAGUGUCGACCUCAGUUGUAGAUCUUACCAAACUAAAAUGUCGACCUCGACCGUAGAGCUCACAAAGCAAGUGUCAACCUCAACCAUAGGCUUUACAAAACUAAAAUGUCGACCUCAGUUGUAGAUCCUACCAAACUAAAAUGUCAACCUCAACCGUAGGCUUUACAAAACUAAAAUGUCGACCUCAAAUGUAGAGCUCACAAAGCAAAAGUGUCAACCUCAACCAUAAAUCUUACUAAGCUAAAAUGUUGACCUCAGUUUUAGAUCCUACCAAGCUAAAAUGUCAACCUCAACCGUAAAGCUCACAAAGCAACUAUCGACCUCAACCGUAGGCUUUGCAAAACUAAAAUGUCGACCUCAAAUGUAGAUCUUACAAAGCAAGUGUGGACUUCAACCGUAGGCUUUACAAAACUAAAAUGUCGACCUCAAUUGUAGAGCUCACAACGCAAAAGUGUCGACCUCAAUUGUAGACCUUACAAAACUAAAUUGUCGACCUCAACCAUAGGCCUUACAAAUCUAAAGUGUCAACCUUAAUAAAUUGAAAAUUGUAGAACUUAAAUGUUAUGGCUAUGGUCGACCUCAACAAGUUUUCACGUUGGACCUCAACAAGGCCAAAAUGUUGAUCUCAAUCUCAAUAAGCUUGGAUAAAUUUUUCAUGUUCGACCUCAACAAGGCCUAAAUGUCGAAACUCAAUCUCAAUAAGAUUUGAUAAAAAAUUUCACGUUGGACCUCAAUAAGGCCAAAAUGUCUAUCUCAUUCUCAAUAAGAUUAGAUAAAUUUUCACAUUCAGCCUCAACAAGGCCUAAAUUUCGAUCUCAAUCUCAAUAAGAUUUGAUAAAAAAAUUUUCGUUGGACCUCAAUAAGGCCCAAAUAUGCCGAUCUCAAAUAAGACCGGUCACAAGUAGGUAAGAAAUAGAGUUGCACUUCUGAAUAACCUCAUUGAUAUUAAUAUGGCAGAAAUUAAAGAAUUGAACACAUAACGAAUUGAAAUAACAAAGAAACAAACUAUCAUAACAUAUUUAAAGAAAACAAACAAACAAGAACAUCAUAAAUAAGAUUGGCCUACUGAUAGUAUUUUCGUAGGUGCUCUGCAUUCAAUGCCUUGCCGAUGACCCUGCCAUCCGGAUAACCUAACUUAUAUGUGCCAUUACCAAAUGAAUGUAGUACUUUGUAUAGUCCUUACCAGCUCGGCCCCAGAACUUCAUCAGCUGGCUUUUUAGUUGAUUGAUUGACUUUGCGGAGCACCAGGUCCCCCUCCUGAAAUUGUUGUAGCCUGACAUUCUUGUUGUAGAACUUAGCCACUUUUUACUGGUAAAUUACUGCUCGACCUCUUGCCGUCUUUCUCUUCUCAUCAAACAAAUCUAAAUCCAACAACAUAUGUUCCCUGUUUACUAUCUCAUCAUAAUAUUUUGUGCGGUGUGUCUCCAUGCCAACCUCAGUUGGGAUUACUGCCUCAUGUCCGAAAGCAAGCAAGAAUGGAGUCUCCUCCGUUAAAGUCUUCACGGUCAUUCUAUAGGCCCACAGUACUCCUGGAAGCUCAUCCACCCAAGCUCCCUUCUUCUCACCCAACCUUUUCUUCAACAAUUGCUUUAUAGUUUUGUUCGUCGCUUCCACUUCUCUGUUUGCCUUCGGAUGAGUAGGUGAGCUAAAUCAAAGUUCAAUAUCAAGCUGACCACAAAACUUCUUGAAAUUCUCAUUAUUGAAUUGGGUUCCAUUAUCAGUGAUAAUAGCUUGUGGUAGGCCAUUUUUGCAAAUCAUAUUCCUCCAUAUGAAAUAUGUUGUGCGCUUCUCGGUUAUCUUUUGUAAUUGUUCAACUUCAAUCCACUUAGUAAAAUAAUCAAUGGCUACCACCGCGUAUUUCAUUUGGCCUCUCUCGGUUGGCAUUGGUCUGAUAAGAUCCACCCCCCAUUGUGCAAAUGGCCAAGUGCUCCCCAUUGUCAUCAUGUUUUCUGGUGGUCGUCUUACAAUUAUGGCGAACUUUUGGCAUUCAUCACAUCUCUGAACUAACUCUUGUGCAUCUUCAUGCAUGGUCGGCCAAAAAUAACCAUACCUUAUUAUUUUAUGGGCCAAUGCCCUACCUCCGCUAUGAUUUCCAUAAAUUCCCUCGUGCACCUCUCUCAUCACAUUGUUGGCAUCAGCUGAGCCCAAACAUCACAGGUAAGGUAAAGUGUAACUUCUCUUAUAAAGCACACCUUCGAUAAUGGUGCAUCGUGUUGCCUGGCAUCGCAGCCUUCUUACCUCUGCUUUAUCUUGAGGUUGUUCCCCAAAUUCAAUAUACCUCAUGAUAGGCACCAUCUAGUUCUUCUCAUCUUUUACCAUACAAACUUUCAUUUUGGAAUCAGCUAUACAUGGCUUUGAAACUGACUCCAAUAGAAUUCCUCGUGGGAACUUUGGGCAUUCUAUAGCUGCUAGUCUUGCUAUAUAAUCUGUUCGGUAAUUCUUUCCCCUCAGAACUUGCUCCAUUGUAGCGUGAUCAAAACUACCCCAUAGCUACAGUGCUUUGCUCAGAUACUUGGACAUGUUCUCACUUUUGGCUUGAAAUGUCUCAUUCAGGUAGUUCACUACCAGUUGAGAGUCAAUCUUCACCUUCAAAUGUCGAACUCCCAAUGCUCUUGCUAAUUUUAGACCCGCAAUGAGAGCUUCGCAUUCUGCUUCAUUGUUUGUAGGAUGUAAUUCAUACUUGAGAGCGUAGCAUACUUCUUCCUAGUCGGGCGAAACAAGAACAAUUCCCCCGCCUGACCCUUCUGGGUUUGCAGCUCCACCUACAUUAAGCUCCCAUACAUCAUUAUUCUUCUCUGCCUCUUUAAUCUCCUGCUCGGCAUCCAUCUCUUCACUCUCUUCACUGUAAUCAUUAAUGAAGUUGACCAAAGUUUGUGCUUUAAUUGUUGACCUCGAUCGGUAACUGAUGUCGAAUUCACUUAGUUCUACCGACUACUUAACUAGUCUUCCUGAAAUGUCCGGUUUGUGCAAAAUUUGUCUCAAAGGUUGAUUAGUGACUACCACGAUCUCAUGAGCUUGAAAAUAUGGCCUCACCUUUCUUGCGGCUACAACUAAAGCCAUCACCCACUUUUCUACAAUAUGAUAUCUUACUUCUACCCCUGUAAGAGAUCUGCUCAUGUAGUAUACAGGUCGUUGUACUUCAUCUUUUUCUUUUACCAUGACUGAGCUAGUUGAAUAAUUUGAGACCACCAAGUAGAUCAAGAAAACAUCACCCACUAAGGGCUUCGCCAAAGUGGGUACGUUGGCCAAAUACGCCUUUAAAUGUUAAAAUGUUGUCUCACAUUCUUCCGACCACCUCAAUCUUUUUCCUUUCUUUAUCAAUUUAAAAAACAAAUGGCAUUUAUCUGAUGAUUUCAAAAUGAACCUACUCAGCGCGGUAACUUUUCCAGCUAAGCUCUGAACAUCUUUACGAUUCUUCGGCGACCUCAUCUUGAGGAUGACCUCUACUUUUUCCAGAUUAGCUUCUAUCCCCUUUUGACUAACUAGGAAGCCCAAAAAUUUCCUUGAUUCUACUUCAAAGACACACUUUGCCGGAAUCAACUUCAUCUGAUUCUUUCGUAGCACUUCAAACGUCUCACGCAAAUGCGUUGUAUGUUUGACUGGCUCAACAGACUUGGUUAUCAUGUCAUCUACAUAUACCUCCAUCGUUUUACCAAUCAAGGGCUUGAAAAACUUGUUUACCAAUAUUUGAUAAGUAGCUCCAGCAUUUUUUAAUCCGAAUGGCAUCACAUGGUAGCAAUACAAUCCUUGAUCAGUCACAAAAGCUGUCUUUUCUUCAUCUGCUGUGGACAUACGAGUCUGGUUGUAUCCUAAGAAUGCAUCCAUAAAACUCAUCAAGUCAUGCCCGACUGUUGAAUCCACUAACUAAUCAAUCUUUGAGAGAAGGAAACUAUUUUGAGGACAAACUUUGUUGAGGUCGGUAAAGUCCACACACAUCCUCCAUUUUCCAUUCGCCUUUUUAACCAUUACCACAUUCGAAACCCAUUCUAGAUAGUUCACUUCCCUUAUAAAUCCCACUUUCAACAAUUUAUCUACCUCAUCAUGGAUGGCCGCAUACCUUUCCUGGUUGAACAUUCUUCUUUUCUGCUUCACUGGCUUAUGUUUUUUUAUCUAUAGCUAACUGGUGACACAUGAUUCGUAGGUCUAUUCCCGGCAUAUCUUCAUGUCUCUAAGCAAAUAUGUCAUUAUACUCCACUAAUAAAUUCUGAAGCUCAUUGGAAAUGUCAUCUGUUAUCUUUGUUCCCACUCUUACUACUCUGCUUAGAUCAUCCUCACUUACUGGCACUUGUUUCAUUUCUUCAUUAGGUUGCUGUUGGCAUAACCUAUUUUCAGCUCGUGGAUCAAUACUUGUGAUCUGUAUGGAUUCUCUCGCAAUUGUAGUGUAACAGCUUCGAGCCACUUGUUGUUGGCCCCUCAUCACUCCAACUCCACCUUGAACUCUAAACUUCACACAUUGCAUAUGAGUUGAGCUCACUGCUCCUGCUAUCCUAUUGAACGGUUUGCCCAAAAUAACUUGAUAAGGGCUUGGCUCAUCAACUACCAAUCAUGUCACCAUCAUUGUCUUUAGUAACCUCUUAUCUUUUAUUGCAGCAUAUAUUUCUGCUCUGCUCGUGUUCAGUGGUGUGUAUCUUCCACUCUGUUCUAAUAAAUUCACCCCAUUAGCAGGUCUCGAUCCUCUCCGGUCUACAGGUGGUGGCAACCUAUUGUAAUCUCUUACUUGGUUCUCCCGUUGGUUCCUCAUAUAAUUAUUUCCUCCAUCUCGGCCUCUUCCUACUAAUGAGAUUCCUCUUCUUUCACGUUUUCCUUCCCAAUUUCGACCCGACCUUUCUAGUUGUCUAUAAUUAAACAACCCUUUGUCGUAAUGACUCCUAUCAUCUGUGUUCAUCCUCGAGCUAUACCCAAAGUUAUCUCCUCUCCUUCUCAGGUCUCCCCUUCUCACCGAACCCUCUGUCUGCAUUUCCAUUCUCCUAUUUUCUUCCUCUGCAUCUUCAAUUUUCAUAUCCAAUUUUUCUUGGUCGUGCGCCUUAGUAUAUGUUGUUAUCCUCUUACUAUAUAAGCUAUUCCACAAUCGAUUGAUUCUCAACCCCUUCUUUAAUCCCUCUAGAGCAUCCGGGUGAUCAAAGGCCCCUAGAUCGGUAGCCUCCUUAUGAUACCUGGUCACAAAACUCCUCAAACUUUCAAAUUCUCGUUGGACCAAUUUUUUCAAUCUGCUCGUAUCUUGCUCUGGUAUGCAUGAACCUCUAAAACGCACAACGAAAAGCUCACAUAACUCCUUGAAAUUUUCUAUGCUUCCCUUCUUUAAUCUUCGGUACCACUCCCGUGCUUGUCCUUCUAAGGUUAAAGGAAAAACACAACACCUUUGAAAAUUAUUCAAACCUUGGAUCCCGUUCAUCUUAUUAAACUUCUCCACGUGAUGAUUCAGGUCAGUUUUUCCUUCAUACACCAAGGCUGGAACCACAUACUUGGAUGGCAAAGUUACCACCAUCACUUUACGUACCAAGAGGGACUCGUCAUCAAGUAACAACCUUCCUAUUACUUUCUUGCCCUCUGUUUUCACCUCUAAUGCCUCUAGUGUUUUUUGAAAUUGCAGCAUUCGCUGCUCAAGCUCAUUUGCCUGGUGGGCGUCUCUCAACUCUUCCAUCUCCCUUUCUUGAUUCAAGUCAUUGAUUUUCCAUCUCAACUCAUUCACUUGUUCUCCUACACUUCUAUUCUCUUGUCGUACCCCAACUUAUGGUAGUCCCUUUCCGCUCUGCUGUUCACCACCAAGCUCUUCCAUCUCUCAUGUUCUACUACUCUCUAGGUCACUAGCUCGAACUUGAGCACCUCUGACUUGGGCAUCAACCAACCCCCUGAUCAUCUCCUCAAAUUUUGCCAUGUGCCUCUCGAUCCCUUCUCUCCAUCUCUUAUCUGUCGUGGCAUUCAUUUCCUCUGCCAAUUGGCGCAAGGUCUACCUAUUUCCAUCAUUAUCAUCCAUUGUUGUUUCGUAAUCUGAUAGCCUUCUCCUUCUAAAUCUUCAAACGUAUGGCUUUUCGUACCUUUCCUCACAGACGGCGCCAAGAUGUUGAUGCUGAAAAACGACCUCAACAGCUGAAUUUGUUUUCUUUUGGGGAAUUACAGUGCGAAUCCAAGCUCAAACGUCGGUCUGAACCCAGCUUUAUAUUCCUGACAACCAGAAAACACGGUUAGGAUACGCCGGUGGGGUCCCGGCGUAGACCCUCCGAUGCUUAAGUCAGAAAUUGUGUAUAAGAAAAAGGUAAAUGAGAAGGGAGAAUUGUGAAAAGCGAAAAUUAAGGAAUUUUUUCGGUAGAGAAAACUAAAAAUCUUGUCGGGAAUCCUAAGACUUUUAGAGAGGUGACUUAUAGAAUUUUUGGUUCAUUUUUCUAACCCCUUCCUCAGUUGCCCCUUUCAGCUUAAAUAGGCCCUUGGUCGUGGGUGGUUACCACCUUUAACUUCUGCCCACUGUCUUCAGCAGUUGCACGUGGUCAUCAGUUGGAGACGGUUUAAAUGGAUCGUGGCACACAACUUUUCGAGAAACUAGGCCACGUUAUCUCAACCGAUAGCUUUCUAUGUCAAGCUAAUUCUCGGGUCGGACAAAUAAAUUUCGAGGUCGGAUUUCUUCACUUUCAGAUCGGACCGAUGAAUUUCCUAGUUGCUCAUAUAGGCUUAAGGUUGUAUUCUUAAAUAAGGUCAUUUAUAUAAAUCUCAGGUCGUACUUGUAAAUCAGGCCGCCAACAUAGGCUCCAGGUUGUACUUACGAGGUUAGCUCGACGACAAUGAGUUCUGAGUAGAUUGGGGUCGACUAUAUUUCUAAACAUUACUAGAAAAAUCCAACCCGAACAAUGUUGACUCUUUCUAGAGGUUAUCAGAAAAAUCCAACCCGAACAUUCAUAAAUUAUUAAUCUAAACCUGCUGGUUUUGAUCCAAUUUCUUCUAUGGUUUUACUUGUUUGUUUUAGAGCUAAGUACAAGAUCAUCCAUUGAUCUUGUCUCCAUUGGUCUUGAUUGAUCUUGGGGUUUCAUUUGAUCUAUGAAACCUUGGAUUGUUUCAAAUUUUCUUCUCUGUUUCAUUGAUGAAUCCCGAUGGCUAUACAAAAUCGUCUUUCCUCUACUGCAAGCAGGGGCUUUGGGGCGACUGCAAGGAACUGGGAUGAUGGUACGUGUUCAAGCGUGCAAAUUUGCAGAGAAUGAAUUGAGCAAGUGUUGAUUGUGCCUCCAGCACUUCUCAUUUUUGCUCCAGCAAAACUCCAUGACUAGUUGUUCUAAGAACUUCUCAGCAGUUGACUCAUUAUUGUUUGGACUGAAACCUUCAGCUACCCACAAUUGAUACAAUUAAAGUUUCAAGAAAAAAAAUAAUGUGAAAUGGUAUUAAAUCCUCUUACAAUUUGAACUUAUAUGGGUUUUGAAGAAUCUUAUGAUAUAUGUGUAUUUUUAUUUAUAUACAAUCAAGAUUUAUUCAUUAUUUUAUUUCAUAUAAUAACACAUAAUUACAUAAUUGUAGUAGCUCAGAUCGGUAUAGAAUCCUAAAAUGUGGAAUAUGCAAACAUUUGAUACUCACUAGAGAUAUGCCAAGUAUCUAGCCAAUUCUUUUCUAAUGACACAAUUCCAUGGUAGAAGAUGAGAAAAGGCCGUCGGUAACUUUUAGUGGUACUCCUGCAGGCACUAACUUAAUCCCAGUGUUCUCUCCAUUUUUCAGUUGGAACGAUGUGAGCAAGUCUAUUUGAGAAAGCUAACAGUCUAAUUCAAUAAUGGGCUGAAGAUCUUUUUCUAAUUCUCCAUCAGUUUUGAUCUUUUUCAGCAUUUGAUCGCAGCAUAAUCCAAGUUGUGUUGUUUCCACAAGCACUCAGCAAAGAAGUAACGAUUUCUUAUCUCUGCGUGAAGGUUUUGAAUAUGUUGUUUAGCAACCUCGAGCAACGUGACUCCGUCCCUUCCCGUCUCAUCACGCGGUAGUCCUAGCAUGCAAAGUAAUUAAAAGACAUCAUGAUAAAAAAAUAAAAAAAUAAAUCUUUAGAUCUCUUGAUGAAUAAUGAUAGAGGAGCAACUAUCUUGUAUAAAUAAAUUUGUACAGACUGAUGUGAUAUGAAAAGAUUAAUUGUAUAAAAAUAACUUUAGCUGUUGAUGAAACUCAACUCCGAUUGACACACUAUGAGUGAUAUCUAAUUCUCUAACUAAUCCAGCAGGAAGUUGCUAUUCAAAAAAUUGAAUAAAGAUUGGUGACCAAUCAUUAUGUAAAAGGAAUAGAAAGAAAAAUUUUAUAAAAUGCAAAUUAAUUAAUGUUUAGCUUUUAGGAAAGGAGGUUAGUGCAACUUGGAAAGAUUCUAUCUAGAAACCAUCAUUUUACGAAUUAACCUGUUUGUCAAUGCAUUUCUAAAUGGAAGAUAGUUGGUCCUGGAAAAUGAGCCAAAUUGUGCUUGUGCUCAAAAUAACAUUUGCUAAAUGCUAAUGUAAUUGCUACCGAAACGCUAGCUUUCAUUUUUUUUUCUUUCUUUUUAUCUGAUUUUUCAUCAUAUGAAACGUGAGAGUGAAAUCAAAACUUGUGAAUAAGAUUCAAACAUGUACAUAUAGUGGAUCUAACAAAAUAAUGAAAUGGAAUUAUUUUGUCGAUAAUUCAAAUAAUAAAGCACCUAUUUUUUCUUAGAAUAAUCACAAACUUCAAUAUGCCGAUGAUAUAUAUCUUAUUGAGAUUAAAAACAACACAAGCAACCUAUUACGUGAAAGGAAUAGAAAAAAAAAAAAGGAUGUUGAAUUUUAUUCAACGUGGGUAUUAAUGGAUGAAUGAUUUUGGUAGAAUUGAAGUUUUUUUUUUUUAAUGCAAAGGCUAUAAGGAUCAUUUUUAAUGCAAACGGGGAUUUCUCUGCUGCAAAAGACGGCUUUGGUAUGAUUGUAAGGAAUUGAGAGUGAGCAGCACAUCCUGCGUGCCAUCAAAUUCUUUGCACUACAGGCACCCUCUGCAUGCUGUGGAGGGAAAAAUAUGAAAACCAUUACAACUGCUCUUCGUUCUCUUAAUCCAUUGGGGCUGCUAAUCAAUCAAUAGAGAAAGAAUUCAGUCAUCAAUUUUGACAAAGCUUCCAAAACGUACAACACUAGAGAUAAAAUCUUCCACUUUCAGAACUUUACUGGUUAAAUCUUCUGCUCCAAAUCACCAAGGAUUAGUGCUGGUUUUCGAUUUUACAUGGGCUGUUGGACAACCUAAAUUGAUAAGGGCUUAAUCUCCAAAUAUCUGAAGAAUAUGAAGAUUAGGCAAUAUGCUCCAGUUUCUUUUUGUUGCGUUUAAUCCUCUAACAGUACCAAGAUCAAACACCCUAGACCAUCUUUGAUUUGAUGUAUGAAGACUCAUUCUCAGAAAUCCGAACUAAAAAUUGAAUCAAAGUGCCUACAUCCAGUGAAGAACAAGGAUACAAGUUGUCAAGCUUUCACUAUUUCACAAAUCAAGGUUACCAGGAUGUAGAGCUUGUUACAGAGAACAAGAAUAUACAACUUUUUAUUUCAACUCUCUCUCUCUCUCUCUCUCCAUAGCUUUGAUGAGAUUUGAGAAGAUGGCCCAUCAACCAGCCUUAUAAACUACGAUAAAGGCUAUCUCUAACAAUCCUUGAAUUUUCCUGCACUUAUUUAACUAACCCCAACUCAAUUCUGACCAGCACUCUGACCCUUAUUAUGACCGACACGUCGGUGAAAUUCCAAAAAACCGAACAACAAUGUCGUUCUGCCAGUGUUGACAUGAUGAGAUGAGAUCACAUCACAAAUACUUUUCUUCUAACUGAAGUACUAAGCUUGAAGUUGAACUGUACCGCUACUUAAAAACUAGAGGAAGAAAUAAAAUAAAAAUAAAAACAAUAACAAUAACAUAUAUCAAUUUGAAUGUUGACAAAUUGAAUACACACAAGUGAAACUGAAAAUAGAAAGUAAAACAAUUAAUCAGACUUUUGCACAAUAUAUUAAUCCGAACAUGACAUUAUUACUUUUAGCAAGCAAAUCCUUGAAAACAAAGAAACCAAACAAAGUGUGGACAACACAGCAGCAGUGAACACUGAAAGGAUGAAGGCUGGAUUCUGGUUGAAAUUGAAACUUUGGCUGCAGUGCAGUUAAGAUAGUUUCUGCUCUGCUUUUACCUACACAUACAACUAAUUGAAGAUCGCAUCAUACAGUUUUUAAUGAAUGGUGUCAGCAUUAGGAACUGUGAUGGACACAUCGAGUUUAUGUUAAGAAUGUAGAAAACACUUUAUAGUACGAUUAUAGUUUAGGCAUUUGCGCACUAUCAAAUCUGUUGUAGAGAAGAAAACAUUUAUAUGAAAUUAGAUCAAUAAUUAAAGGUUGAAGUUAUUGGAGAAGAAGAUAAAACUUACAUCAAAUUCAAUCGGGGCUAAUCAAAUUCCGUAAGGAUAUAGCCGAACACCAUACUGCUCCUUAUCCUCGAAUUCCCGUAGCUUUGUCUCAGCUCCGGCUGCGGCCACCAACACUCGAAAUUGUUUAAGCUCUUUAUGCCCCAGAGCUGUUCAGGAAACAUUUUCAAGUAAGCACAAGGGUUGAUAAUCAAGCAUUCUAGUUUUGGCAUGACUGCAAUCCCCAUAGUCCACUCCUCUAGCCAUAGCAUUGAUUUCAGGUGCAACACCUUGAGGUUCGGAAAACCAUAAGAGCCACAAGUCAGCUUUCUACCUGAAUACGAGUUUUGCUUCAGUUUGAGCACUUGAAGAAGCGGCAGCUUUUCUAGUGCCGGCAUGGGAUCAUCCAUUAGGUCAGUAUUAGAAAAACUCACGUGGGUUAGACUAUGAGGAAAUAGGUAUUCAGCAAGGACGAUUUUGUAGAGCCGUGGCAUCUUGCUUUUAUUUUCCAGCUUCAAUGACUCGAGAUUGCUCAAUCCGCAGAGACUUUUGGAUAACAAAGAUUGAUAAUAACUAAAAUCUCCCCGUAUCUGGAGAUUUCAAAGAUUAGGUAGUCUGGCCAGUAUAUCUUCAGUACAGCAGCAAGGAUUCAAGGCUGAAAUGAAAUUGAGAUUUUCCAGAGAGCCGCAAUAUUUUCCUGGAUGCGCAGGAAGUGUGAUUGAGCCAAAAUUUAGAUGCCUGAGUUUGUUCAUAUUCCAAAAUUCAUCUGCUGUAUGAUCUAUGUAGCUAAAGGGCAUGUCUAGGGUGUAGAGGUUCAGAAGAUUGCUAAAUAAUGAUGAAGGCAGGCUUUUGAGGGAAGGGAUAUUCAACUUCAAAUAUCUCAAAAGGAAUAAAAUUUCAAUUCCGAAUGGAUACUGGAUGAGAACAAGAGAUCACAAGUCCAAUACUUUGAGAAGUUUGAACAUUCCACAAAUUUUCUCCCAAUCCAUGGGGUCAAAGUGGCGGGUUUCUGGAGAGCAGAACAACAAAGACUGCAGUUGCAAGUCAUAAUCAUCUAAGCAAGCGAAAUCACCCUCUCUUUCAACAGCGUUUAACCGUUUGAAUUUUUUUGGUGAUUUACCUUCUGGAUCCAUGAAAGGGGAAGAGAUAAAUUCCACCAUAUAAGGAACUGACAUCAACACAGGAUGGCAACAGCUACGAAUAGAGCAUGUGUUGAUAGUGCCUGCAGCUUUUCUCUUCUUUGCUUCAACAAAGCCUCCCUUGAUUAGUUGUUCUAAGUAAUUCUCAGCAGUUGCCUCACUAUUGUCUAGGAUGAAACCUUCAGCUAUCCACAACUAAUAUAACUGCCUGGUGGAUAUCUCUAGGUGUGCGGGAAACACGGAUAAGUAGAGAAAACAAAGUUUCAAGCAAAAAGGUAACUUGCAACAUGUGAAGCCUACAAUCCCAACGGGUGUAUCCAAUACUUCCUCUAUAUUUUCUUCUAAUGAGAUGCUUCCAUGAUAUAAGAUGAGGAAAGGCCAUCCUUGGUAAGUAACUCUCAAUCGUCCUCCAGUGGGCACAAAAUCAAGCCGAAUGUUCUCUCCGUUUUCGAACUGAAAUGAGGUGACCAUCUCAAUUUGAGUGAGUGUUAUUAAUACUCGACUUCCAUUCUGAUUAUCUGGAAGUAUUUCUCGAAUAACAUCCAAUACAUCAGUGCUCCACACGUCAUCAAUCACAAUCAAAUACUGCUUGGUCAUUAGAUAUUCAUGAAGAAUGAUUUUUUUCAUUUCAUAAUUUUUAUCCUCUAUUUCACUCAACCUAGAUGAAGGCAUUAGAAACUUAAUAAUGAUAUCUAAUAUUUGGUCAGCUUCAUACGGAUAAGGCUCCCGAAUCCAAGUGUGACAAUCAAAAUAAUGCUUCGCAUAACUGCUGUUGUAAGCCUCUCUGGCGAAAGCCGUCUUGUCCAACCCAAUGCUAUCAAGUAUGACCACCACUGAAAGCUGAGGUGGUCCCUCAAUCAACAGAUCUAACAACUCCACCAUUCUAUCAUCUAGACCCACCAUUUCCCGGUUUUUAGAAGAUGAAAAUAUACCGGCUUCAGCUUCAAGAGUUUUGAUGUCGUCCAUGAGGUCGGAAUCCAUGUGCUUAAGUUGUUGCAUCCGUUGCUUAAUAUCAGUGAUUCUGCUUUGGUGUCCUUGCAGAGCAUCACAAACGUCCUUGCUGUGGCUGCUUUGAAUCUUCUGUUCACUGAUGCUGUUGAUGAAUGUGUCAAUCACCUUCUCAGAUUCAUACGUAAAGCAAUUGAUUUGAUCCAUAAUGGUCCCAAGAUCUGGGUCAUCAAUUUCCUCUUUUCCUAUUUGUUGCACCAGAAGCCAGGACGUUUCAUAUUCAGAGUCCCUCAGCCAGGAAGUAACGAUUUCAAUCUCGGCGAGAAGGUUCUGAAUAGGUUGUUUUACAGCAUCAGGCAACGUGGCUUCUUCACUAGCUAACACCCUUCUCAACCUCUCUGAAAAUAGUCUGAAGUUGAUGUCCAUAUCUCCUCCUCUCUCAGAUUCACCCUGAAAUCAGUCCUGUACCAUGCAAAGAAAUAAUUAAAAGAGAGAGGGGAAAAGGAAAAUAUGCUUUAAAGCUCUCAAUUCAAACAUUAGUGCUGGCUCCCAUACCUUCCUUCUCUUCGCUAGUUCUCCAGUCAAGAAGUUGAAUCAAGAUCGUUGACUCUCAAAUUAGAACAUAUCAAGGCAGAAUCUUACAAUAAUCUCGUCUUCCAUAUGAUGAAAAAAGAAUAAAGCAGAGAAAAAUAAACAGGACAUCGUCAAGUACCGAUCAAGACCGAUUUGUUUUAUACAUCCACUUUUGAGAAAGAAAGGAAGGGAUAAAAACAAUUCCACUGGGACUAUAAAAGCUUGUCUAAAAUGAAGAGAACAGAGUAAGCACAACAGCGUUAUCAAUUAUUUAAUAAUUAAGCUGUGGAAAAAUGCAAAAUCAUGUCUGGUGGGUUAAAUUUAUUGCGAGACUUGCAUGUAUGUAUAUCACAGAUAAAAUUUUUAUCCCAGGGUUAUAAAUGUAAAAUUACUCAAAUAAAUGUGCAUUAUUAAUCAUGUACGGUGCUAUCUUAUUUCUUCAACGAGAUUUAGAGAAAGUACUAAAUCGUUUGUAAAACUACAUACAUAUCCCGCAGAAAGUUGGAGAUCUUUUUAGCAUUCUUUUUUAAGAAAUGAAAAUUGAUAAAAAGUUCUAAUGUGACAAAAAAUAAUAAUAAAUUGUGCAAUCUUACAAUGUUAACUGAAAAAUAGUUAUAAUUUUUUAUUUAACAUUUUAAAUUUUAUUUAUAGUUGUUUUGUCGCCAUUGUAUGGUUCUUUGAUUCAAAUAUCAAUAUUAUAUGAACCCUCACCAUUUUGAAAGGAUUACAUCUUAAAGCACUAUUUAUAAUUAUGUUCAUUUGAGCCCUUAGUGUUAAAAAUAUAACAAUCCAUCAAAUGAAAUCAAUGAUAAUCGAAUUCCAAGUAGGAAUCGCAGAAAAAUCCGAUCUAGGUAGAGCAUGUUUUCGAAGUACUCUGGCUGGAUUUGGACUUUGGUUAAAAAACCCGAACCCAGCUCGAAAGCUCAAAACAAUUGAAAAUUUUUUAAAUAUAUGUUAUUUUAAUUAAAAUACAACUUUUAAUAUAUUUAAUCCACUCAUAGCAUAUAUUUAAAGUUUUAAAUCAUUUGAGUCCAACUUUUAAAGCCUAGUCUAACAAAGAAGAAACUAAAUUUUAUAAACUAUAAAUUUGUAAACUAUAAUGAAAAAAGUUUUUUUUUUUAAAAUGGAAUGUAUACUUCAGACUUUUUGGCUUGGCUUGAGAGAAAAAGAAAGAAAAAAAACAUGUUUUGCCAUCCCUAAUUCCAAAGCUUUAAAGACUUCUCCAAAUGUAUAGUACAACAUUGUAUAGGACCAAUCACACGGAGAUGAUUUGAAUUUUUUAACACAAUUUUAAUGCAUAUCAGAAGAGAGGCAGCAAUCUUAGUUGAUACUUUUAUUUGACAUAUGAUGUAAGAAAUGAAGCAAAGAUUGUAACGUUACAAACUUUGCAAUUCAGCAUCCAAAAUAUCACUAGAACUUGAAAUACAAGCUUUAAUCUCUUCAACAACACGUCGAAUUGCGGCCAGGAACACAGACGCAAAGAUGGGUAUCAAGAUCACAUUCAAACGAAUGACAGGGAUUGUCACAGUCAGCAUUGCUUUUACAAGUGACUGCUUUUGAUUCCGGCUGGGCAUCAACUGUCGGCAUGGAAAUAUGAAACAACAUGCCUACAUAUAUAAAUGUCAAACAAUUAAUCAGCCUAAUGGUAGUAACACACAUGCAUAUAUAAAUGCCAACCAAUUAGUUGUCAUAUUAUAGUUAAUUAUUGAUGCAGCGGAAGUUUAAUGUUUAAAUAUUCCGUUGAUUUUAGAGAAUGCCAGAAUAAAAAAACAAUUAAAUUCACAUUGAUUUAAAAGAAUGCCGCGAAUUUAGGUGUUAAGACUCGUUGAUUCCACAGAAUAUCGAGAAUUAACUGAAUUCAAAUACUGACACAGAGUUUUGAAAACUGAAAUAUUAUUAAACUCGAAUCUCUCUACUUGUAAAAGCUGCAAAAGACACUUAUUUAUACUAACCGAGACUUAUCCUAAUUUGAUUAGAAAACAUAUUUUAAUAAGACUUAUACCUAAAUUAUGAAUAUUACCCAAAUAAGCAAUACCUAAAAAUUAAGACUCUAAAUAAGAAACCAAAUUAAAUUAGAAUACAAAUUAAUUAAAAUGUAAGGUACAAUUUUUUCACUUAAAUAUAAUAUAAUUUACUUUAAGCUAACAAGCCCCUUAAGUAUUAAAAUAAUAAUAAUAUAAAAUAUUUAAUUCUAAGUAAUGAUGACAUAAACAAUGACAUAAGUAGUGAUGAUAUAAAUAAUGACAUACGUGAUGACGUAAGAGAAGUAUAUAGAGAAAGUUAAGAAUUCUAGAAUUUAGUAAGGUAUUUAUGAAGAAUAAUCUCAACUAUUGAUCAAGAGUUAUGGUGGCAAAAUUCUAUCCAUCCAUUAACCUUAAGAAAUCCUAUAAAUACCACCUACCCCAUUUCAUUUUCAAUGCAACCUAGAAAUUUCACUCUCUUCUAUUCUAAGUUAUAACAUCAAGAGUAGAGAAAUUCUCAAUUUAGAUAGGUCUAGAGAAGUCAAUGCCAUGAGGUAAGUAACACUUCAACUACAAUGUAAGGACAAAAAAAAUUUCAUACUUAACUUUAGUUUUAACCAUUCGUUUAUGUUAUGAUGCCUAUUAUGAUAUGAUUAGUUAUAAUCUAAAUUCUUAUAUGGUCGAUUCUGCUGCUUAAUCUAUGAUACUUAGUUACAUUAUGGUCGGCUCUUAUGCCUAAGCUAUGAUACUUAAUUAUGUUAUGGUUGGUUCUACCAUCUAAUUUGUGAUACUUAUACUUAAUUAUGCUAUGGUCGGCUAUGCCGCCUAUAUUAAAGAAUCUUGUUCUUAAAUAGUGUUGUGUGUUGAUUUUGUUAUGCAUCUAGGAAUUUCAAAUGUUAUGACAUAAGUUGCAUUGGAUACAUGCAUAUCAUGGAUUACAUUAUGAAAAAGAUGUUUCAGAAAAUGAAUUUAUGAAAAAUAGGUGGUUGUACUACCAAUUAGCAAAGUUUUUAAGGAGGGUAAGCCCCCAAAGCUAAGUAAAAAAAAAUCUUUUGGGGAUGACGAUACGUAACGCCCAAAAGAUCAACUAAUAAGGCCCAAGGGCAUAUUGUUUAAAGAGUAAAAGUGUCAGCCUUGCAGUGCAACAUACCUAGAGCCCUAAUGAAAUUGUUUUGUAUUUUCUAAGUUUCUUUUAAAAGCUUAAUAUGGUCAUCCAUUUGCAUCAUAAUUUAUGCAUGCAUAAAAGUGUUAUCUUACUGGGUAUUAGCUCAUAAAGUCCUUACAUUGCAGGUAACAAUGAGUAGGGCAAGCUGGAGCCAAGUCCUAACCAAGACGAAGUACAUAUGGGCAUAGCAGACCUUGGGAUUUUAUGAUGAGCUCAGCUUUGUUUCAUUAAAAAAAAAAAUAAGCAUCUUAAUUUUAUGUAAUAAUAAAGUUUUUAUACUAAGAAGUUUCUGUAUGACUUACUUUUUGUAAGAAAGUUUUGUUUGUUGUGAAUUUUUGUUAAUCUGUAUUUAUAAAAGCACAGUAUUUAAAGCAUCUUUAAAAUGAAUAUUUAAGUGGAGUUUUAUAUAAAAUAUUCCUAAAUAUUAUAAAUUUCAAUGUAAUUAGAGUUUCUUCAAUUUCUUACUCUGCAUCAUUCCCGCCAAAAUGGAGAAAAUUUGCCCUCAAAUUUUGUAUGUUGUAGUCUUCAAGAACAUCUUCAUGUGCAUAAGGAUUAAUUUUUAAAACAGGGCUUCGAUAUAGACGAAAAACUGUAAAUUUUCCUACUUUUGCAAUAACGUCCAUCCAAUCACUCUAAUGGCGUAAAAUAAAUUCUUCUAUCAACAAUUUAUCUAAUAAUGUCUUCUCGUAUUGUUCGUGUCGAACUUCAACAUAGUUGAGGAAAAAUGAUUUCUUCACAUAAUACACUAACUGUUGAAAAAUAUCACAACUAUUUUUGUCUUCUUUUGGCAAAUCAAGAGAACAAUAAGAGAUUGUAUCAACAACUACCUCUUUUUGCUCCAGAAGAUCAAAAGAUGUAGCCACAAUAUCAAGAUACUCAUCAAAUUUCGGUAGUUGAUCCAAAUCAAUGUCUUUUUGUUGAGAAUUUGUUGUAGACACCAAUAGCUAAUUAAUAUUCUCCCCGGAGGGAAUAAUAUUGUUGAGUGAAACAAAGUUACUAUUUUCCUCAUUAUCCUUAUAACAAACAUCAUCACGAACAACUUCAUCAAAUCCAUAUGUCUGCUUUAUGUGUAAAGAUUUUCUAUCUUGAAGUAAUCUUGAGAAAUCAAAUGCAAAAUCUUCAACAUCCUAUUUAAAACUUCUUUCAAGACAAAAUCUUCACGGCGAUGUUGUCAUUUCAUGAUUCAAUUGUUUUUCUUCUUUUCCUCCUUUUUUCGGGUGUUUGUUUGGGUUUCAAUUUUUUGGCUAAGAUCAGAAAAUUAAAGAAAAAUACUGAAAUAGAAGAAAGUACUGGGCCAAGGCUGAAAUUAAGCAAAAGUUUUAGAUUUCCUGUGACGGUGGUCGGAAAUCGAGCAAGGAUGGGUGGAUUUGAAAGAUUUUGGGCUGGUGAGUAUGAUGGUGGUGGUUGUUUGUCCGAAAAAGUGGUGUUUUGGCCAGAAAUUAUAGAUAAAGUCGGCAGUUUGAGGGCUUCGAUUUCCGGCGGUGUGAGCUCGAUUGGCGGUGAUUAAUGCUAGGAAAAGUUCAGCUGAUGGAGAGGAAUGGGUUGAUGGUGGUGCUUCUGGCCAUAUUGCACCGGAAAGUGGUGAACGGACGUGGUAGAAAUCACGGCAGUUUUGGCUUUUUUUCCGGCAACCUGUGGUUAAUCUACAGUGGAAGAUGCUUGGGGUUUGAUGGUUGGCGAUUUAUGAUCCGAAUGGUAGUGGUUGCGUCCGGAUCGGUGACGGAAAACUAAAGCCAGCAGCCUUGGACGGUGGGCGCGGGUUGAAGCUUUUGCUUCCGUUUUGGUUUUUUUUUCUUCUUCUUUUUUUUUUAUAAAGCUAAAUGGAAAAAAAUAAAAAAAGGAAAGGUUUGGUGGUAGAUGGGGUUAGAUUGGUGAUAUCAGAUUUUAACUCUAAUUUUAAGCUGAUGUAAUGGAAGUUUAAUGUUUAAAUAUUUCGCUAAUUUUAUAGAAUAUCAGAAUAAAAGAAUAAUUAAAUUCACGUUGAUUCCACAGAAUACCGAGAAUUAAUUGAACUCAAAUACUCACACAAAGUUUUGAAAACUGAAAUAUUAUUAAACUCGAAUCUCUCUGCUUAUAAAAGUUAUAAAAGACACUUAUUUAUACUAACUAAAACUUAUCCUAAUUUGAUUAAAAAACUUAUUUUAAUAAGAUUUAUACCUAAAUUAAGAAUAUUGCCCAAAUAAGUAAUGCUAAAAAUUAAGACUCUAAAUAGAAAACCAAAUUAAACUAGAAUACAAAUUAAUUAAAAUAUUACUAAAUAUUAUAAAUUUCAAUGAAAUUAUGAUUUUUUUUAAUUUCUUGCUUAGCGUCAAUUAUGCAUGCAUUAAAAAGAUGAGGAAGAGAAGAUUAAGUAACAAACAUGAGGCCACCAAGAGAGUAUGAAAAAUGUGGAUUUAAGUUUAAGUUCCAUAAUGUUUAUGUUAGCAAAAGUGCAAAACAGAGAGUCUGAGGAUAAUGAUAUUAUUAAAUUUAAUAUGGGUUUGGUUUGUUUAGAUUCAUGAGUUUCUCUAGACUGAUAUGUGGGGGAAAAUUUAAUCCACUUGACAACUAAAAAAUUCAGAAAUCAAACCUCAAUUUGAAAAAUUAGAAAUUUAAACAAUUAAUUUUUUUCCAUAUGCAUGCAAAAAAUUAUAUCUAUGUAACUUGUCAUAUGCUAUAUAUAUUCUAUCAGGUGGAAGAUUUUCUAUUCAUUUGUAUCAAAUAUAUGGUAUCAAUCAAUAAAUUAUUGUUUUGUUAUAUAUACUUAUAGUAUCUUAUAGUAAACUAAGAAAUAUUAAAGAUCUUCUAGCGUGUUUUGAGUCGUAAAAUGUUUAAAAAAAAUUCAAUUCUAAAGUAUAAUUAACUAUUUUGUGUCCUAGGUAUUAUAAAAGGUCUUUGAAGUUUUUGGAUUUUUUUGACCCAUUUGUCAAUAAGUGAAACUAUUAGCACCACUUUAAACUCCUCAUAAAUCUUCUCUUCUAAAAGUACACCAUUAAAAACAUAUGUAAAUCACACUAAUUUUAAUGACACCUAUGUUAAUUUCACAAAUAACCUUAUAUAUUCUUUGUGCUUAAAAAAUCAUAUGAAAACAAAAAUCUUUUGUUACGAAACUUUUUCACCAAUUUAAUUUGAAUCUAAAAACUAGAUAAGAUACUCUAGGCCAUCUUCUUGAGUGGAGCUAUUUUAAUUCCACAAACGUCCUUGUACACUUCUUUCUCACUAACUUUACUAUGAGAGAGAGAAAAAAAAAUUAAAAAUAUAUUUCUUUUAUACUAAAAAAGGUUGCUAUAAGCUAAUCCAAUAUUAUUUUAUACUCUGAAUGUGACAAUUCGCAUGCUUUUAUAUGAACGCAUAAAUUGAUAAAAUCAAGAGAACAAGUAGCCAAAAUAGUAAGGCUCUCAUAAUUUGAAAAUAAUGAACUAAAAAUUUCAGUCCAACAGAAACCACUAAUUUAAGAAUAAAAAUAAAAUAAAAAAUAUUUUCACUAUAACAACAAAAUUAUCUUUUAUUUAAUAAAAAUAAAACCCAUGUGGGGUUAGAGGAAGAGAGAUGGAUUGUCAAACAUGAUUUGAUUAAAGUUAAAAAUAUAAAUUUACGAUAUAAGAAUUCUUUUAGAGGUAGCAAUAGCUCCACUCUUUUUUUUUUUUUUCUGUAGUUCUGCAAGUUCUAGGCGCAGGGAUUCUAUGAAAGUCUUAGAGGGUGCCGAUAACUUUCAAUAAUAUGCGUGUAGGUUAAACAAUAUUGAAUUAUUAGAUGGACCUUUCUACCUCUAUUUUACUUAUUUUGGAUGGAUGUACUUUAGAGAAUCUAUAAGAUAACCAUCCUCUUAUUUGAUCCAAUCCAAUUUAAUUGACUUACCGCUUUAUGUUAAUAUAUAAUUAUAUUUUCUUUGAAUUGUUAAUUGUUAUAAUAGUUCAGAGUUUUAUCGAGGAGAUAGCUCGAAAAUCAAACUAAUUCUUACUCAGAAGGGAGCGGAAAUAAAUUGUGAUAGAAAAUAAAUUAUUUGAGUGCUCUGCGAGUCAAAGACCCACCCUCAGAUAAACAACUAUCUUAAUAAAGCAGAGCAGCAAUGUCAUUCUUCUCGUUGGGUCUUUUCUUCAAACGUCUUCUGUACAAACAGCUCACCCGCCGUCAGAAUCUAUUUCCGCUCAUAAAACAAAAACCCAGAACCCAAUCAACAACACCCUCUUCCGUUCUGGUAAAAGUUUGCAUGAUAAUGAGUAAAUGAAAAAUAAACAGUAAUUCAAAGCUAUCCGAGGAUUUUUCUCAAUUUAUCCUUUAUGCAAUUGUUUGUUGUUUAUGGGUGUAUGAUUAUAUUUUAAAACAAAUAAAAAAAAAGUAAAGGAAAAGAAAAUUCGAUAAAGAAAAAGCGCUCAUUAUCCAAAUAAAAAAAAAAAAGGCAUCCAUCACUUUAGUUUCUAACGUGGCCAUCAGUCCUUUCUUUGUCUCUUCUUUUUAAUUUGUUACAUUAAUUUGUCAGCAUCAUUGCUGAAACUUGAUAACGAUAACUUAAUAACGAUAACGAUAACGAUAUAAACAAGAUCUUGGGCAUCGGAAACUUAAUAACGAUAUCUAAUAUUUAGUCGGCAUCGUCAGCAUCAUUGCUGUAAGGCUCUGAAAUCCAAGCGUGACAAUCAAAAUAAUGCUUCACAUAACUGCUGUUGUAAGCCUCUCUGGCGAAAGCCGUCUUGUCCAACCCAAUGCUAUCAAGUAUGGCCACCAAUGAAAACUGAGGUGGUCCCUCGAUCAAUAGAUCUAACAACUCCUCCAUUCCAUCAUCUUGACCCACGAUGUCCCUACUUUUAGAAGAUGAAGAUAUACCGGCUUCAAUUUCAAAAGUUUUGAUGCGAUCAAUGAUUUCGGAAUCCAUGUGCUUAAGUUGUUGCAUCUGUUGCUUAAUAUCAGUGAUUCUGCUUUGGAGUCCUUGCAGAGCAUCAAAAAUGUCCUUGCUACAGCUGCUUUGACUCUUAUGUUGAGCGAUGCUGUUGAUGAAUGUGUCAAUGACCUCCUCAGAUUCAUACGUAAAGCGAUUGAUUUCAUCCAUAAGGGUCCCAAUGUUCCCAAGAUCUGGGUCAUCAAUUUCCUCUUCUACUAUUUUGAGUAGCAGAAGGCAGGAGAUAUUGUUAAGAAAUUGGUGGGUGAAGUAGAAACGCAGCUACAAUGAAAUUGAAAGAAAAAUAAAGAACAAGCACAAAAAGGACACUAGGAAAUUACGUGGUUCGGCUUUUAGCCUAUGUCCACGGGCGAACACAAAAGUAAAAUAUUUUACUAGUGAAAAAGAGUUACAAGUAUUCAAGUAUUGUAGUAUUUUAACUCACUACCCAAAACCUCAAUACACUCAAACUCUCAAAUCACUAGACUCUUAAAAGCUCUCUGAAUAAAUAAAAGAGUUGAAGAACUCAAUGAUUUAUAAAUGAAGGGAGCCAGCAUUUUUAUAGCCUAAAUUGGCUACUGUUCAUUUAAUAAUUAAUUAUUAUUAUUAUUUUAUUAAUUUUUCUUUUCUUUUCCUUCUUCAGCCCGACAUCUCUUUUUCUUCUUUCUCUUUUGUUUCUUUCUUUUGUUCCAAUCAAAAAAACAGAAGUAAUACUUUCUUCUUCAAAAUGGGUGGGCCCACCUUCUAGAAGGGUGGAGCCCACAUGCCAUUUUUGUCAUUCUCCCACUUGGAGAUUAGAUUGAGAACCAAUCAAUCUCCACACCAUCCUUUCUGCUUUGCCAUUGUCAUAUUGCCUACGUUUCUACUAGGCCACAAGAGGAUCUACUUUAGACAAACUUGUCAGUAUUGAUUGGCUUGGUCAUAACAUCUCCUAGGUUCUACUUCAUAUGGAUUUUCUAUAAAUCCACAUUUCCAUCUUCCACUACUUCUCGAACAAAGUGAUACUAAACUCCUAUGUGCUUUGUCCUAGAAUGAAAAACUGGAUUCCUUGUAAUGUGCAAGGUACUCUGACUGUCACAAAACACAGAAAUUUUCUCUUGUUUGUGCCCGAGCUCCUCCGAUAACCUUUGUAUCCAAAUAGCUUCCUUGCAAGCUUGUGUAGCUACCAUGUAUUCUGCUUCUGUUGUAGAUAAAGCAACAACGGUAUGCAGUUUUGAAAUCCAACUUACAGCUGCUCUCGCAAGUGUAAACACAUAGCCAGUAGUAGAUUUCCUUUUAUCAAGGUCUCCUGAAAAAUCUAAAUCCACAUAGCCCCUGACAGUAAAUUUUGAUCCUCCAUAACAUAAUGCAACAUCGGAGGUUCCUCUGAUAUACCUCAUAAUCCUCUUCACAGUUAUCCAAUGCUCUCCACCAGGAUUCGUCAUGUAUCGACUGACUGCUCUCACUGCUUGUGCAAUGUCUGGUCUAGUACAUAUCAUAGCGAACAUCAAACUUCCCACUGCUGAUGCAUACGGUACUCAAGACAUCUUCUUUCUCUCUGCUUCAUUGCUAGGACACAUACUUGAGGAUAAUUUGAAAUUAACAGGAAGUGGGGUAAAGAUUUUCUUCAAGUAGUUCUUCUGAGAAAGCCAAAUCUUCCUGUUAUUUCUAUCUCGGUGAAUUUGCAUCCCUAGAAUUUGUUUGUUGGUCCCAAGUCCUUCAUUUCAAAUUCUUUAGCCAACUGUGCCUUCAAUUCUUGGAUUUGAUCUUUGUUGGGGCCUGCUACCAACAUGUCAUCCACAUACAACAACAAAAUAAUGAAAUCAUUAUCUUCAAACAUCUUGUAAUAUGCACAAUUGUCUGAAUUGAGUCUGUUGUAUCCAAGGCUCAUGAUGAAAGAAUCAAAUCUCUUAUACUAACACCUCGGUGCCUGUUUGAGACCGUAUAGAGAUUUGUUCAACUUGCAAACCAAGUUCUCAUUUCCCUUUUCAGCAAAACCUUCUGGUUGGAGCAUAUAAAUUUCCUCUUCAAGUUCUCCAUGAAGAAAUGCAGUUUUCACAUCCAACUGCUCAAGAUGUAAGUCAAAUGUAGCACACAUUGCCAAGACUACUCUGACUGUCGUGAGUCGAACCACCGGAGAAAAUAUCUCGUUGAAGUCAAUACCUUCUUUCUGAGCAAAUCCUUUCACCACCAAUCUCGCACGAUACCGUUCCACUUGGUCAUUGCCAUCAUGUUUGAUCUUAUAGACCCAUUUGUUUCCAAUGGCUUUUCUUUCGUGUGAUAGGGGUACAAGUUCCCAUGUCUUGUUCUUGUGUAGAGCUUCAAUUUCUUCAUACAUUGCUGUCAUCCACAAAGCAACAUUUGAGCUGUUUAAGGCUUCAUGGAAAGUUGAUGGCUCUCCAUCCUCUGUUAGAAGACAAUAUGCAACAUUGAUCUCUGUGACAUACUCCGAGUGCCACGAUGGCGGUCGUCUCUCACGAGUUGACCGACAAACUUCUAGAGCCUCGGACUCGACUGGUUCUUGUUCUUCGUGCUCUGGUGCUGCUUUAGAAGAAUCUAAAUCUUCUGGAUUAUUUUCCACAUAUACCGGCACAGUCUCUGACUUUUCUUUUACAGUGUCAUCAUCUUCAUCUUUCUUUUGCAGUUGAUCUUCUACAAAAAUAACAUCUCUGCUGAUGACGAUCUUAUGGGCAGUGGGGUCCCACAGACAAUACCCCUUUACUCCAUCAGCAUUUCCCAAGAAGAUACAUCUUUUAGAUUUUGGAUCCAGCUUUUUUCUUUCUUGGGCAUUGUACAUCACGUACACAGGACAUCCAAAUGCAUGUAGGUAGGAGUAAUCAGCUGGCUUUUCAGUCCACAUCUUCAUCGUUGUCUUCAGCCCAAUUGCUGUAGAUGGCGACCGAUUUACUAUACAACAGGCAGUUUUGGCUGCUUCUGCCCAGAUGAAUUGGGUAGACCAACAGUCCUCAACAUAGCUCUUAUCAUUUAUUUAAUAGUCAUGUUCAUCCGCUCUACCACUCCAUUUUGUUGAGGAGUGUAUGCCACUAUAAAUUGCCUCUGAAUACCUUCUUGCUUACAGAAAGCAAGAAACUCGUCGUCUGUAUACUCUCCACCAUUAUCUAUCCUCAAGCAUUUGAUCCUUUUCCUGGAUUCAAGUUCAACCCGCACUUUGUAUUCUUUAAAUACUGGAAAUACAUCUGACUUUUUCUUAAUUGAAUACACCCAACAUCUCUUGGAAUAAUCAUCAAUGAAAGUCACCAUGUACUUUGCACAUCCCAUGGACAUAUCCGGCGAUUUCCAAACAUCAGAAUGAAUCAAGUCUAUAAUGCAUUUACUUCUAACAAUAGAUCUACUGAACUUUAAUCUAUACUACUCACUUGUAACACAAUGCUCGCAAAAUGGUAAACUUACCGAUUUGAGCCUUGGAAGCAAUUUUCGCUCAAAGAGAAUCUUCAAACCUUGUUCUGACAUGUGGCCAAGUUUGAGAUGCCACAUUAUCAUUUACUCUUCUCCAUUUGAUGCGACACACACAUCAGCCUCCUGUAGUAUUUCUCCUUUAAGCAUGAAUAGAUUAGCACCGAUCUUUUCUGUCUUUAUCAAUACAAGUGUGCAUUUAACGAUCUUCAUAAUUCCAUUCUCCACAUGAGUUUUGUACCCAUGACUAUCCAUUUUUCCUAAAGACAAUAGAUUUUUCUGAAAGAAAUGCAUCCGGUACAUGUCUCAACUCCUAAUACGGGGCAGCACCCCUUGAUCAAAGGGCGCGCCGAGAGGGAACAACCUCGAGUAGGCCAUUGACAUGUCGUACCUCCCCAAUUGUGCGAAUUAUACCAUCAAACAUUUUCAUUUUGAUAGUACCAAUACCAGCAAUCUCCAAGGCAUGAUCAUCUCCCAUAUAUACAGAUCCUCUUUAGAUAGGUUCAUAUGUAUGGAACCAUUCUCUCCUAGAAGUCAUGUGCCAGGUAGCUCCUGAGUCUAUAAGCCAGACAUCCAAAUAGCUGUUUUCUGCCUUCUGAAAUAGUUAUUGCCUCGCUAUAGAUAAUUUCGCCAUCAUCCGAGAUACUUGCUACACACCCCUGAGCAUUUGAUGACUCAGGUUCUUUGCCCUUUUUUUUCUUCUGGUUACUCCAACACUCUUUCUUGACGUGCCCUUUCUUGCCACAGUUGUAGUAUUUAACAUUCUUCUUACUUCUAGAUUUUGAUCUACCAUGAUUGUGACUCCCACUGGGGUCACGUUCCAUUGAUCUCCCUCUCGUCACCGAUAGCGCCUCCGCUUGCUGCGAACUUGCUUGUCUGUUUUUCUUAUUUUUUCGUCUGCUCUCCUCAUUUAAUACGGAGGCUGCAACAUCGUCAAAAACUAGACUGUCUGCUGGAUUGUUGUUCGUCAGGUUGAUAAUGAGCUGAUCAUAUGGGUUCGGUAGACUUUGAAGUAAAAGCUCUGCAUGUUCAUUCUCCUCUAUAUUAUGACCCAACGUUGUGAGUUGUGAAAAUAAAAUUUUCAAGGUGUUGAUGUGGUCGGUCACCAUUGUAGAUUCCGCCAUUCGAAGAGUAUAGAGCUUCCUCUUCAAGAAGAUUUUGUUGUGUAGUGACUUGGCCUCGUACAAUUUUGUGAGAGUAUCUCAUAUUUCCUUCGCUGUAUUUUUCUCUGCCACACUGGAUAAUACUCCAUCUGCAAGUGCCAAGUGUAGAUCAGAAACGGUGUUGCCAUCUAUCUCGUUCCACUUGUCAUCAGUUAUCUCCAUGGGUCUUUCUCCAAUUGCUGCCAAGCAAUUAUUUUUCCUCAAUAUAGCUUUCAUCUUCAUUUUGCACAACGAAAAAUUAUUUCCAUUAAACUUCUCAAUUUCAUACUUUACCACCAUUUUGUUGAUAAAUACCACACACAAGCUAGUGUACCACCCUGAAUAGUUGUAAGUAUGUGUGAGAAUGCACACUAGGAAAGUUCCCAGGAAAGACUGGAGGGGUCACAAUGGUCCCACCUAAAACCCAGACUCCUUAAGCUCUUAUCGCCUUUGUGACAGAACUUUCCUAGACAUGUACAAAACCACACAAUUACUUUACUCACACCACUAUUCCCUGCUUUGGACCGCAAAAUUAUUAGAUCGAUCCCACCGUUUCUUGUGAACAGUAUCGUAUCUAUGAACAGUGCCGUAUACGUGAACAGUACCCGACUCUAAAGAAUACAACCAAUAGCUCUUAUACCACUGUUAGGAAAUUGGUGGGUGAAGCAGGGCCACAGCUAAAAUGAAAUUGGAAGAAAAAUAAAGAACAAGCACAAAAAGGACACUAGAAAAUUACGUGGUUCGGCUUUUAGCCUACGUCCACGGGCGAACACAGAAGGAAAAUAUUUUACUAGUGAAAAGGAAUUACAAGUAUUGUAGUAUUUUAAUUCACUACCCAAAACUCCAAUACACUCAAACUCUCAAACCAAUAGACUCUUAAAAUACUCUCUAAAUAAAUAAAAGAACUGAAGAACUCGAUGAUUUACAAAUGAAGGGAGCCCGCACUUUUAAAGCCAAAAUUGGCUACUGUUCAUUUAAUAUUUAAUUAUUAUUAUUAUUUUAUUAAUUUUUCUUUUCUUUUCCUUCUUCGGCCCGGCAUCUCUUUUUCUUCUCUCUUUCUUCUUUUUCUUCUUUCUAUUUUGUUUCUUUCUUUUGUUCCAGUAAAAAAAAUGGAAGUAAUACUUUCUUCUUCAAAAUGGGUGGGCCCACCUUCUAGAAGGGUGGAGCCCACAUGCCAUUUUUGUUAGAUAUCAUCUUCAAAUUCCCUCAGCCAAGAAGUAACGAUUUCAACCUCCACAUUAAGGUUCUGAAUAGCUUGUUUUGCAUCACCAAGCAACGUGACUUCUUCACCAGCUAAUACCCUUCUCAGCCUCUCUGAAAAUAGUCUGAAGCUGAUGUCCAUAUCUCCUCCUCUCUCAGACUCACCCUGAAAUCAGUCCUGUAGCAUGCAAAGAAAUAAUUAAAAGAGAGAGGGGAAAAGGAAAAUAUGCUUUAAAGCUCUCACUUCAAACAUUAGUGCUGGCUCCCAUACCUUCCUUCUCUUAGCUAGUUCUCUAGUCAAGAAGUUGAAUCAAGAUCAUUGACUCUCAAAUUAUAACAGAUCAAGGCAAAAUCUUACAAUACUCUUGUCUUCCAAAUGUUGUAAAAAGAAUAAAGCAGAGAAAAAUAAACAAGACAUCGUCAAGUUUUGAUCAAGACCAAUUUGUUUUAUACAUCCACUUUUAAGAAAGGAAGGGUAAAAACAAUUCUGCUGGGACUAUAAACGCUUGUUUGAAAAGAAGAGAACAAAGCAAGCACAAGAGGGAAAAGGAUCCUCUUCUGAUCUGAUCUCUUCUGAGUUUUUCAAGAUCUUCUGUCAAGUGUCUUUUAGUGGUAGUGUAUGAGUAAGAUUCAAUUUCUUUUAUUUUUUUAUAUAUUAACUACCAAUCAACAAUUGACUUAUUUAUUCAUGAUAUAAUCAGAUCAAGAGAGAAUCUUGAUCCGCACAAGAGCGUUAUCAAUUAUUUAAUAAUUAAGCUGUGGAAAAAUGCAAAAUCAUGUCUGCCACUUGCUGGCAUGCAAAAAAAAAAAAAAUCAUUGUUAAAACUUCUUAGCUCUUAAUUCAAAUAUUUAUGUGUCCGCUGAAACAUUUAUUGUUAAUGAAUGGAAUAGGUCGUAGGUUGACCGACGUAACUCUUUCUCUCAAUACUCCAGUGGUGUAAGCAUGUUAGUUUAGUCAAUAGUUUCUCCUGUACAUAAAUGAUGUUUUAUUAUAGAAUUUUGAUAAUAUGUAUAAUAGGGAAGUAGUUGUAGUUGUAGAAAAGAGAUUGGGUAUUGGUUUAUGUGAUAUGGACUUGGAGCAUAAUAAAUUAUACAACUUGCAAUUAAAUCCAAAAUGGCAGUACUUCAUUACUUUUGUCCUCUGUGAAUAUAAAACACUGACUAUGUAAUCAUAAUACUUUUUUAAUGAGUAUGAUGACAAUUAAAGACAAAUAAUGAUUUUGUAAUUAUUUCAUGGAGUUAAUCACUGACUGCUAUAUCAUGCACAAGUUUUUCCGUGACUAUUUCCCGUGAAAAGGAAAUUUUUAAAAGCUUUAUCAAUGUAGGUUAGUACUAGCAGCUAGGUUGGAGAAGAUGAGGGAAAGGUGACGCUAAUGAAUAAAUAUGCUACCACUUGCAAUUAAUAAAAUGCUAACCCUAUAUGGUAAAGGCUGGAGAAGAUGAGGGGAAGGUGACGCUAAUGAAUAAAUAUGCUACCACUUGCAAUUAAUAAAAUGCUAACCCUGUCUGGUAAGCUAGCUCUGUUCAUUGAAAGCAAAAGCAAUAGAAUCUUUGACCUUGCUGCCACAAGAUGAUUGUCAUGGAAGGCACCAAAGUUUCCAAGUAACAGACAAAGUUAAAGUAGUUAGCACUAUGAGCCGAGGCAAAGACAUACUUCUAAUCAUCGUAUUUGCUUUUUAAGAGUCUUCACCCUAAUUUUCCACAGCUUGCUUCUCUGCCUCAUACCUUAGUUUUAACAGCAUCUCCAUCUAAUCCUCUCAACCCACCACACGGGGGUUUCUUGUUCAUCCGCUCCCUCCUCCUCCCUAGAGAAGAAUCAAUGGCCUGAUACAAACUUGAUUUUACGCUAUCAAGUACGGCCACUACUAAAAGUUGAGGUGGUACCUCGAUGAAUAAAUCUAUCAACUCCUCCAUUCUAUUAUUUAGACCCAUUGUGAACCUCUUCUUAAAUCCUGAAGAUACAGAAGAAUAAUUACCGGCAUCAGCCGCUGUUGAUGUGUUGAAUCCUCGAUGAUGAAUUAUAAAUUACAAGACUUGCAUGUACAUCACAAACAAAAUUUGUAUCCCAAGGCUAUAAAUAUAAAAUUACUCAAAAAUAAAUAUACAUGAUUAAUCAUGUACGACGGGAUCUUAUUUCUUCAACGAGAUUUAGAGAAAGUACUAGAUCGUUUGUAAAAUUUUAUAUUUAUUAUAUCUUCAUUUUAAAAGCUUAUACAUAUCCCACAGAAAUUUGGGGAUCUUUUAAGCAUACUUUUUUAAGAAAUGAAAAAUGAUAAAGAGUACUAAUAGUGACAUAAGGGUGACAAAAAUAACUGUAAAUUGUCCAGUGUUACAAUAUUGAUUGAAAAAUAGUUAUAAUUUUUUUUUAACACUAUAUGACUUUACAGUUGUUUUGUCACCAUUAUAUCGUUCUUCGAUUUAAGUAUCCAUACUAUAUGAACCCUCAUCUUUUUGAAAAGAUUAUCAUCUUAAGACACUAUUUAUAAUUAUUUUCGUAUGAGUCCUUAAUGUUAAAAAUAUAACAAUCAAUUAAUGAAAUCAAUGAUAAUUGAAUUCCAAAUAGGAAUGGCAGAAAAAUCGAAUCCCACUAGAUCAUAUUUUCUACAAGGGUAAUGCUAAGUUACAUGCAUGUACCUUACAUCCCUCUCACAUGAAUAGUGUAUGGAUACUAUUCAUGUGAGAGGAUUGUAAGGUACAUGCAUGUAACUUAGAGGGAUCCUUUCUACAAACUGUGGCCACACUCAGGCUUCGCAUAAAAGCUUGAGCCCAGCUCGAAAGCCCAAAAAACUACAUAAAAACUUGAAAAUAUGUAUUAUAUAUUUUAAUUAAAAUACAACUUUUAACAAUUAUUUAAUUCGCUUUUAACAUAUAUUUAAAGUUUUAAAUCAUUCAAGUCCAACUUUUAAAACCUAAUCUAACCACACACAAAAAAACUUAAUUUUAUACACUAUAAAUUUACGAAAUAUAAUAAAAAAAGUCUUUAGAAAUAUAAAAUGUAAACUUCAGGCUCUUUGGCUUGGCUAGAAAAACCCAGCGUUUACCAUCUCUAAUUCCAAGUCUUAAAGACUUCUCCAAAUGUGUAGUACAACAUUGUAUAGGACCAAUCACAUGGAGAUGAUUUGUAAAUUUUCGUACGCAAUUUUAAUAUGCAUAUCAGGAGAGAGUAGAGAAGAGAGGCAGCAAUAUUAGUUGAUGCUUUUAUAGGACAUAUAAUGUAAGGAAUAAAACAAAGAUUGCAAGAAACUCUACAAAUUUUGGAAUUCAGCAUCCAAAAUAUCACUAGAACUUGCAAUACAAGCUUUAAUUUCUUCAACAACACGUCGAAUUUCGGCCAGGAACACAAACGCAGAGAUGGGUAUCAAGAUCACAUUCAAACGCAUUUUGCAGUUGUCACACUCAGCAUUGCUUUUACAUGUGACUGCUUUUGAUUUCGGCUGAGCAUCAACUGCCGGCAUGGAAAUAUAAAACAACGCACCUGCAUAUAUAAAUGCCAAACAAUUAAUUAGCCUAAUGCUAAUAACACACCUGCAUAUAAAAAUGCCAACCAAUUAAUUAGCCUAAUGCUAAUACCUUCGUAUAAUAAUUAAUUAUGCAUGCAUCGAUGUGAAAAGAUGAGGAAGAGAAGAUUAAGGAACAAACAAGAGGCCAGCAAGAGAGUGAUGAAAAAUGUGAAUUUAAGUUCCAUUAUAUUAAUGUAAGCAGAAGUGCAAAACUGAGUGUCUGAGGAUAAAAAUAUUAAUAAAUUAAAAACUGGUUGGUUUGUUUAGAUUCAUGAGUUUUUCUAGACAGUAUUUAUGGGGGAAAAUUUAAUCCAUUUGACAACUGAAAAAUUCAGAAAUCAAACCUCGAAUCGACAGAUUAGAAAUUUAAAUAAUUAACUUUGUUCUAUAUGCAUGCAGAAAAUUAGAUGUAUGUAACUUUGUCAUAUACCAUAUAUUCUAUGAGGUGGAAGAUUUUCUGCUUCAUUUGUAUCAAGUAUAUGGUACCAAUCAAUAAAUUUUAUUUUGUUAUAUGUUGAUGCAAAAUCUGGUCAUGUCAGUAUGUAGGCCUACCAGAUUCCGACACCAGCAUUUGAAUUUGUUUGUGUGGAGAGACGGUUUCUAAUCUUGAUUUAGCAACUUGUACAAAAGUUGGCAACCAAGAACUCGACAAGUAUGAGCAAGAAUUGGCGAGCACUAUGUUCUCCUGGCGAGUUCCUGCAACCAAAAGAACGGUUAAGGGUGCCAGAAGUUUUUCGGCGCUAACCUUACUCAAGUCAGUAUCAAGAAUUUUCGCAGGAUAACAAAGUACAUGAAUAUAUAUGUAAAGUGAAUCAAUCUAAGUGAACCAAAAAGAGAAAAGUUAGAAGAAACUCUCUCUUAAAUAAGAAGAGAUGAUGAUAAGGAGAGAUGGUGAUCAAAAAAUAAAAGGGAUGAAGAAAAUAAAAGAUAAAUCUUCAAAUUUCCUAAUAUUCGAUAGGGGUCCAGGGUAUUCAAAUUUUGGAUCCUUAUCUUGUUGCCCCUUGGGAAUUCUAUAGGAGUUCAAAAUCCCUCUCCUUUGGAUCUCAGUGAAGUGGGUUUUUGGAUAGGGCUCCUCUUUCAUCUCCCCUUAAUUCUAGGAUUAUGAGUUAUUUGAAUAGGAGUCCACUUUCUUUACUCUUUAGGAUCAUGAAGUGUGGAUUUUGUGGAUAAAACUAAUUCCCUAGGUUUUCAGAUGAGGUGGAAAGGUUGUUUUGACUAGAUUUGUCCCCAGCUUCAAUUGUCUCCUUGCCUACUCCUGCUCGCCAAAUUUCCUCCAGGCCGUUUUAAGUGGCAAGGCAAGUAUAAUCAAGCUUCAAGGAAAGCUUGAUUCUAGUUGCCCUAUUUUAUCAACCAAACAUUAUAUAUACUUAUCGUAACUUAUAGUAAACUAAGAAAUAUUAAAGGUCUUCUAGCGUAUUUUGAGUUAUAAAAGGAGCACGCUUGCAAAGGAAAAGAAAGAGCCGUCACCCAAGGGAAAAUAAUAGAGAAAACCUAAAGAAAACAAAAGAUAAGAGCGUUUUGAGGGUUGCAACAGAGAAAUCACAAUGGACAAGGAGAUAUCGCAAGAUUAAGCAUACUUUAACUCUUUAUCUUGUUUUCUUGUUUUCUAAUUAUUCAUGGGAAUGCAUUUGAUGGCUGAAACCAUUUUAUUUAUUGUUUUGUCACAAAUCAUGAACUAAAAUUGAUUGUGGUUGAGUGAUAAACGAUCUUAAUGGUUAUUUGACUGAUAUACAUAUGUUGCUCUAUGUUUGCUAUAACAUUUGUCUUAAUUGUAUUUAUUUUAAUUUUCUAUUUCAACUGACCACUCAUUUAGUGGAUAUUACUAAGAAAGAGGCUAAAAAAUGCCUGACUUAGUAGAUCUCAUUAAGAUAAUACUUAAUUUUAGAUUAGGUUUCCUAAGUUGAGUAAUUCUCAAUUUGAAUAGAGUCAUUCUUGACCUAAAAUUAGUAAAGAACUAGAUAUAUGGAUUCACCUUAUAGGGUAAAUGAAACCUAGAUUGUUUAAUGUUAUAUUUAAUGUUGGCAUAACAAUUGGUCACUGUUAGGUUGCAUUAUAUAUAAGAUAUCAAAUAGGUGACAGCUAAGGAUGCAUGGGGGAUUCUGCCCAGUGGUGUAGUAGAUGUUGUAGCAAUGAGUUCUUAAUUAAGAAAAAAGUCAACACUAUUAAGUGAGUUUAUUUACUCAACUACUCUAUUACCAUUUGAUUUAUCUUUGUGUUUGACGUGAGAAUUUUCUUUAUUACAUUUAUUUAUUGCAUUUUUAAUUUAAGUAGUUCAUUAGUUUUAUAAAUUAUCUUAUUUUAAUUAAAACAAAAUUGCACUGUUAAGGUUGUUACACCAAAUCUGAAAACAUCAAAUCCCUGAGGAGACGAUCUGAAUACUCAUCAGUAUAUUAUUUGUUGUGCAUACUUGCACAUUAACAUCCAUAGCAAUAGAAAUAAUCCAACAUGAGGUGACUUCUGUAACUUGUUUUUUGGCAAAAGGAAAUGGCUCGAUAACUGGAAAAAGCAAAAGAAAGGAAGGAAAGAGAUAAAUGAUGUGAGAAAUUAAGGAUUUUGGGGAAGUGAAAAUUUAAAUAAUUGGUUCAGCGCAUACCAUAUCACAUACAUUUGAGAUGACGCAAUAGCUUGGGCAAAUAGGUGUCAGCUAAUUAGGGGAGUGAAAAAUCUUUUUCAACAACUUUUUGCUAUAGAGUCGGGCAACCAAAAUGGCAACUUGGAAUAUAGGAUACAUUAAGUUUCUAGUUUUGAUUUGUUUUACUCUCAACACUAGAAAUUGGGAGACUGAUGUUUUGGGGUGAGAAACAUGACGAUCAAGCACACAUGAGCAGAAUGUGCUCCCCUCAGCCUAAAAUGGCUCCUCAAGAAGAUUAUCCCACAUGAGGCAUGUAGCUAGUCUCAUGAGCAGAGUCAGCUUUAAGACGUGCGAGGAGAGACCAUAACCAAGUCAAAUCGAAGACUUGAUCAAAGGUCAACCCGUGGGUUUCCUCCAAAGAAUUCGGGCACGAAGCCCACUCACUAGUAGUUAUGUUGCCCACUUGCCAAUGGUUUUGUAACUAACCCAGUAACGGUGUUGGGGGAGAAGAGGCCGAUACUUCCAGUUGGAUACAAAAGCUUUAGAGAACCGAGGUAAGGGGGUUGAACAACUUUUCAUUUAAUUUUCUCGUGCUUUCUCUCUCUUUUCACAAUUUUAUCUUCUCUAUCUUUCUUUCUUUCUAAAAUAAAACAUUUCUUUCGUUAGCGUUGUUAUAAUUAAGCCAUGUGAAUUGUGGUAUAAGUUUUUCUAGGUAGACUGAGAUAGUUGACUUGAGUGUCAAAGGGUUUAUGCCAGAAAAACCUCGGGCUUCCCCUGACUAGUUGUUGUGAACGCUAGUGUUCUUGGAGAAAGUAUUCGAGAUCACAGGAACUUGUUCGAUAGUGAGGAAGCAACACAGAACUGUCUCCCCAAUAACAAAUCUAAGUGCUGAUGUGGUUAUUUGGUCGCUACACAGCUCGACCAGAUUUCUGCAUCGAUGGUCAUCAUAUGAAAAAUGCGAGCAAAAGCUUAACCUUGUAAAUAAGAAUCAGUCACAGGCGUCAAGUGGAUCUAAUAUUCAUAUUAUAAGAAUUUAAUAAAAUGAAAUCACUUUGUAGAUAAUUCAGAUAGUAAAAUACCUCUCACAGACUUCUUUAUAUCCCACGAUAUUUUAUUGUGAUUGAACUUAGGGUACGUUUAGUACACUAUAUUGUAUUAUGUUGUAUUGCAUUAUUUUAAUACAGGUGUAUUGUAUUAUGCUAUAUUACAUUAUCACUGUAUUACAACAAUAUUGUACAAUGUUUGGUGCUAUAUUGUACUAUGUUAAUUUUUAAUUAUAUUAUGUUUGGUAUUGCAUUGCACUGUAUUAAUUUUUUGUGAUUAAUUUAAAUUAUAUAUUUAGAAAAUAAUCCAUGUAAUAAUUCUAUAGUAUGUGUAAUAAGAUUUAUAUUAUUAUGUAUAUUGUUAAUUUCAAAUUAAUAUUAUUCAAAUCUAUUCAUAUUUAAACAUUUAUUAUUAGUUAUAUUAAAUUCCUAAAUAAUAAUCCAUUUUUAUAUAUUGAUUACAAUAAUAUAAUUAAAUAAUGUAAUAUUAUGUUAUAUUUUUAUUUUUACAUGUUAUUAAGUUAUUGUUAUUAGUUAUGUUAACUUAUUAAAUAUUAAUCAAUUUUAUAUAUUAAUUAUCAUAAUAUAAUUAAAUAAUACAUUAUUUAGUAUUUUAGUUAUAUUUUUAAUAUAAUAAAAAUUAAAAAAUAAUAUAAUAUUAUUUAAUAAUAAAUAAUAAAUUUAUAUUAAUAAUUAUAAUAUAAAAUAAAAAUUAAUAUUAAUAUUAUAUAAUAUAUAAUAUUAUAUUAUAUUAAAAAAUUAUAGUUAUUAUUAUUAUUAUAUAUUAAAAAAAAUUAUUGCGGCAAUUACCGCAUUAGUUAAGAUUAAUGCUGCUCACUGCUUUCCAAUCAAUUGUCAAAUAUGGGAUUUGUUCAAGUAAACUGAACCCACACGCUAAUGCUAUAUAAUACCACACGUCAAACACACCCAUAAAGCAUCUCAAUCAAAUUACUACAUGAAAGAAACCGAAACUAAAAAGGGAAAAAAAAAAAGUUGAAUUGUACUCAAACUGGGUAUUGAUAAAUGGAUGCACGGAAGCUUUUAAGUGGAGGCAAAGCAGGCAAGAAUUGAUUUGCCGAUGGAACCAAAAGAACAAUUCAAAAAAAAAAUUGAAUUGUAUUCAAACUGGGUAUUGAUAAAUGGAUGCACGGAAGCUUUCAAGCAGAGGCAAAGCAGGCAAGAAUUGACUUGCCGAUGGAACAAAUAGAACUCUAUUGGCAUUACUGAAAUGGCAUUUUAUUCGAUCUUGAGUACCAGAGAAAGAUUACACAAGUCAAGAGAAAAGGGGAAGGAGCAUUUAGCCUUUACUUGUAAGUAAAGGUAAAUAUCUUGGUUCAAGCAAAGAAAGAGAUACCAUACUAGACCAAAAGGAAAGCAUCUUAAGAAACAGUAAAGAAAGCAAAGACUUAGUUCUAGAAAAGAACAAGAUGCUGACGUCCUUUAUAAUCUGCUUAUCGUCUUCUUCUUCUUCCGGUCUCUGUUUUUCCAAUAAAAAGAUUUUGCUAACUGGAUUAGGAAAGAAAAAAUGAAAACCCUGAUUGCAAGAUGUUUUGGACAUUUAUAUCAUUUUCAUCUUUCGCAAUCUAAUUCGGUCAUUUCUGUCUGUAAUAGAAACAUGAAUACAAUUGAUUGAAAGGAAAAGAUGACAGAGAUGAAACUCCCGCAUUAGUUUAUUAAACGAGAAUGUGAUCCGAUCUUCAAGUCUUGAGAUAUUUUUAUUUUAUUUUAUUUUAAGUUAUAUUUAUUUGGUUGGUUGUGGUUAAUGUUUUAACUUAUACUUGAACUCAAUAAACUAGUUGUUAGUUAAUUAGUUAAUUAUUUGCCUUAGUUUAGGAUUGUGGCUCUUAUUCUUUAGUUUCAAAUUUCAUAUGUAAGCUAGUAUUUAAACUAGCAUCAAUCUUAAUAAUGGGACGCUGAAAUACUUUAUUUGGCAACUGAGAAAUUGUAUUUGAGAGGUAUUUGGUCCCUCAAAACACCAAAAACAUGUUCAUGGAGGUUUGGGUUUCCUUGGAUUAACUUAUUUAUCACUUGUUCUUUUUAUUUUAUAUUAUUUUCAGUUGCAGACAAUUUGUGCCUGAAAAAGAAUGUGAACAUCUUAACGGAUAGUUCAACACUAUAUUAUUGGAUUAAGAAACCACAAGAUACCAAGGACAUCCAAACCAACUAAGAGGAUUUGAAACAAUUACAGACUCAAAAUUAUACAAGUGAAUCCAAAACUAGAAUGUAAGACAGUGACUGGAGUCUAUGAAAUCAAACCUCUGCAUUUUAACCUCAUAUGUAUGAGAAUGAAGUCAUAACUUUGUAAAUUCUGGAUUUUUCAGCUGAAAUGAUCUCUCAGGCUGCAGCUAUAACAUGGCUUCUCUGAUACUACCUGCAGAAUGAAUUGGCGAUAACCAGACCUGAAGAUUUUGAUUUCUUUAUCUUUUCUACUUCAUUUAAUCGAUUAAUCUCAAUGGCUGUAAGGAUCCUUUUUUGAUGCAACAACGUGUGUGCUUUAGCGUAAACAAUUUAAUGCACCAAAAAAAAAAAGGCCUUAUUGAACUCUGCUGGUGGGUUGAUAAAAAACGCUAAUGGGGAUUGGGUUGCUGGAUUCUGUGCGAACAUUGGCAUUAGUUCGGUUACUAAUGCUGAACUCUGGGGUUUAUUCUAUGGUCUUGGUCUGGCUUGGAAGCUGGGGGUUCGGAAUUUGUUGGUUGAAGUUGAUAGCAAGUGCACUAUUGAACUACUUGCAAACACGAGCAAUAGUCCAAAUAGCUUUUCUUCACUGAUUCAAAGCAUCAGGAAGCUCCUUGAUAGGGAUUAGCAUGUGUGCAUUAACUAUAUUUAUCGUGAAGCAAAUUUUGCAGUGGAUUUUCUUGCGAAUUUUGCAAUGAGUCAACCUCUUGGUUUCCAUUUCCUCCACGAUCCUCCUCGUGGUGUUGUCCAUUGUUUAAAUCAUGACAUGUACGGGAAUGCUUUCCCUCGUUUUGUUUUUGUUUAGCCUUGUUGGCUCCCUUUUGUUUAAAAAAAAAAAAGGCCUUAUUGUAGUGCCUAAGAGGAUCUUAGUACUUCUUCACAAGAAUAUUUACUAGGAGAGUCAGCCAUUUAUGAAGUUCAUGAAUAAUCAAUCUUUUCCGCAAAACAAACCAAACAUACUGAGUGUCAAACAUGCCCAGCCUUAGAAGAGGAUUCCAAAGCAAGCAACAGAACAAAGACAGAAAAUACAUUCCACUGAAUCCAAGACUGGAAAGGCGUCACAAAUAUUAUUUAUUUUUUUGCACACAAUUCACCAACCAUGGCUGAAGCACCAAUCAAUCAACUCUCAAUUGAAUAUCUGAAAUGAUAUUUCCUAUUUUUGAGAGGACAGCAGAUACAAAGAAAGCAAAAAAUGUCCACCAUACGAUCAGGAUUUAUUUGUAUAUACAACAGAAGUGAAGACUAACUGAAAGGAUUCUGGUUGAAACUGAAACGCGGGCUGCAGUUAUGAUAUUUUCUGCUCGGACUUCACCUACACAAGUCAUUGGAGAAAUUGGUGAAAAAUAAAAUUUUUAUAUUACAUUUUUUAUCUUAACUAUUAAAACAAAUGAUGCCAAUGUCUGCUAGGCUCACGGUUGAACAUACAAGGGUACUGAAGUCUCCCCUGCGGCUAAAGAGGGUGAAAUGAUAAGGGUGACUAUCAGAAACUCUAAAGAGGGCUCAACUAUUUAACUGAAGGAGGAGGAAAAUAAAUAUAUUGAAGAGAAAGUAUACGAAAUUAGAUUAAAAAAAAAUUAAAAGUUGAAGAAAUUGGAUAAAAGGAGAAACUUACAUCGAAUUCAAUCGGGGCUAAUCAAAUUCCAUAAGGAUAUAGUUGAAUGCCAGACUGCUUCUUAUCCUCGAAUUCCCGUAGCUUUUGUCUCAACUCCGGCUGAGGCCACCAGCAAUCAAAUUUGUUUAAGCUCUUUAUGCACCAGAGCAGUUCAGGAAUCCUUUUCAAGUAAGCACAAGGGUUGAUAAUCAAGCAUUCUAGUUUUGGCAUGGCUGCAAUCCCCAUAGUCCACUCCUCUAGCCAUAGCAUAGAUUUCAUGUGCAACACCUUAAGCCUUGGAAAACCAUUAGAACCACAAGUCAGCUUUCUACCUGAAUAUGAGUUUUGCUUCAGUUUGAGCACUUGAAGAACCGGCAGCUGUUCUAGUGCCGGCAUGGGGUCAUCCAUUAGAUCAGUAUUAGAAAAACUCAGGUGGGUUAGACUUCGAGGAAAUAGGUUUUCAGCAAGGACGAUUUUGGAGUGCCGCGGCGUCUUGCUUUCAGUCGCCAGCUUCAAUGACUCAAGAGAGCUCAAUCUGCAGAGACUUUUGGGCAACAAAGAUUGAUAAUAACUUAAAUCUCCCCGUAUCUGGAGAUUUGGAAGAUUAGGUAGUCUGCCCAAAGGAAAUAUAUCGCAAAAGAAAUAAAUUUUCAACUCCGGACGGAUAUUGGAAGAGAACAAGAGAUCCCAAGUCCAAUACUCUGAGAAAUUUGAACAUUUUACCAAUUUUCUCCCAAUCUAUUGGGUCAAGGUGGUCGCUUUUUGAAGCAAAGUACAACAAAGAAUGCAAGUGCAAGUCAGAAUCAUCUAAGUAAGCGAAAUCGCUCUGUUUUUCAAAAACGUUGAUUCGUUUGAUAUUUUUUCGUGAUUUACCUUCUGGAUCAAUGAAAGGGAAAAAGAUAAAAUCCGCUUUGAAAGCCAUUACGAAUGACACGGGACGGCCACGGCCAAGAACAGAGCAUGUUUUGAUGGUGCCUCCAGCUCUUCUCUUCUUUGCUUCAACAAAACCUCUAUUGAUUAGUUGUUCUAAGUGCUUCUCAGCAGUUGCCUCAUUAUUGUCUGGAAUGAAACCUUCAGCUAUCCACAACUGAUAUAACUGCCUGGUGGAUAUCUCUAGGUGUGUGGGAAACACAGAUAAGUAGAGAAAACAAAGUUUCAAGCAAAAAGGUAACUUGCAAUAUGUGACUACUACAAUCCCAAGGGGUGUCUCCAAUACUUUCCCUAUAUUUUCUUCUAAUGAGAUGCUUCCAUGAUAUAAGAUGAGGAAAGGCCAUCCUUGGUAAGUAACUCUCAAUGGUCCUCCAGUGGGCACAAGAUCAAGCCGAAUGUUCUCUCCGUUUUCGAACUGAAAUGAGGUGACCAUCUCAAUUUCAGUGAGUGUUAUUAAUAUUCUACUUCCAUUCUGAUUAUCCGGAAGUAUUUCUCAAAUAACGUCCAAUACAUCAGUGCUCCACACGUCAUCAAGCACAAUCAAAUACCGCUUGGUCAUUAGAUAUUCAUGAAGAAUAUUUUUUUUCAUUUUAUAAUUUUUAUCCUUUAUUUCACUCAACCUAGAUGAAGGCAUUAGAAACUUAAUAAUGAUAUCUAAUAUUUGGUCAGCAUCAUGCGGGUAAGGCGCUGGAACCCAAGCGUGAAUAUCAAAAUAAUGCUUCACAUAACUGCUGUUCUAAGCCUCUGCAGCGAAAGCCGUCUUGUCCAACCCAAUGCUAUCAAGUAUGGCCACCACUGAAAGCUGAGGUGGUCCCUCGAUCAAUUGAUCUAACAGCUCCUCCAUUCUAUCAUCUAGGCCUACCAUGUCCCUACUUUUAGAAGAUGCAGAUAUACCGGCUUCAGCUUCAAAAGUUUUGAAGUCAUCAAUGAUUUCGGAAUCCAUGUGCUUAAGUUGUUGCAUCCGUUGCUUAAUAUUAGUGAUUCUGCUUUGGAGUCCUUGAAGAGCAUCACAAAUGUCCUUGUUGUACCUGCUUUGACUCUUCUGUUGAGUGAUGCUGUUUAUGAGUGUGUCAAUAACCUUCCCACAUUCAUACGCAAAACAAUUGAUUUCAUCCAUAAGGUUCCCAAGUUCUGGGUCAUCAAUUUCCUCUUCUCCUAUAUUUUGCAGUAGAAGGCAGGAGAUAUCAUCUUCACAUUCACUCAGCCACGAAGUAACGAUUUCAAUCUCGGCAUGAAGGUUCUGAAUAGGUUGGUUUGCAGCAUCAGGGAACGUGACUUCUUCACCAGCCAACACUCUUCUCAGCCUCUCUGAAAAUAGUCUGAAGUUGAUGUCCAUAUCUCCUUCUCUCAGUACCUCGUUGUUCUAGCAUACAAAGUAACGGAUGAUUAAGAGAGACCAUGAGUUAAAAGAAAUAAAUGAAUAAAACAAAUUAAUAUGUUUGUCAAUGCAUUUGUAAAUGGAAUAAAAUAAAGUUGGUCCUGGAAAUAAUCCAGAUUGUGCUUGUACUCAAAAUAAUGUAAUUGCUACUGACAAGCUAGAUUUCGAUCCUUUUUUUUCCAUUUUAAUCUGAUUUGUCAUCAUACGAAACGUGUGAGCAAAAACUUAAGUUGUAAAUAAGAAUCAGACGAAAAUAUAUGGUAGAUCUAACAUUCAUGAGAUGAAAAUAAUAAAAUAGAGUUAUUUUGUGGAUAAUUCAGAUAAUAGAGUACCUAUUUUUUCUUAGAUGGAUCACAAACUUCAAUAUCCUGACAAUAUAUAUCUUAUUUUUAUUAAAACCAAUACAAUCAAAUUAUUAUGUCGAAAGAAUAUGAAAAAGAAUGCUGAAUUUUAUUCAAACUGUGUAACGAUAAAUGAAUGAUUUUGGUAGAAUUGAAAAUGAUCACGCAUGUGAAAGAAAAAUAAGUUCAGAGAAAAGCAGAAGAUCAAAGACCAUUUAAACUUCACUUGUGUUGAUGUGAGAUUCUGGUUACUCUUUCGAUCACGACCAGGAUCUCUGCUCAAUCAACUCGACCACGAUCAAGAUCUCUCCUCGUAAGGCUUCUUCUCCAGAAGUUCCUGCGUACACAGAAACAGGUCAGAGCACGCCGGUUGUUUUCCCGGCGUAAACCCUCCGACGCUCAAGUCAGAGAUGAAGGUUUUGUGUUCCUUGGAACGCUAGCCACAAAUCUUAUGGCUUCUUUCUUGUAUCAAUUCUUUAGAGCUCUCUUUAUCUCAGUUCUAAUGUCAAAAAAUCUAACCCUUUUACCUUCGUUGGCUAUCUUUUUAUAGGCCUCUCCUGAAUUCAGACCUUCCCUCCAUUCACGCUCGUUAUCCUCCCAUCUCCCGAAAGUGGAUGCUCCAUUUCUGUAAUCGUGGGUGGUUGCGUGGCCUUCGUGCCUUGAUUCUCGGAUUGGAGAGCACGUCUCGCCAAUUGUCGUUGACCGGGUCUCCUCGACUCAACCCUUAGUAGGAAUGGCUUUAUGCCUCUAACAGGAGAUUUGUGGACGAGCAGAAUAUUCCUGCUCCUGUUCCCCUGCUACUAGGUUCUUACAAGAUAUACCUGUUCGCGGGACCCUGCUACCAGAUGCCCGCUCAUCAGUGCUGGUCUUCGUCGAAGAACAUCCCCCAAACACCGGUCCCCCAGUUUCUGGUGUUGGGUAACGUAGUGAGCCGACAGUAGAAACUCGACAGUUCUUGCUCGCGUGGGACAGGAAAAGGCUGCCAAGAGUCGUGUCGCAUUUAAUUGCGAAUGAGGCGAUGUGGCAGAAAUCUGUCCCUCUAUUUGAAUUUCAAACCGACGGUUACGAGACUCUUGGGAUUUAUGCCGUUAAAUGCUGGCAGCCCAAGAGUUUGUUCCACAUUAGGAAAACCCAAAACCCUUCAAAAGAGAAACUCGUCAUUUACUCCAUCUCUAUCUCUGUCUCUCCGGUGAAGAAGUUCUGGCACAAAAGCCUCCAUCCCUGUCUCUCUCCGACUGAGCCACUUCUUCAUGUAUUACUUCUAUUUCCUCGGUCUCGGAUAGUUGUAGAUAAUUUCAUUUCUCUCUGUUUUGCUUGGGUGGUAUUUGGUGGUGUUGCUCUAGUUAUAGCUUAGGGAAUGUCAAAGGAUAAAGAGAAAGUCAUUGAGGUUGAUGACGAUGAGUUAGACUUCCUGCCUAGUCUGCUCACCGAUCCUGCCUUUGACCCCGGGAUCCCCUUAGAACCCAUUAGAUCUAAUGUUGGUACUAGCGCUAGGAGGAUGUCCCCCCAAACAACCUCCUCGAGCGGAAAUAACGGUGAAGAGAGAUCUUCCGACUCGGGAAACACCCUGAGUGAGGAUCUAGGAGGUGAUUCUGGUGAGGCGUCCCCACCAGGAACAUCGCGACCAGAAGGUCGGAGUAUAGUAGGAGGUAGAGCCCUAUCACAGGAUUACGUCAUUGAUUUCAUCACGUGCACAACCACCUUUGACGAGCUCGCUGACCUCCGGGUUAGGUAUAAUAUUCCUGGUGAAAUACCUCUUAAGGUCCCAAGAAAGAAGGAUAUUCCUAGCCGGCUUCCUAGGGGAUAUGUUACCCUGUUUCUGGAGAGUUUUAAGUAUGGGCUAAGGUGUCCCCUGCAACCCUACUUUGCCCGAAUACUUAACGGGCUAAAUUUAGCUCCUGGUCAGCUGAACCCCAACGGGUGGAGAGUACUCUCUGGUCUGUUCAUAUUGUGGGACAGAUGUUGCCAAAGCGAGCCCACAGUCGAUGAGGUGAAGCACUUGUACCAGCUGAAAAGCAGCCCCAAAGAUGCCGGCUGGUAUUACUUCCAAUCAACUACUAAAACCAAGAAACCCAUAACCGAUCUUCCAACUAGUGGUGGUGGGAAUUGGAAGAAAAAAUUCUUUUUUGCUGGGGGUCCCUGGGGUCAAGUUGCACAGAUUAACGGGAAGGAUUAUCACGUCCUACCCCGUUUCGUGGUCCCAGGUUGCCUGUUCGCUUUAGAUGUCUUGUCUCCAUAGUUGUUCUCACUUUACUGGUUUGUCUCUAACCAAAUGUCUAUUCGUAUUGCAGGUUCUUGGGGUGUUCACUUCCCACUCGAACCCGACCAGCUCAAACGGGUCGAGGCUGUACUGGCCAAUUCCUGCUCGAGCCGAGAGCUGCUAACUACUUAUAACCUGGUCGAAUCUGGUUUGGUGUCCACUGGCCAUAAGAUGGAGGAUGCUGUGAUUGGGGCUCUGACUCGAAAACGUCCUCGACCUCAAGCUGCCAAGCGGGACCAGAAUAAAGAUGCUCCCACUGCGAAGUGGGUGAACGUUGUGCAGCAGGUUCCUCCCUUGAAGACUCUACCACCUCCUCAUGUCAAAGUCGGAAAGACUAGCGGAGCCGCCACUGACCCUGCUUCCUCUUCUCCUCCAGUCGGGCCGAGAUCUCGUUUGCCUGAUAAUCGAGCAGAGCAUUUGGUCCCCUAUCUGAACGAGCUUUCUAAACUCGUGAGCAAGAAAGACCUGAAGGACAUUGACGGCUGCACCCUGGGUGAGCUGGUGGGGGCUAUGCAGUAUAGCGCCUUCCAUCUCAGCUGCAUGGCCACUUACUAUAAGGCCAAGGUUGGCCGUUACGACCGGAAGAUGAAGGAGGACAUUCAAUCGGCGACGACCAGAGCUGAAGCUGCCGAGAAGAAAGCAGGAGACUUGAAUCUCGAGAAUCUGAAGUUGAUAGAGCGAGAAUCUCUUGCUCAAGCAAAGGCCGUUACUCUCGAGGAAGAGCUGACUAAGGUCAAGGAGGAUCUGCAAAGGCAGAAGGUUAUGUACGAGUCUCAGCUCGAAUCUCUCCGCGAUUCCCACCGGGCUCAAGUCGAGAACUUGGAGAAGGAAGCUGACAACCAAUACGACCAGGGACUUCGGCAUUCCUAUCGUUGCAUCAUGGCUGUCCUUGGGAAGCAGCACCCUAAUCUGAAGAUGGAUGACCUUGCAGCUGGUGUUGCUCAACACAUGGAUGAGGAGGCGGCGAAAGAGGAUGCCGAAGUGGUGGAGCCAAUUAUGGUUGAGGAGGAAAACUCUCCUCCUCGUGCAAUCCCUGCUGACGUUGGCGAGGCGAGUACCCCACCGAACGCAACUGGUGAUACUCCCCCGGCACCUGAGGUGGACCAGCCAACUGAGGCUGCUCGGCUUACUGACCCGUCGUCUUCUUAAACAUGUUUUUUACAUUGUAUGUUAUGAUGAACAGCUUUACGAACUGUUGGCAUAUUAAUUAAUAAGAAUGUUCUUACUUGUCUUCUGGUAUAGAAGUUGUAAACAAAAAAGUUUUUUUUUUAUUUGGCUUCACAUGGUUGGGCAGAUUCUAGCAAGCUUGACUUCUUAUCUCGCCAUCGAGCAUGCUUUGAGACUUUGGAGCCUUUACUUGCCUUAGAAACUUUUUUGAAAUUCUCAUUGUCUGCUCGCCUUCACAUGGUCGAGCAGAUUCUGGCGAGCUUGGCUUCCUGUCUCGCCAUCGAGGAGGCUUUGAGACUAGAGGAGCCUUUGCGUGCCUUAGGAGAUUUUUGGAACUUUUGUAGUCUGCUCGCCUUCGCCUGGUCGAGCAGAUCCUGGCAUGCUUGGCUUCUAGUGAGCCUUUGUAUGCCUUAGGAAUUUUUAUAACACUUGAGGGUCUGCUCGCCUUCGCUUGGUCGAGCAGAUCCUGGCACACUUGGCUUAUGGUUUCGCCAUAAAACAGGCUUUGAGACUUGAUGAGCCUUUGCAUGCCUUAGAAGAUUUUUGGAACUUUUGUAGUCUGCUCGCCUUCGCUUGGUCGAGCAGAUCCUGGCAUGCUUGGCUUGCAGUGAUCCUUUGCAUGCCUUAGUAAUUUUUAUAACACUUGAGGGUCUGCUCGCCUUUGCUUGGUCGAGCAAAUCCUGGUGUGCUUGGCUUCUGGUCUCGCCAUAAAACAGGCUUUGAGACUUGAUGAGCCUUUGCAUGCCUUAGGAGAUUUUUGGAACUUUUGUAGUCUGCUCGCCUUUGCUUGGUCGAGCAGAUCCUGGCAUGCUUGGCUUCUAGUGAGCCUUUGCAUGCCUUAGGAAUUUUUAUAAUACUUGAGGGUCUGCUCGCCUUCGCUUUGUCGAGCAUAUCCUGGCACGCUUGGCUUCUGAUCUCGCCAUAAAACAGGCUUUGAGACUUGAUGAGCCUUUGCAUGCCUUGGGAAUUUUUAUAACACUUGAGGGUCUGCUCGCCUUCGCUUGGUCGAGCAGAUCCUGGCACGCUUGGCUUCUGGUCUCGCCAUAAAACAGGUUUUGAGACUUGAUGAGCCUUUGCAUGCCUUAGAAUAUUUUUGGAACUUUUGUAGUCUGCUCACCUUCGCUUGGUCGAGCAGAUCCUGGCAUGCUUGGCUUGUGGUGAGCCUUUGCAUGCCUUAGGGAUUUUUAUAACACUUGAGGGUCUGCUCGCCUUCGCUUGGUCGAGCAGAUCCUGGCACGCUUGGCUUCUGGUCUCGCCAUAAAACAGGUUUUGAGACUUGAUGAGCCUUUGCAUGCCUUGGGAAUUUUUAUAACACUUGAGGGUCUGCUCGCCUUCGCUUGGUCGAGCAGAUCCUGGCACGCUUGGCUUCUGGUCUCGUCAUAAAACAGGCUUUGCAUGCCUUCGUCCCUUAAUUCUCGGAUUGAAGAGCACGUCUCGCCAAUUGUCGUUGACCGGGUCUCCUCGACUCAACCCUUAGCAGAAAUGGCUUUAUGCCUCUAACAGGAGAUUCAUGGACGAGCAGAAUAUUCCUGCUCCUGUUCUCCUGCUACUAGGUUCUUACAAGAUAUACCUGUUCGCAGGACCCUGCUACCAAAUGCCCGCUCAUCACUGCUGGUCUUCGUCGAAGCACAUCCCCCAAACAACUUGUAAAGGAAAAUAUCUUGGUUCAAGAAAAGAUACCAAACUCGCAAAAUGAAAAAGCAAAAAGGUUAAACAAAGACUUGGUUCAAAUAAUAGAACGUGAUGCUGAUGUCCUGUAAUCUUUUUUUAUUAAUUUUCAUUUUUCUUCUCCCAAUUUUUUUUUUCCAAUCCGAAAAUGAACGCAGUAUACAUUUGCUAACUGGAAGAACAGUCAUUUUGUCUCAAGAUAAAAUGACAAUAAAUCAUGAUUACAGGAUGUUUUUCGACAUUCUUAAAGAUAAAAAAAAAAGUCAAUAAACUCAACAUUAUGUCAUUGGCUAAAGAGUAAAGAAACCAUGAGAAUCCAAUGACAACCAAAGCAGAAGGAUUAAUUUUAAUACAAAAGGGAAUUCCUCUGCUGCAAACAAGGGCUUUGAUGUGAUUGUAAGGAACUGAGAGUGAGCAGCAGCACAUCCUGUGCGCCAUCAACUUCAUUAUUACAUUACAAGACACCCUCUGCGUUACAAUACGAUUAGGCAAUAUGCCCCAGUUUCUUUUUGUUGUGUUUGACGUACCAAGAAUCACACACCCAAAGACCCUUUUGACGUAUCAAGAAUCAUUCCCAGAAACCCAAACUCAAAAUUGAAUCAAUCUGCCUACAUCCACAGAAGAACACGGACCAUUUGACAAUCAUUCCAAGAAUAUACAACUUUUUCUCUCUAGAUAUUUCUCUUUCUAUGGCUUUGAUGAGGCCUGUGAAGAUGACCCAACAACUAGCCUUAUAAACUACAAUAAAGGCUAUUUCUAACAAACCCGAUAUUUCCCUGCACUUUUUAACUAACCCUAACUGACUUUUCACCAGUAUUUUAGCCCUUAUAAUGAACGACACGUCGGCGAAAUUAAAAAAACGAACAACAUUGUCGUUCUGCCAGUUUUAAGAUGAUGUGAUGUGAUGUGAUCACAGAGCAAACACUUUUCUUCUAACUGAAGUAAUAAGAUUGAACUUGAACUAUAACACUACUUAAAAACUAGAAAAAAAAAUAUGAAAUAAAAAACAAUAACAUAUACUUACACAAAAAGAAGACCUUGAUUAUUUCAAUACUUAUGCACUUGUUGCAAGAAUUGCUACUAUUAGAGUCUGGAUUGCUUUGACUACAAUUUAGCAUUUUGAAACCCAUCAAAUGUAUGUAAAAAUAGCUUUCUUAAAUGAAGAAUUAGAUAAAAAAAAAAAUUACAUGAAACAAUCAAAAGGGUUUGUUAUGCCAGGACAAGAACAUAUAAUUUGUAAACUUGUCAAGUCUUUAUAUGGCCUUAAACAAGCUCCAAAGCAGUGGCACGAAAAGUUUGACAAAGUGAUUGUCUCAAAUAGAUUUAAUAUUCAUGAAUCUGAUAAAUGUGUAUACAGCAGAUUCAAUGGAAAUAAAAGUGUGAUUAUUUGUUUAUAUGUAGAUGACAUGUUAAUUUUUUGUACUGAUAGUGAGAGUAUUAAACUCACUAAAUCAUUAUUGUCAUCUAAUUUUGAUAUGAAAGACAUGGGGCUUGCUAAUGUGAUUUUGGGGAUUAAAAUUAUCAAAAAUGAGAAUGGCCUAGUAUUGACCCAAUCAAAUUAUAUUGAGAAAAUUUUAAAGAAAUUUAAUUAUUAUGAUUGUAAACAUGUGUCAACACCUUUUAAUUCAAACAUAAAACUGUACUCUAACACUGGCAGAUCAGUAUCCCAAUUAGAAUAUGCACUUGUUAUUGGGUGUCUUAUGUAUGCGAUGACUUGUACUAGGCCUGAUAUAGCUUUCGCUAUUGGAAAGCUGAGUAGAUAUACUAGUAAUCCAAGACAAGCAAUUGGCAAGCAGUGUACAGAAUUCUAAAAUAAAUCAAUCACAAUAUAAAAAGAUAAGGGAAGAGAGAUUCAAACACGAAGAUUUUUACGUGGUUCGGCCAACCUCGCCUACGUCCACGCCUCCAAGCUUUCCGGGCUCGAGGAUUUCAUAAGCAAGCCUCCAAGGCUUCAAAUGCAUACACUUGACUUCCAAGGUGUCAAUAAACCCUUACAACAAGAGAUUAUCUCCAAUCUCUUAACGCAGGUAUAUCCCAACACUUACAAUCACUCAAAACAAAAGUUAUAAAUUUGAUCUUCACUUACACAAUGCUUAAGAUUACAAAUUAAUGUCCAAUAUGUGAAUAAAAUGAAGCAAGAAUGUGUUUAAAGCUCUAUGAAGAUUGUAUUCUCAAUUCUAAACUCAAUGAUUGUGUUGUUAUCAACCUUUGUUUGAAUUUGAAUGAGCUUAUUUAUAGUUGGAGCUGAAAAACUAGUUGUUAUUGACUUUCUGCACGAAGUCGGAUCGCCGUUAUCUAGAAGUCGGAUCGUCAUUUUGACUAGUCCAAGUUACCGUUGGACAAAAUUUCAAAUUGUCGGAUCACCGUUACCAAGAUAUCGAAUCGCCGUUAGUGUCCAGAGGCUAAUCUUUCAAUUCUUUUCGAUGUCGGCUAGCCACUAUCAAGAUGUCAUAUCGUCGUUUUCUACAGUGAAUAUUUUGUAGAAUUUAAAGUUUGGCCCAAAACUUCAUAAAAUUAUACUAUAUCCAAAAACUUUAUAAAUCUUGACAAUUAAGUCCAAUUCCAAAAUUUUAAGCAAUAUUUGCUAAUUUCAAAGGUCUCAAAACUUUUUCAAUUUAAAUCAUUAACAAGACGAUCAUAAAAUUACUUUUUAUUAAAUAUAAAGCCUUUAUAGUAUGAAAACUAUAUGAAAGAAUAAUUUGAGCUUUUAAAACAAUCUUAAUCAAGUUUGUUAUCAUCAAAAUCAAUAUUAAAGAAAUAUUUAUGUUAACAAUCUCUCCUUUUUUUUAUGAUAACAAACUUUUCAAGAAAAUGCUUGUGCAAUUUUGCUCCCCCUAAAUAUGUGCCCAUCAAUUUUUAACCACAAAAAUAAAUUUAAUAAGAAAAUUAUUCAGCAAAUUAUAUAUAAAUUAUCUCCCACUUCAUCAUCAAAAAGAAAUGAGCGCAAAAAGAUAAGUUUAAAGAUUACCCAUGUCGGAAAAAUUUUGGCAGAAUCUCCCCUUAAAAAUGAACGUAUCCUAAAAAAUAAAGUAGUUAAAACACUCCCAUAUAAACUCCAAUUUAGCAACCAACCUCCAUACCAACAAAUUCAACAUGAUCAUAAGCAACAACCAAACAUGUCAUCAAAAUCAACUCAAUCAUAAAGAAAGUCCUCAUAUCCAACAAAAUCAUCAUAAAAACAUUACAAGCACAAUCAAAAACCAAAUAGUAUCACAACAACUACAUGAGAUGUAUAAUGUUUGUGCAAAAUGCAUAGGUGCAGAAAACUAAUAUGGGGGUGGUGAAGAGGAACUGCCGGGAUCAUAACAAGAUGACUGAGGAUACGUCGUUGUCCAACAAGUAGCUCCAUCUGCUGGUCUAAAAACUGCUGCUGAAAAGACUCAAAUAGGGAUUGGAGUUGCUGCUGCUGCUGGGAAAGUGCAUCCACUCUAUCAAGGAGCUGCUAGAGGCAAUCAUCAGAAGCUGAAAGUGUCUCAAGAGGCAUAGCUAGCUCGGCUGGUUCCUCAUCCUGAGAUGGGGCUGCUGCUGCUCGUCGAGGGGCACGAGGUCUAGCUCCAAGUCGAAAGUCGAGUAACUCAUCCUCGGAGUAAACGUCAUUGAGUAUGCAGUUAUCAUUCGGAGCUACCAAAGUAUCCUCACUCUUAGAGGAAUUAACAUUGAUCCACUUUCCUUGCCUCCAAUGAAAACCAAUCCUCAAAAUUAUUUCCCUACCCAUCUUUUUGGUCUCAACAUAGAUAGGUUUGGUCAAAGAAACAUGAAAGUAUCUCAGAAUCUUACUAAUAAUGCUACCAUAUGGAAGAGACAUGUUAGACACAGCAGGGGUAGAGAGCAUGUGACGCAUAAUAGUGAAUGAAAGGUGCACUUUCCUUCCUCAGAUGAGAGAGUCAAGUAAACCAACAUCUAAUCUAGUCACCUCAUCAUUGUGUCCCUGCUUAGGUCUAAUCAUGUGCUGGAUAAUACUGUGAAGAAUACAAACCUGGAAAGGUAACAACUGAGACCGAAAGGACAAUGAGCAGACCUCGUCAGAGAGAUCACGGCAUCUAUAAAUAUUCCUAACGCCCUCAAUGUGAGUAAACUGGCUAAAAUGAAGCUCUUUUGUGGCAGUAUACAAGUCUAGCCCCUCAUUGAAGAUUCCAAGAAUACGACUAAGCACAAACAUAUCGAACUCAAUCCUAACACCUCCAACAUGUGUUACGAUCCUAUCUUUUCGAUUAACCGAAACCUCCAUAUUAAAGUAAAAUACCCUAACUAAGUUUUCAUAGACUCGUUCUUCGAUGCCUAGGGCUUCAUCCCAUUGUCUUAGCAUUUGAGCCAAAGUUCUACCACAUAUAGUAAUAUAAGAGAAAUCGUCAAUAUCAAUAUAGAAAGAGGUAGUUACCGCUUUUCCAUGAAUUUCUCAUGAAAUCGUUGAGCCAGUUGACCAUUUGGAAAAUGCAGGCUGUCAAAAUCUUGAGAAAGAGGCCUGGAGGAACUGGGAUUGCUUAGAGCUGCUUGCUUGGUUCGGACACGCCUCGGUCGUGAAGCCAUCGAUGAUUUUGGAAGAAUUUAAAUCGGUAAAAAGGAAGUUUGAGAGAUGAGAGAGUGAUUACUAGUUGAAAUUGGAUGGAAAAUGGAAGAAAUUUAGGUCAUAUUUGGCAAGAGUAGUACGGCUGGUUCUAGGGUUUUCAAUUUGGGAUUUUUCAAUAUUUGAUGUGAAAAUCAGUUUUAAUCGACUGAAAGGGUUCUAAAGAAGAUAAUAUGUGUUUUGAAUGAUUCAAUUUGGUGAGAAAUAGCAAGAAGAAUGGUGGAGUUGAGAGGAAAAAGUGGUGGUAGUCGUGGGUUGAGAGAGAGGGAGAGUUAAAGACAAAACAAAAUGGGGAAGAAGAUGGGUCACUGUUCACUUAACGCGUGAUAACAGCGGGUGUUAUAGAGAUAUCGGCGAACCGACAACAUCCAGAGAGCUCCUAAAUUUUUCAUGCAAACAGCGAACCGUUAGUUUGAUAUCGGCAAACUGACAGCAUCCAGAGAGUUCCCAAAAAUUUUUUUUAUGAAAACGACGAGCCGUUAAUGUAAUGUUGGCAAACCGAGAGCGUCCAGAAUGCUUGUCAAGGUUUCUACAACUUAUGAUUUCGCACAUUUAUUUUAGUAUUUGGCCACAAAUGAUACAUUUUAAGAUCAUUUCAUUGAUCCAAAACGUUUUAAAGACCAGUUUAAUGCACAAUUCAUAAAAGUACAUGUAUUUAAACAAUUAAUUCAUACACAUAUGCAAAGAAUAAUAAUACAAACAUAUCACUUAUUUAUCAUGCUCAAACACUUCAUAGUCAUAAAAAAAAAUCAUCAAAUCAUCAAAUCAUCAAUUAAACAAUUUCAUUAGACUCAAUAACAUGAGUAGAAAUGUUAGAAUGAAAAUUUCAUCAUCCCAAGUUCAUGCCGAAUUUUUGAAAAUUGAUCUUCGUAAAGAGGUUUUGUAAAAAUAUCGACAAGUUUUUUUUCAGUGGAAAUAAACCCUAAUGCAAUAUCUCCCUUUUGAACAUGAUCUUUUAAGAAAUUAUGUCUAAUUUCUAUAUGCUUGGUUCUAGAAUGCUGAAUGGGAUUAUUUGAAAGAUUUAUAGCACUAGUAUUAUCACACUUAAUAGGAAUUUGUUCAAGAUCAAUGCCAUAAUCUCUAAGUGUUUGUUUCAUCUAAAGUGCUUGUGCACAACAACUCCAUGCGGCGAUAUAUUCAGUCUCGGUGGUUGAGAGUGCAACAUAAUUUUGUUUCUUACUAAACCAUGAAACAAGUGAAUGUCCUAGUAAAUGGCAAGUUCCACUAGUGUUUUUCCUAUCAACUUUGUAUCCAGCAAAAUCCGCAUCCGAAUAACAUGUUAAAUUUUUAUAAGUUCCUCUAAGAUACCAAAGGCCAAGAUCUAUGGUUCCACUUAAAUAACAGAAAAUUCUUUUUACAGCAAGUAAAUGAGAUUCCUUAGGACAAUAUUGAAAUCUUGCACAUAAACAUACACUAAAUAUGAUAACGGGUCUACUUGCGGUUAAAUAAAGUAAAGAUCCGAUCAUACCUCGAUACAUUUUGAUAUCCACUUCUUUGUCUUUUUCAUCUUUGUCAAGCUUAGUUGUUGUGCUCAUUGGAGUGCUUUUGGUCUUUGAAUUAUCAAUGUCAAAUUGCUUGAAUAGGUCUUUCACAUACUUGGCUUGAUUUAUGAAAAUUCCUUCCUCAUUUUGUUUUAUUUGCAACCCAAGAAAAUACUUCAACUCUCCCAUCAUACUCAUUUCAAAUUCUUUACUCAUACAAGAUGAAAAUUCUUUACACAACAAUUCAUUAGUAAAACCAAAAAUAAUAUUUUCAACAUAAAUUUGAACAACAAGAAUAUUUAGGUUCUUAUGCUUAACAAAAAGAGUAGUAUCCGCUUUACCCAUUGAAAAGCCGUUAUCUAAUAAGAAAUUCUUAAGCCUAUCAUACCAUGCUCUAGGUGCUUACUUUAAUCCAUACAAUGUUUUUGACAACUUAUAAACAUGAUUUGGAAAUUUUUCAUUUUCAAAACCAGAGGGUUGUUUCACAUAAAAUUCCUCCAUAAUAUAGCCAUUUAAGAAUGCACUUUUGACAUCCAUUUGAAAUAAAACAAAAUAUUUAUGACAUGCAAAUGCUAAUAGCAUUCUAAUGGAUUCUAAUCUAGCUAUAAGUGCAAAUGUUUUAUUAAAAUCAAUUCCCUCUUCUUGGUUGUAACCUUGAGCCACUAACCUAGCUUUAUUCCUUAAAACCACACCGGAUUCAUCCAUUUUAUUUUUAAAUACCUAUUUAGUGCCUCUAAUGGAUUGAUGUUCCGGUUUAGGAACUAAUUCCCACACAUUAUUUCUCUCCAAUUGAUUUAACUCCUCUUGCAUUGUCAUAAUCCAAGAUUCAUCAUUUUCCACAUCCGCAAAGGAUUUUGGUUCAAUUUGAGAUAUGAAUGUAGCAUGCUCACAAGUAUUUCUAAAUGAUGAUCUAGUUGUUAUGCUACUUGAGCGAUCUCCCAAAAUCAAGUCCUUAGGAUGAUAAGAAACAUACAUCCACUCCUUGGGGAGUGAUUGAGAAGUACCUUCGUUUUGCUUCGCAUUUGUUUCUUCAUGUUGCUCCUCUUCAUUUUCAUGUGGUGCAUUCUUGUAUUUAUCCUUUGAUGACUCUUUUUGUAGCUCUUCAUCUGCAUCAUUAUCAACAACACCUUUCUCCGCAGAGGAGGGGUUAGAUUCAUCAAACGUUACAUGCAUAUAAUCUUCCACAACCAGAGUUCUUUUGUUAUAAAUUCUAUAAGCUUUGCUUGAGUUUGAAUAUCCAAGAAAAAUGCCAACAUUAGAUUUUGAAUCAAAUUUGCCAAGAUUAUCUUUUGUAUUCAAAAUAAAACAUUUACAUCCAAAAACUUUGAAAUAACCAAUAUUGGGUUUUCGAUCUUUCCAAAGCUCAUAUGGAAUUUUAUUAAGAUGAGGUCUAAUCAACACACGAUUUUAAACAUAACAAGCGGUGUUGACGGCCUUGGCCCAAAAAUACUUAGGCAAAGAAUUUUCAUUUAACAUGGUCUUAGCCAUUUCUUGAAUGGAUCUAUUCUUUCUCUCAACAACUUCAUUUUGUUGCGGAGUUCUAGGUGAUGAAAAUUGAUGCACAAUGCCUAGAUUAUUGCAAAAGGUUUCAAAUGCAUAGUUUUCAAACUCUCCUCCAUAAUCACUUCUAAUGCAUCCAAUACCGUACCCUUUUUCAUUUUGAAUUUUCUUACAAAACAUUUUAAAAGCAUCAAGAGCAUCAUCCUUAUUACCUAAGAAUAAUACCCAUGUGUAUCUUGAAAAAUCAUCAACAAUUACAAAAGCGUAAUAUUUUCCACUCAAGCUGGCAUACCUUGAAGGUCUAAAUAAAUCUAUAUGAAGUAAUUGAAGUGGUUUUGAAGUAGAAAUAUGAUUUUUGCUUUUAAAAGAGGUUUUGAUUUGUUUAUCAAAUUGGCAUGCUUCACAAAUUUUAUCUUUUUGAAAAUUGAUUUUUGGAAGACCUUUAACUAAAUCAUUUUUGGAAAUCUUUGAAAUUAAAUCCAUGCUUGUAUGUCCUAGUCUUCUAUGCCAUAACCAACCAUCAUCAUGCAAUGCUGAAAAAUAUUUAUCAUUAGUAGAUGCAUAUUCUAUGUCAAUGGUAUAAACAUUACCACAUCUAGCAGGGGCUUCGAGGCGACUGCAAUGAACUAAGAUGAUGGUGCUUGUUCAAGUGUUCAAAUUUGUAGAGAAGCAAUUGAGCAAGUGUUGAUUGUGCCUUCAGCUCUUCUUGCUUUUGCUCCAACAAAGCCUCCAUGACUAGUUAUUUCAAGAACUUCUCAGCAGUUGACUCAUUAUUGUUUGGACUGAAACCUUCAGCUACCCACAAUUGAGACAAUUGCCUAUUCGAUAUCUCUAAAUAAAAACGAAAGACAGACGUGUAGAGAAAAUAAAGUUUCAAGAAAAAAGGUAAUGUAAAAUGGUAUUAAAUCCUCUUAUAAUUUGAACUUAUCUAAAUUUUGAAGAAUCUUUUGAUAUAUGUGUGAAUUUUAAUUAUAUACAGUCAAGAUUUAUUCAUUAUUUUAUUUCAUAUAAUAACACAUAAUUACAUAAUUGUAGUAGCUCAGAUCGGUAUAGAAUCCUGAAAUGUGGAAUUUGUGAACAUUUGAUACCCACUGGAGAUAUGCCAAGUAUUUAAUCAAUUCUUUUCUAAUGACACAAUUCCAUGGUAUGCGAUGAGAAAAGGCCAUCGGUAACUUUUAGUGGUACUCCUGCAGGCACUAAAUUGAACCCAAUGGUCUCUCCAUUUUUUAGUUGGAACGAUGUGAGCAAGUCUAUUUGAGAGAGCUAACAAUCUAAUUCAAUAAUGGGCUGAAGAUCUUUUUCUAAUUCUCCAUCAAUUUGAGCUUUUUCAGCAUUUGAUCGCUGCAUAAUCCAAGCUAUGUUGUAUCCACAGUCACUCAGCAAAGAAGUAACAAUUUCGUAUCUCUGCGUGAAGGUUUUUUUUUUUUUUUUUUGAAUGGAAAGUACCUUCAUUUCAACUCAAAGAAGAAAACAAGUACAACAGGUGGGGAGGGUAUGAACCCAUCGAAACAAUAUUUUCGAGCUUCUCUAGAGCCAAUUUAGCUAAAGAGUGGGUUAAUGCAUUACAAGAUCUAUGAGCAUAUUGGACACAAAAUGAGCUAAAGCUCUUCAAAACUCUCUGCACCUCUGAAAUGGUCCAGAAGAUCUCGGAUCUGCAGCCCCGACUAUUGUUAACUAACUUAACAACCUCUUGCGCAUCUGAUUCCACAAUCAAAGACUAUAUACAAGCAUUCCCUGCAAGUUGAAGCCCCCAUUCAAUUGCUUCUGCCUCUGCCAAAAACACAUCAUCAUAGAACUUGGAAACUUUGACUGCAGUUGCAAUCACAUUCCCAGCUUCAUCUCGAAUUACAGCCCCUAGACCUACAAUUUGCUUCUCUGAAUUGGUGGCAGCAUCUACAUUGACCUUAAAGUAUCCUUUUUGGGGAGGAUUCCAAGCCUUUAGCAUCGAGGAUCUCUGGUUGCCAAUAUGGGUAGCUGCUGGAAGUUGGGUUCUUCAAUAGGCUUCUAGCACUGCUUCAGCCUUAGAGACUAUCACUUGGGGUCUGUCUUUUACUCCUUUAAAGAUCCAGUUGUUUCGAGCAUUCCAUGCCAUCCAUAAGAUCGUGACCAAUAACUUGAUAUCAUCUUUACUUCUUCUCAACUUCAAACCAAUCAGUAAGCUUAGAAUGUCUUGAUCAACAUAGUCCUUCAGAUCAUCCUCAAAUUUGGUAAUUUUCCAGAUUUUCUUCACCACCUUACAGCCCACUAAAGCAUGAAAAACGGUUUCCAGCUUGUUGUUACAAAUAUGAUAUAAAGGCUCCUGAAUCACCUUCCUUUUCCAAAGAUUUUCGGCCAAAGAAAGAAUAUUUUUUGCAGCCCUCCAAGCUAAAAUCUUGAUCUUCUCAGGUAAGGUGAGCAGCCAUAUAGUUUUCCAUUGGUUCUGUGCAGCUGCUGAACUUGUCGGCCUAGCUGGAAAUUUCAAAUUUAAUGCAAUCUGAUAGCCACUCUUAACCGAGUACUAGCCUUUCCUAUCGUAAUGCCAAAUUACUUCAUCCUUCAUUAGUCUCAUUGGCAAGGGAAUUCUAACAAUUGCUUCCACAUCUAUUUUGGUGAAGUGUCUGUGAAUCAGCCCUUCAUUCCAACAAUGCUUUGCAUUUAUUAACUCAGCAACUAAAGCAUCAAUUGGUAAGCUUGGUUUGGAAACCGGUUUGAAAGUCAGGGACCUGGGCAGCCAGUUCUCCUUAUGUAGCAGGAUGCUUUGGCCAUUACCAAUCCUCCAUCUUGAACCCUUGGAUAUGACUUGCCAGCCCCAUAAAAUGCUUCUCCAAAUAAAUAAGGGAUUAGAGCCAAGUCUUGUAUUCAUGAAGUCUUUGUGCUGGAAAUAUCUAGCCUGCAAAAUUUUUGCCACGAGGGAGUCUGGAAACUGCACGAUCCUCCAACCUUGUUUGGGUACUAGCGCUUGGUUGAAACUUGAAAAAUCUCUUAACUCCAUUCCUCAUCUGCACUUAGCCUGACUUAGCUUGUUCCAUCUCGACCAGUGAAUGGCCUUCUUAUCAUUCCUUGAUCCCCACCAAAAGUUUGCUAUUAUUCGUUGAAUGUCAUCACAUAUGCCCAUGGGAAUCUUGAAGACGUUCAUUGCAUAUGCGGGAAUAGCUUGAGCAGCUGCCUUGAUCAAAACCUCUUUGCCUCCUACUGAGAAGAAUUUGUGCUGCCAAUUGAAAACUUUAUUGUGGAUCUUCAGCUUGAUAUCGUUAAAGAAGCUACUUCUCUUUCUCCUGAUCAUAGAAGGCAAGCCUAAGUAUUUUUCAUGUCUUGAAACAAUGUUGAGCUGAAAGAUUUCUUUGAUUAUUUUUCAUCUCUGCUUGAAGGUUUUGAAUAUGUUGUUUAGCUACCUCGGGCAACGUGACUUCUUCCCUUCCCCUCUCAUCACGUGGUAGUCCUAGCAUGCAAAUUAAGAAAUAAUUAAAAGACAUCAUGAUAAAAAUAAAAAAUAAAAAAUAAAAUCUUUAGAUCUCUUGAUGAAUAUAAAGCUGCAAUUAUCUUAUAUAAAUAAAUUUGUACAAAUUGAUGUGAUAUGAAGAAAUUAAUUGUAUAAAAAUAAUUUUAGUUGUUGAUGAAACUCUAACUCAGAUUAACGUCCUAUGAGUGAUAUCUAAUUCUCUAAUUAAUCCAGCAGUAAGUUGCUAUUCAAAAAAUUGAACCAAGAUUGGUGACCAAUCAUUAUGUAAAAAGAAUAGACAGAAAAAUAUUAUAAAAUGCAAAUUAAUUAAUGUUUAGCUUUUAGGAAGGGAGGUUAGUGCAACUUGGAAAGAUUCUAUCUAGAAACCAUCAUUUUACCAAUUAUCUGUUUGUCAAUGCAUUUCUAAAUGGAAGAUAGUUGGUCCUGGAAAAUGAGCCAAAUUGUGCUUGUACUCAAAAUAACAUUUGCUAAAUGCUAAUGUAAUUGCUACCGAAAAGCUAGCUUUUUUUUUUUUUCGUUUUAUCUGAUUUGUCAUCAUAUGAAACGUGAGAGUGAAAUCAAAACUUGUGAAUAAGAUUCAAACAUGUACAUAUAGUGGAUCUAACAAAAAUAAUGAAAUGGAAUUAUUUUGUCGAAAAUUCAAAUAAUAAAGCACCUAUUUUUUUCUUAGAAUAAUAACAAACUUCAAUAUGCCGAUGAUAUAUAUCUUAUUGAGAUUAAAAACAACACAAGCAACCUAUUACGUGAAAGGAAUAGAAAAAAAAAAAGGAUGUUGAAUUUUAUUCAACGUGGGUAUUAAUGGAUGAAUGAUUUUGGUAGAAUUGAAGGUUUUUUUUUUCCGUUUUUGUUUCAUUUGUCAACUCCAUUUAAUCAAUUAAUCUCAAUGGCUAUAAGGAUCAUUUUUAAUGCAAACGGGUAUUUCUCUGCUGCAAAAGACGGCUUUGGUGUGAUUGUAAGGAAUUGAGAGUGAGCAGCACAUCCUGCGUGCCAUCAACUUCUUUGCACUACAGGCACCCUCUGCAUGCUGUGGAGGGAAAAAUGUGAAAACCAUUGCAUGCUGUGGGGCUGCUAAUCAAUCAAUAGAGAAAGAAUUCAGUCAUCAAUUCUAGCAAAGCUUCCAAAACGUGCAGCACUAUAGAUUAAAUCUUCCACUUUCAGAACUUUACUCGUUAAAUCUUCUGCUCCAAAUCACCAAGGAUUAGUGCUGGUUUUUUAUUUUACAAGGGCUUAAUCUCCAUAUAUCUGAAGACUAUGAAGAUUAGGCAAUAUGCCCCAGUUUCUUUUUGUUGUGUUUAAUCCUCUGACAGUACCAAGAUCAAACACCUUAGACCAUCUUUGAUUUGAUGUAUGAAGACUCGUUCUCCGAAAUCCGAACUAAAAAUUGAAUCAAAGUGCCUAAAUCCAGUGAAGACAAGGAUACAAGCUUUCAAGCUUUCACUAUUUCACAAAUCAAGGUUUCCAGGAUGUAGAGCUUGUUACAGAGAACAAGAAUAUACAACUUUCUACUUUAACUCUCUCUCUCUCUCUCUCUCUCCAUAGCUUUGAUGAGAUCUGAGAAGAUGACCCAUCAACCAGUCUUAUAAACUAUGAUAAAGGCCAUCUCUAACAAUCCCAGAAUUUUCCUGCACUUUUUUAACUAACCCCAACUGACUUUUGACCAGCAUUCUCGCCCUUAUAAUGACCGACACGUCGGUGAAAUUCCAAAAAACCGAACAACAAUGUCGUUCUGCCUGUGUUGAGAUGAUGAGAUGAGAUCAAAGCACAAAUACUUUUCUUCUAACUGAAGUACUAAGCUUGAAGUUGAACUAUACCGCUACUUAAAAACUAGAGAAAGAAAUAAAAUAAAAAUAAAAACAUAACAUAUAUCAAUUUGAAUGUUGACAAAUUGAAUACACACCAGUGAAACUGAAAAUAGAAAGUAAAACAAUCAAUCAGACUUUUGUACAAUAUAUUAAUCCGAACAUGACAUUAUUACUUUUAGCAUGCAAAUCCUUGAAAACAAAGAAACCAAACAACAUGUAGACAACUCAGCAGAAGUGAACACUGAAAGGAUGAAGGCUGGAUUCUGGUUGAAAUUGAAACUUUGGCUGCAGUACAGUUAAGAUAUUUUCCGCUCUGCUUUUAUCUGCACAUACAACUGAUUGAAGAUUUUAUCAUACAGUUUUUAAUGAAUGGUGUCAGCAUCAGGAACUGUGAUGGACACUUCAAGUUUAUGUUGAGACAAAAAUUAGAAGCAACCACGAAAACACUUUAUAUUAUGAUUAUAGUUUAGGCCGCUGCGUACUAUCAAAUCUAUUGUGGAGAAAAAAAAAACUUUUAUAUGAAGUUAGAUCAAUAAUUAAAGGUUGAAGUUAUUGGGGAAGAAGAAAAAACUUACAUCAAACUCAAUCAGGGCUAAUCAAAUUCCGUAAGGAUAUAGCUGAACGCCAUACUGCUCCUUGUCCUCGAAUUCCCGUCCUCGAAUUCCCGUAGAUUUUGUCUCAGCUCCGGCUGAGGCCACCAACACUCGAAAUUGUUUAAGCUCUUUAUGCACCAGAGCUGUUCAGGAACCCUUUUCAAGAAAGCACAAGGGUUGAUAAGCAAGCAUUCUAGUUUUGGCAUGGCCCCAGUCCCCAUAGUCCACUCCUCUAGCCAUAGCAUUGAUUUCAUGUGCAAUACCUUAAGCGUUGGAAAACCAUCAGAACCACAAGUCAGCUUUCUACCUGAAUACGAGUUUUGCUUCAGUUUGAGCACUUGAAGAAGCGGCAGCUUUUCUAGUGCCGGCAUGGGAUCAUCCAUUAGGUCAGUAUUAGAAAAACUCAAGUGGGUUAGACUGUGAGGAAAUAGGUAUUCAGCAAGGACUAUUUUGGAGAGCCAUGGCAUCUUGCUUUCAUUCGCCAGCUUCAAUGACUCAAGAGAGCUCAAUCUGCAGAGGCUUUUGGACAACAAAGAUUGAUAAUAACUUAAAUCUCUCCGUAUCUGGAGAUUUCGAAGAUUAGGUAGUCUGCCCAAUAUAUCUUCAGUACAGCAGCAAGGAUGCAAGGCUGAAAUGAAAUUGAGAUUUUCCAGAGAGCCGCAAUAUUUUCCUGGAUGCGCAGGAAGUGUGAUUGAGCCAAAAUUCAGAUGCCUGAGUUUGUUCAUCUUCCAAAAUUCAUCUGCUAUGUGAUCUAUAUAGCUAAAGGGCAUGUCUAGGGUGUACAGGUUCAGAAGAUUGCUUAAUAAUGGCGCAGGCAGGCUUUUGAGGGAAGGGAUAUUCAACUUCAAAUAUCGCAAAAGAAAUAAAUUUUCAAUUUCGGAUGGAUAUUGGAUGAGAACAAGAGAUCCCAAGUCUAAUACUCUGAGAAAUUUGAACAUUUUACAAAAUUUCUCCCAAUUUAUUGGGUCAAGGUACUCGCUUUUUGAAGUGAAGUACAACAAAGAAUGCAUGUGCGAGUCAUAAUCAUCUAAGUGAGCCAAAACACUCUGUUCGUCAAAAAGAUUGAUCCGUUUGACAUUUUUUCGUGAUUUACCUUCUGGAUCCAUGAACGGGAAAGAGAUAAAUUCCGCCUUGAAAGCCACUGCUGACAAUGCAGGACGGCAACGACCGCGAACAGAGCAUGUGUUGAUAGUGCCACCAGCUCUUCUCUUCCUUGCAUCAACAAAGCCUCUAUUGAUUAGUUGCUCUAAGUACUUCUCAGCAAUUGCCUCACUGUUGUCUGGAAUGAAACCCUCAGCUAUCCACAGCUGAUAUAACUGCCUGGUGGAUAUCUCCAGGUGUGCGGGAAACACAGAUAAGUAGAGAAAACAAAGUUUCAAGUAAAAAGGUAGCUUGCAAGAUAUGACGGUUGGACACCCAAUGGGUUUCUCGAUUGCUUCCCCUAUAUUUUCUUCUAAUGAGAUGCUUCCGUGAUACAAGAUGAGGAAAGGCCAUCCUUGGUAAGUAACUCUCAGUGGUCCUCCAGUGGGCACUAAAUCAAGCCGAAUGUUCUCUCCGUUUUCGAACUGAAAUGAGGUCAUCAUCUCAAUUACAGUGAGUGUAACUAGAACUCUACUUCCAUUCUGAUUAUCCGGAAGUAUUUCUCGAAUAACAUCCAAUACCUCUGUGCGCCACACAUCAUCAAGCACAAUCAAAUACCGCUUAGUCAUUAGAUAUUCACCAAGAAUAAUUUUUUUCAUUUCAUAAUCUUCAUCCUUUAUUUUACUCAACAUAGAAAAAGGAAAAAGAAUCACAGUAACGAUAUCUAAUAUUUGGUCAGUGUCAUAGUGAUAAGGCGCUGGAAUCCAAGCGAGAUAAUCAAAAUAAUGCGUCACAUAACUGCUGUUGUAAGCCUCCGCAGUGAAAGCCGUCUUGUCCAACCCAAUGCUAUCAAGUAUGGCCACCACCGAAAGCUGAGUUGGUCCCUCGAUCAAUAGAUCUAACAACUCCUCCUUUCUAUCAUCUAGACCCACCAUGUCCCUAUUCUUAGACGAUGAAGAUGCAGGAAAAUUACCGGCUUCAGCUUCAACACUUCUGA
rnacentral:lncRNA from 1 species